rnacentral:lncRNA from 1 species
AUGCGGUGGCACCUUUAUAAUGUUAGUAUUUACAAAUUCAAGGCGAUGCAAAUUGGUGAGUUCAUGCAAAUUUGAGGGCAGCUCCUUCAAAGAUCUACAAUGAUUCAGCUUCAGUAUUUGCAACUUGUAGAGUGAACAUGUGGAUUCAGGUAGUUUUUUAAUGCGAGUAUGGGAAAGGUCUAACGAACGAAGAUGUUUAAAAUUGCAAACAGAGUCAGGCAGCUCUUCAAUGUUUGAACAGUGAGACAGAGAUAAGACGCGUAAGAACUUAAACUUGGAGAACAAUUCAUGUAUCGACAUCUUGCAAUUCCAACUACGGUCAUAAUAUUCAUUCAUUCCCCACCAUGUUGGCAUAAAUGUACGCAAUUUUUUAGUAUCACAUGAAGUUCCAAACUCAUCAAAAUAUCGUUCGGUAAUCAUUGAAACUGAAAAAUGACGGGUUGUUUUCUGUGUACAUUUUGCUUGAUCAACUCUCAACCUGAAAUAGAUGUCCCCACAAACAUAUUUUGCCAAAUCAUUUAGAAGGUCAUGCAUGACAAAUCCUUCUCUUUUUUUUUGCUCAGCAAAGACAAAUCCUUCUUUAUAUAUGCUUGAUUGUUGAAAGAAGGACCUUGAUAGUAGAUCAUUGAAGUACUGUUGGCCAACUUCCUCUGGACUCGUACUGCAUUGAUGGCAGUUUAGGAAAUUUUCAGCCAUCCACAACUGAAUUAAACACUCCUUGUCAAACUCAUAAUCCUUGGGGAAUAAAGCACAGUAAGCAAAGCAUGUCUUGAGAUGGGGAGGAAGGUGGUGAUAGCUCAAUGCUAAAGCAGGAACAAUACUGUCCUUUAAUUCCCAUAUUUCACUUUGGAAUACGCUUUCCCAUUCCCAGGCAAAUGGUUUGUUGUGUAAUAGACUUCCCAUUGACUUCAAGGCCAGAGGAAGUCCUUUACAUUUUUUAACAAUCUUCUUACCAAUAUCUGUGCAUACUGGAUCUCGUGGAAGAUUAUCAUCUCUGAAUGCAUGUUUUGCGAACAAUUCCCAGCAAUAAUCUUCUUGUAAUUGCUCCAGCUUGUGUUGUUCUGACCCCAUGGUAGAAGCAACUUCCUCACUGCGUGUUGUGACAAGGAUCUUACUUCCCUGAGCUCCAUAAACAAGAGCAUUCUGCACAGCUUCCCAUUUAGGUCUGCUUUCGUUCCAAACGUCAUCCAAAACGAGGAGAAAUUUUUUAUCUGCCAAUUUUUCUUUUAGUCUUCUCUGAACUAUUUCUAGCUCUCUACCAUGAUCAGUCGAAUCAGUAAUCGUGUCAAGAAUUGCUCUUGAUACGUUGAAAACAUCAAAUUCCUCUGAAACACAGAUCCAAGCUUUGACAUCAAACUUACUCACUAUUCUUGGGUCAUUGUAUACAAGUUGGGCAAGCGUGGUCUUACCCAACCCGCCCAUGCCCACGAUAGAAAGUAUUGACAGCUUGUUAUCAGUGUUAGAAGUGAGCCAGUUAAUGAUAAUUUCUUUAUCAUCAUCUCUGCCACAAAUAUCACUUUCUACCACCAAAGAUGUUGAUUGUGGCACUUUACCACCAGAUCCUGAUCCAACUACAAGAUCACUAGGCUUUUUCAAACCUAGAUUAUCCAUCCGGCUUGCAAGAUCAUCUAGGUCAUCAAGGACAUUUUUCAUGCUGGAAUUAAUUUCCUUGUUAAAGGAAGUAACAGGGGAAGAUUUGAAGAAAUUGGGUACCUUGCAAGUACAGGUUUGAGAUUCAGAUUGAGGUUGAACUUGGAGUCUGGAGUGUUGUAUUUCAUCCAAGACAUCUUCAACGUCAAGCAUGGCAACUUUGAGCUUAAUAAGCCAGUCUCUCACUGGCAUAUUUCCAAACUGUUUUUGUUCAGCAUCAUCAAGCACAGCUUGGAUGGAGAGGAGCUUGUUUUCUAAGUCCUUCCGCAGCAUCUGGUCGAUCUUUGUUCCACGAAAGAAAUCCAGAACUUGAGGAGAAGCCAGCUUCUGAAAUAGAGCCCCGAGGAAAGAAGAAAGAACAGCACCACCAACGCAUUCUAAUGCCAUUGUAUGGUAGGAAAGGGAGCAGUGGAAUCGAUUAAUGGAAAUCUGUGUUCUCAAGUGCAGCUUAUGCCAAUCACUCAGUGGAAUGAAGUGGUCAUCAAAUCAAAGUAAAGAUCUUUUUGUUUCAAGGUCAGUCAACCAACAACUACUGAGUCUUGCCAACAACACAAACCUUAACAGCUGUAUUCUAUCAAUGAGUGAGUGGCUAUGAUUCUGCUGAGGGUAGCUCUUAUUCUCAUAACAACUUAUUCAUUAAUUGCCUUUUGUAUAUUUACUAGUGUAAAAUCUAAAGAAAUGUUUAUAUACUUUAUAAAGUGUGUAAUUUUUAAUUUAUAAUCUAAUGAAAAUCAUAUGGCCUAAUCAUAAAGUAUACCUUUUAAAGAAUAAUUAGUAUAAUUAGAAUUUAAUUUUCUUUUAUAUAUAUAUAUAUAUAUAUAUAUAUAUAUAACAAAUGUAUAAUUAGAAUUUACUUUUCUUACAUAUACACUUAUUAUUAUAAAGAAUAUCUUUUUCCUAUAUAUGAUUCUCUAAUAAAUCUGUGAGAACAUUACAAAUUGAUAAAAUAAUUUAUAAAUCUUUAUUUUUAAUUUAUUAUUCCUUCCAACAAUAUGAUUUAUCACAAUAAAAAAAAUUAAUCAACGUUUCACAUUGUAUAUUAAUUUAAUUCUUAUAUAAAAAUUACCUCUUUCUCUAAUAAGAAUAUUCCAGAACAUCACAAAUUAUUAAAAUAUUUUAUAAUUUUUUAUUUUUAAUUCAUACUUCAAUCCAAUAAUAUGAUUUAUCUUAAUAAAAAAAUUAAUAUGACGUUUCACAGUCUACACUAAUUCAAUUCUUAAAUUAAAUUUUGUAAUUAUUAGAUAAAUUAAGGUUAUCUUUAAAUACCAGUUAAAUUAGUAAAUGAAACAAUUGUCUUAAAUAUGAUUUAAUGAUACGUUAAUAAGCAUUAAAUAUCAAUCAAAUGAUACAAUUUAAAUUACAUGAAUAAAAUUUAUUGUUACAUUAAAUUCUAUCAAAAACACUAUUAUUAAUAUCAUGAUUUCAAUUUUUAAAAUAUUUAUUAUUGAAAAUAUAAAAUUGAUCCUAAUUCAAAAUUUUAAUUAAUUUAUACUAAUUGUAUUUACGUCAAACUUAAUUUAUGAUAAUAAAAACGAAUUAGAAAGUUUUUAAUAUUAAAUUGAAUUUGAAUAAAUGAAUUUUGAAGAGUAAUAUUUUGUUGUUUCUAAUGCUGAAAACUUUUAAAUUUUAUAUCCUACAAAUUAAAAAUAAAUAUUUUUUCCGUUUAACCCAUUAAAUUGAAUUUGUAAAAUAUAUUUUUUAUAACUAUUUUAUUAUACUUUUUUUACAAAAAUUAGAAAUCAUGGUUAUUUUUUAAUAAAAUUGUGUAUUUAGUUAGGAUUUAAUAAUUUUUUACAUGAACAAAUGAGACAUAUCAUAAAUAAUACUAAAUUUAAGUGCAUUAGUGACACAAAAUUAGACUAAAAUUUUGCAAUCAAUUAAAUAUUAGAAAUGCUUAUAACUUAUGUACCUACCUAGAAUUUUUUUUAAAAUUGGAUUUUUAUCAAAUAUUUAUUCUAUUCCCAAUUAUUAUUAUUAUAAAAUUGAAUUUUUUAUUUUGAUUUGGAUUUAGUUAUAAUUUCUUAUUAAAUGUAUAAAUAUCUUCUAUAUUAAACAUUAUCAAAACUGUAACAAAUAAUCAAUAAUUCAAAUAUUUUUAUUGUUCAAGAUGCAUUUUUUUGUAUUUUUAAUUAUAAUUAAAAUUUUAAUCAGAAUAAUAAGUAUAAAAAAAAUUAUUGAAGAUUUUGAUCCUUAUAUAAACUCAUAUAAAAUUAUUUUAUAAUAACUUUAGAAGUGCAAUUAUCUAAUUCAAAAUUUAAACAUGGUAAACAAUAUAAAGUUAAAUUUUAAAAUAUUUAUUCAUAUAAGUAUAAAAUUGAUCUUAAUUCAAACUUUCUAAUGAAGUCAAAAUUAAUUUAUCAUUUAAAUAAUAAGAAACAUAUAUAGAUGUUAAAUGAUUUAAAUGAAAAUUUUAAAAAUAUUUAUUAAUUCGAUCAAUUUAAAUUGUUGUUACAUACGCAUCUACCUGGGUAUCCUCUUAGAUCCAUGCCUAAAAGUUGUUAUAUAUUCCAAUUAUAAAGCAAAUUAUAUGUGGGAAAUGAAAAGGAUAAAAUAAUUGAAAAUAAAAUGACGAUAUGUCUUAUAUAAAAAUAAAAAAUGGAACGAUGACAUAGUAUGAUAUAUGUCUUUAUAUAUUAAAAAUUUGACGAAUAGAUAUAUGCAUGUUAACCUUAAAUGAAUCUAUUUUGGUAAAAAAAAAAAAUCUUUCUCUUCAAAUACCAUUAUUAGGUAUUAAACUUUAAGACAACAAUAGAAAAACAUUUUUCUUCAAAUAUUUUGGAUGAAAAAUAAUGUUUUGAUUGAAGUUUUGUACAGGAACUCAUUUGGAUGAAAAAAAUAGUGUAAUAUAACAUAAAAUAAAAAAUUUUCACUUGUUUAUUGAUAUUUACACAAUUAAUAAAAAAAAAUGAUUAUUGAUUGAAAUGAUAUUUUUAUGUCCACUUAGGGGUGGGAAUAGGCCAGGCUUUGAAAGGCCUGAGCCUAGACUACGAUGAAUUUUUGAGGCCUGAGCCUAGCACGAUGAAUUUUUGAGGCCUGAACCUGACCUAUAGUUUAUAAAAGGCUUUUAUUUUGGCUCGGCCUGACCUUUUUAAAAGUCUAGCCUGACCUGAUAGCCUUUUUAAAAGCCUUCUUUACAUUACAUCUUUAAUAUCCCUUUUGCUCUUAAGUAGACACGUAAUAGGAAAGUUAAAGGAAAAGAAAACGUUAACAGAAAUAGGAAAGCCAAUAAAAAUAAUGAGAAAUAUAAAGGGGCACAUGAUUUACACCUAAAUUGUAAUUAAAGUCUUACUUGAUUAUAAGAAUAGAAAUUAUGGAACAGUAAUGUGUAAUCAAAGUCUGAUAGUUUAAAAAAAAAUUAAUUGUACCAAAAAAAUAACAUAAGUAUAUAUUGGUACCCAAAAAAUAACAUAAGUAUAUAUACAUAUAUAUAGGUCGGCUUAUCAGGCUUAUAAGAUUUUUUAAUAAGCCUAAGCCUGAUCUAUUUAAUUUAAUAGGUUUUUAAAAAAGUUCGAGCCUAACCUUUUAAUUAAAUAGGCCAGUUCAAGCCAGAUUUUAUGUAGGUCAGGUCGUAGGCCCUUGUAGGCCGGCCUGACCUAUUCCCACCCUACCACUAAUUACUAUUGAUGUUAAUGUUUCUAAUAUUUUGGUUUUAUUCAAUUUUUCUAAUCAAUUAUUUUUUUUGUUGACCUUUUCAUUUCACCGUAACAUCCAUGAACAUAUAUCAUAUGUUAUUUUUCAUAUUCUAAUUAAGAAAACAUCAUAGAGAAAGAGAGGAGGUCUUAUUUCUUAAGUGUAUUUCCCAAAUUUCCAACUUCUUGGAUAUUCUCUUACUUGAUAGGAUUUUUUAACCCGAUAUAAUAUAUUGCAUGCAAAUUUGUUUGAUACCCUUACUUUGUUCACUUAAUGAAAUAUUUAAUUAAGCAAGUUUAGCGCAUUUAGUCAGAUAGUAUGUUUAAAUUUGAUGAUUUAAUUAUUAUGUCCAAAGAAUGGUAUUCAUUUCUUGGUGGUAGCUCUUAAGUUAUGUCCGAUCUUGGUUAAUUAAUGAAAAGUUUAGUCUGUCUAGUCAAUUUCAGUGGUUAAAAUACCGUACAUGUAUAUUUAAGUCGGCAAAUUUACGCAAAGGGGUCACAUUUAGAAACUAUUUAUGCAAAGGGGUCUGUUUUCUAAGUAUUUACGGAGGGGGUCAAUUUUUGCAUAGAAGCCGCCAAUGAUAAUGACGAGAAAGCAUGAGCCGCCAUUGUCAUUGGCGAUACAUGGCUGACGUGGAAGGUGCCGCCAGUGGCACUGGCGAUACUGGCUGACGUGGAGGGUGCCGCUUUCUCCAUUGGUGAGACACGCCACACAUAGGGUCUCGCCUCUCCCAUUGGCGAGACACCUUCACGUUGCAGGCUCACACUGUUAUAGCUUGCCUAGGGUCACACCUUCACGUUACAGCUUGCCCAGGGUCAGUCACAUCAGUGUUUAGGGUUGCAGCCUUAUGUAGGCUAGGUUACAGCUUGGACCUGAAAAUGCAGAGUAGCCUUUUGACCGUUGCUUCUUUACAUUUUCUGCUAUAAAAAAAAACCUCCAUCAACGUAAAUACUACACUUCUCCUUCCAAGCUCAGCUUCUCCUUUCUUAAUCUUGAGUCUCCUUUGAGUGUUUCAGUGUGUGCGUGGUGCGCUUCCUUAAAGUUUUGCUGUGUGCUUUCUUUUCCAUAAUUCAUGGUAAGUGAUUUUCUUAAAUAAAAUUUUUAUAUUCUGUUAGGUUAGUUAGUAUUAAUAGGUAUUGUAAGUUUAGGUUAAUUAGCAUUAAUAGGUAUUCUAAGCUUAGGUUAGUAACUAUUUAUGUUCUUAAUUUUUAUGUAUUAAUAGAUAUUUCAAGGUUAGGUUAGUUAGUAUGAAAAUAUUAUUUAGUUAUUGUAUAUAUUCUUAGAUACUAUAUAUAUAUAUAUAUAUAUAUAUAUAUAUAUAUAUAUGAAUGAUACUUUAGUUAAGGCACACUUAAUAUAAGUUUUGUAAUAUUAGACACAAGUUAAUAUUAGCUUUAGAUAUGUAUUUGUAAAUUUUAGGCUCACGUAAAAUUUAUAUAUUCUGGUAAGUAAUUUUUAAAUUAAAUAAGAUAUAUAUUCUGUUGUUAAAUUAUAAAAAUAGUAGGUUAGUUAGUAUUAAUAGGUAUUCUAAGCUUACGUUAAUUAGUAUGAAAAUAUUAUUUGAUUAGUUAGUAUGAAAUUAUUAUUUAGUUGUUGUAUAUAUUCUUAGAUUUUAUAUAUGUGAUAUUAGCUUUUAUAGUAUUAGGUAUAUAUUUACACGCAUGAUACUUUAGCCAAAUAAAUAUAUAUACACGCAUGAUACUUUAGCCAAGGCACACGUAAUAUUAGCUUUUGUAGUAUUAGGCACAAGUUAAUAUUAACUUUAGGUAUAUAUUUAUAAAUUUUAGGCAUACGUAAAUUUUUAGUUUUUGUAAUAUUAAAUACUUCACACGUAAAUAAAUAAUUGUAAUAUUAGACAUUUCACACACGUAAAUUUAUCUUUUUAGUAUUAUAAUUUUGUAUGUUAUAUAUGGAUAGUACAGUUUUAAAUAAAUGAGUUGAUAAGUUAAUAUUAUUUGAGUUAAUUAUUUUUAGUUAGAAUGUUAUAUAUAUUAUUUUUUAGUUUUAGUUUGUAGGUUAAUAUUAUUUGUUUUAGAAAAUUACGUGAUUAAAUAUAUGAUACAUUGUAAAUUAUUAUUAUUUUUGUAUUACACGUUGUUUAAAUAAUUUUUUGCAUUUCAAUAUUUAUUUGUAUUUUAAUUUAUUUGGUAGUCCAUAUUUUAUUUAAUUAUUUAUUUUUUAAUUGUAGAAUAUAUUAUGUUAUUUAUUUAAAUUUGUUUGUGUGUAUGUAUAUGUAGAAUAUAUUUAAAUUUUAUUAUUUGUAUAAUAUAUUUUGUUAUCAAAUAAAUAUAUUUUGUUAUUUAUUUAAAUUUGUCUUCACAUGUAUUUUAAUUUAUCUAUAGAAUAUAUUCAAAAUUGUCCAGUUUUAUUUAUUACAAAUUUAUUUAUAUAUAUUUAAUAACGUUUUUAUAAAUCUGCGUAGUUUAAUUUAUAUUAUCUACAUAUAAUGUAUAAAUUGUUUUGUGAAUUUAUUGUAUUAUAUUUUAUUUUGCAGUAUCAAUGGCAUCUUCAUCGCCAUGUCCAUCACAUAUCAAAAUUAAGUCUAGCCCGAUCGAUGGUGAUGUAUUACGGAUGCAACCUAAGCAUGAUUCAGAACAUGUUUGGAAUGGGGAAGAAGAUCGGAAAUUACAUAUCAGACGAGUUGUCCCCACGUAUCAAGGGGAAGAAAUUCCAGAGCAAAUUUUUCCUUUCCUUCGACAAUCUGGUUUUUACUGGAUUAUGAAGAUGGGAUACUUAAAAAUAAAUGCCUCAUUAAUUAGUGCUUUGAUAGAAAGAUGGAGGCCGGAAACACAUACGUUUCACAUGAGAUGCAGAAAGUGUACUAUUACUCUUCAAGACGUCUCUAUAUUGUUAGGUCUACGUGUGGAUGGUUUACCAUUAAUCGGUCCAACAAAUCUUAAUUGGGCUGAUUUAUGUGAGGAAUUAUUGGGAAUCAGACCACAAGAAGGAGGUGAAAUUAAAGGUAGUGUGGUUAAAUUAAGUUGGUUGGCUCACCAUUUUGCACAAAUAAAUAACCACGACGACGAAGAACAAGUACGAAGGUUUGCCCAUGCAUGGAUACUAAGAUUCAUUGGAGGUGUCUUGUUCGUUGACAAAUAACAAAGUUUCGCUAAGGUACCUUCAAUUUUUAUGUGACUUUGGAGAUUGUAGCACAUAUGCAUGGGGACCUGCCGUACUUGCUUUUCUAUACAGAGAGAUGUGCAGUGCCACCGAUUAUAAAACUAAAUCAAUCUGAGGUAUGUGCAUCUUACUACAAAUGUGGGCAUGGAAACGAUGUCUAACCUUGGCUCCAAAGAGGACUCCUUCUCAAGUAGAAAAUAAACCACUGGGGCACAGGUUAGUCAUUUUUAAAAGCGUCUUUCAUUUGUUGGACCAUUAAUCGGUCCAACAAAUCUUAAUUGGGCUUAUUUAUGUGAGGAAUUAUUGGGAGUCAGACCACAAGAAGGUGAAAUUAAAGGUAGUGUGGUUAAAUUAAGUUGGCUGACUCACCAUUUUGCACAAAUAAAUAACCACGACGACGAAGAACAAGUACGAAGGUUUGUCCGUGCAUGGAUACUAAGAUUCAUUGGAGGUGUCUUGUUCGUUGACAAAAGCAGUAACAAAGUUUCGCUAAGGUACCUUCAAUUUUUAUGUGACUUUGGAGACUGUAGCACAUAUGCAUGGGGACCUUCCGUACUUGCUUUUCUAUACAGAGAGAUGUGCAGUACCACCGAUCAUAAAACUAAAUCAAUCGGAGGUAUGUGCAUCUUACUACAAAUGUGGGCAUGGGAACAAUGUCCAACCUUGGCUCCAAAGAGGACUCCUUCCCAAGUAGAAAAUAAAUCACUGGGGUACAGGUUAGUCAUUUUUAAAAGCGUCUUUCAUUUCAAAAGAAUAAAUGAUUUUAGGGUAUAUUAAAUUUUAAUCUUUGUAGGUGGCUGCGACGUGGAAACCAACAUAUUGACAAUGAUGAUGUGAGAGUUUUUUGUUGCAAGUUGGAUAUUAUGAAACGUCAUGAGGUAAGAACAUGGUAUUGUAUUUGUAAAAUAAAAAAUGAUGUGUUAUUUUACUAAAAUGAUGUCAACUAUGUUGUUAUAUGCAGUUUGUGUGGGAGCCUUACACAACAACUGUUAUAUCAUUGUUGCCUCCCAUUUGUGUAGUCAGAAGUGUCGCGUGGUGCGCGGUGGUGCCACUUAUUUGUUUCCAAGUCAUUGGGUCUGUAAUUCAAAUAAUAAAUUAAAAUAACAAAUAACACAAAAGUAGGAUAAUAUGAACAUAAAAAAUGUACCUACUACGCAAGUCGCAAUUAAAUCUGAAUCAAGCUUCUCAUGGUCUUGUGUCAUAGUCAUAUUUAGACAUGUGUGCGGUCCACCCCAUUGUGUCACUUUUCAUGCAUCAGUUUUUUUAGAUAAAAUUGCCCUCAUAUAAAAAGGGCAAGGAGACUGUGCGCUAUUGUUGGGGCAAUAAACGAUAUAUUUGUGCGAUUUCGUUUCAACAACCUUAAAACUUUGAUGCACCUUCAUCACAUAUUAUUUCAGUAUAUUUUUGACCACAUCUUUACUGUCAAAAUCUAUGCCAACAUAUAAUUCUUGUCCAACAUUAAAAGUCGUUGGCAUGUCCAAACCACAAAUGUCCUCCUCGUUCGGAUGACUCCAAUUGAUAUUAUUAUAAUGUAAAGCAUCAUUUCAAAAUGGAUUUUGAAUUCCUGGUACACCUAAUAAUUUCAAAAAAAAAAUCACGUCAACAAACUACUCGUAUUUAGUUACCAUUAAAUACAAUUCUCAUAAAAAGAUAGAUGUAUUCAACUAAUUUUGUAUUUCAUAAAAUUUACCUUCAAUUGGGUGAACAAUUGAAACUGGUUCAACGAUGUCGAUGACUUCAUCGUCUGUAUCAGAUAUUCCAUCAACACUAUCAUCUUCAUCGAAAGACUCUUCAACGUAUGAGUUAGAUGCAAGAUAAUCAUCAUCAUCAUCUUCAUCAUGUAAAUUGCUUAUAUUUCUUGGUAGUUCCGACUCAUGAUGAGAUGCAUUAUGUCCACAUGACGUAACAGAAUUUGCAGCAUGAAACAUAGAACCACCAGCAACAUCCUUUUCUACGUACAAUUCUAGAACUGACAUUUGUUGUUGUUGAAAACUUUCGAUCAUAGUUUCAACAUCUUCGUCAUCAGAAAUUUACAAUGCAACAUAUUUUCCUGAAACUAAAAAUCUACAACUUAUAGUAGAAAUAAUUUCAUUAUUUUCUAACUUUACCUUAUCUCCAAUUUUUUUUUCAAAGCAUUGAAACUAAUUCCGUGUUUAAUCUGAAUCGCCUUUUUACUGUCUUCAAAUAUUACACCAUCAUUGUCUUCAUAUACUCUUCCGUUGAAAUACAACACUGUAAUAAUUGAAUUCAUGAUAUACCUACAUGAACAAAAUUAAAAAUAAUUAAUCAUAACAACAGUAGUUUUAAAAUAAAUAAGUGUAUUUGCUUGCUUCAUCUACUAACUUAAACUUAAACUUAAAAUUAAACUUAAACUUAAACUACAGAUUAAAAUUUCAUUCUAACUUCAAAAAACUAGAAGGGAAUCAGGUAAUUAUUUGUAAGGCCUGUCCACCCAUGAACAAAGGCUUAUAAAUAAUUAAACAUUAUUAAAAUAACUUCAAAGUAAAAAACCUAAUUACAAAAAUUAAUAAGCUUAAACUUCAUGUUAAAAUUUGUUUCUAAAUAAAACAAUUAUUACUUCAAUUAAAUAUUUUGUGAAUGAUAAAAAUAAAAAAAAAUCUAUUUGCUUCCUCUAUUAAACUUAAACUAGACAUUAAUACGUCAUUCUAACAAAAGAAUUAUUACUCCAAUUAAAUAAUUCAAAAAAAAUUCCUUAACUUCAAAAACUUGAAGAGUCACCUCUAAAUAUUUUUAACUCACAAAUAGCAUCAACAAAAGUUUAUAAGCGGAAGGGUCACGCGUCAAAUUUCUAAGCCACAAAAACCAUGAACAAAGAGGAUUACAAAUAAUUACUCAUAAUAAUUUUAAAAUAAAAAUUCUAAUUCAAAAAAUUAAUACACUUAAACUUUACCUUCAAAUUUUAGUCUAACAAAAAAAAUUAUUACUUCAAUUAAAUAUUUUGUCAAUGAUACAAAUAAAAAUAUUUAUUUGCUUGCUCUAUUAAACUUAAACUACACAUUCAUACUUUAUUCUAAAAAAAAUUACUCUAAUUAAAUAAUUUAUGAAAAAUUCCUCAACUUCAAAAAAAUUUCAGACACAAAAUGGAAGGGUUACACUUAAAAAAAUUUCAGACACAAAAACCAUAAAAAAAGGCUUACAAAUAAUUACUGCUAAUAAUUUUUAAAUAAAAAAUCUAAUUCACAAAAUUAAUACACUUAAAUUUGAGCUUCAAAUUUGAUUCUAACCACAAAAUUUAUUACUUCAAAAUAAAAAAAUUUGUACAUGAUAAAUAAACAAAAUGAAAGAAGGCUUUCUUUAAAUAAAUACAAAAUAUCCUUACUUUAAAUAAAUAGAAGAUAGAAUCAGCAAACUUCAAGCAAAACGAAACGCCUUUCUUUCUCUCUUCACACUACUUUGUUACUCUCUUCAGUGUCAAAUUUUGCAAGUGCUCUAUUUAAAGAAAAUUUACACCAAAGCUGAAGCAUGCAUGUGAUCUGCAACGUAAAUUUACACGCCAUUAAAGCAUGCAUGUGAUCCUAAAACUGUAUGCAUGUGACCCUGCUGCAUGCCUAGCCUGAAAAUCAGCAAUGCCCUAACCUGAUGCCCUAGCCUGUAACCUGCAAUGCAAGAACAGUGCCCUAGCUAGUAGUCUGAUGGGACUUGCAAAUUCACGUCCACGUUGGUCACGCAUGAGCCAAUGGCGGGACUGUCCACAUUGGCACAUGUCCCGCCAUUGGUAUUGGCGGGAUGAGCUGUCUCGUUGGUCUCACAGGAGCCAAUGGCGGGACUGUCCAUGUUGGCACAUGUCCUGCCAUUGGUAUUGGCGGCAUGGUGUGUAUCGCUGUUGGUGCUGGCGGCACCCAGCCACGUCAGCACCAUUCUCGUCAUUGCUAAUGGCGGUAUUAGUGGUAUCGCAAUUGCAGGUGGCGGCUUCCAUGCAAAAACCGACCCCCUCCGUAAAUACUUACAAAAGAGACUCCUUUACGUAAAUAGUUUAUAAAUGUGACCCACUGAGGUAAAUUUGCCUAUUUAAGCCAUAAUAGUCUGCCGUUAUAUAUACUGUAACUCAACAGAGGAUAAAAACUCUGAUCAAAUUAAUUAAAUAACUCAAUAAAAAAAAUUAAUUGAAUAAAUCAUUUAUUUUUUUCAUUUGCCGACCAUUUUUCUUUUGGUACAUUUUGUUAUUUUUAUCACAUUUUUUCCAUUUUUUUCAUUUUCUUAAUUUUUUCCUUCACUCUUAUUAAGUUUAUAGAUUAGGGCUAGCCAGACUCGGUGGAGGGUUAAUGUGCUAAUGAAAUGUGUAAAAACUAACAAGCUAUUUUAUGAAUGGAGCUUACUAAUAACAGUAGCAAAUAGCAUGUUAGGAUUGUCGGUUUGAAUAGUAUUCCAUGAAUGAAUGAGUGGCUAUUAUUAUGAGAGGAUAGCUUUUGGGAUAUUUUCCAUGGCUUGAUUAGAAAGGGUUUUGUUUGUACGCACUGUGUGUCACACGUUUCUAUACGAUGGCCUGGGAUUUUUUUAUUUGUGGCUGUCAACCAUAGUCUUCCCUAGAGUUUGGGUAAAAAUUAAUCCUGCAUUUGCAAGUUCUAAGAAUUGUGGCAGGGUGAGACUGAGCAGAAUAAGGACCUUUAACACUGAUUUGCACUCCCUGAAGACCAAGCUCAUUCAGCCAGGCAAUGAAAAAGGGUCAAAGCUUCAGCCUUUAAUGGAAGAAUAUUUCCAUCAGAACAAAACGUUUUGGCCCUGAAAAACACACCUCUAUUGCAUGCGGGGGUGUAAAAAUUCCUAUUCUCAUUAUAACCCAACAUAAAUUGAAUAGAUUUUUUUUUGAAAUAAUUCAAGAAAAAAGAAAUGCUUUGAUUUAUAAAACAAAUUCAAUUAACAAAAUUAUUUGUACAAAACGAAAUUGGUUAACUAAACUAGUUUUCAUUUGAAUAUUUUAUUUGAAAAAAGAAAAUUUGAAAAUCAGUUUAAAGUUAAUCUGAUCCUUAUAAUUAGUUUAAAAUUAAUUAAAAAUCAGUUUAGAAUUAAUUUUUUUAGAACUAAUUCGAUUCUGAACUAAUUUUUAAAUUAAUUUAAUUAUUUAAAUAUAAAAUUAAACUAAAAUAAUUUAAAAUUAAUUCAAUUUGAGUUUUUUUUUAUCAAACUAGUUAUUGCAUACGGGUGAAGUCUCAUCCCUUAUGCAGAUUUCCACUCCAAACUCACCUUUGGGACCAAAAACAGCACUCUGUUAGGCGCUUUUCCCAUUCGGCAGGUUGCAACUGCUUAUUAGAAGAUAAUUAAGAAUAAUCAAUAGAAUAAGAACAUGAAGAACGAGGGUUUUCCACUCUCUAAAGCCAUUUUUAGCUCUCUGCACAACUGCAAAAGGGGUCUGAACCUUGCCUUCCCAAAUCAUAACAACCUCAAUUAUUUUCUUUUCAUAUUCUAAUUAAGUUCAAUUAAAUCUUUUUUUCACAUUUACUUACCAUAAAUAUAUUUCUGAUAUUGCUCCACCUACUUCCUUUAUAUAUAUAUAUAUAUAUAUAUAUAUAUAUAUAUAUAUAUAUAUAUAUGGAGAUAAAGAUACAUCAGAUAAUCAUAUCAUAUAUCAUGUUAAUGCUUUCUAAUUUGUAUAAAUAAUAUUAUUUUUGAAAUAUUUAUUUUAUAGUAUAAUUUUAAGAAGUAUUUUUACACUUUUAUUCAAAUAAUUUAAUAAACUAUUUAUUUUGUUUCAAUACUUUUAACAAUUUCAAAUUAUAUCACAUACAAACAUUAAUUUACAAAUAAUUUAUACAAUGAAUAUAUGUUAUUUUAAACAUGUUUUUAUGUGUAAUUCCAACAAACAUUUUACAUUGAAUUACUUUCAUAAUUUAAUGUAAUAUUUUUAAAAAUAUUUAGAUAUAUAUCUCAAAACUAUAUCAUUUAAAUUAUUUAUAGACUUAAAUAUGUUUUUAUUCCUAAUAAAUACUUCAUAUGUAUGUUUGUUUCCCAGUAAAACAACAAUUUUAUUUUUUUGCCUUUCAUAUUUUAUUUGUCCUAGUUGAAUUAAUAAAUUUUGUGUUUAUUGUUUGAAAAUAAAAAAAUUUAUUCCCAACUAUUAACAAAUGAAAUUUUUUAUUAAGGAAAAAAAUUAAAAAUUUAACUAAUUGAUAAUAGACUAACAAAAAGUAUCAAGGAUAAAAAAUAAAAUUAUUUUAUUAAGAAUCCAAUAUAAAGAAAAAUUUAUCUAAAAACAAACAUAAAUUUUUUAUAUUUAUUAAGAAUCAAAAUAUAUUCUAAGUCUUAUUAAUUUAUAAACCCACACAACAGACCAAUAGUUAAUUUUUAAUAAUUCUGACAAAAAAAUGAAAAAAUGGCAGCAACUGAUAUUCACAUAAAGCUAGCACAUCAACAUGAAAAUUUUGCCGGUCCCUUUUGUUAUACACAUUCCAAGCUCUAAGCAGAAGAACUGGGUAUUUUGUACUGUUUCGCAUAAUAUUCUUAAUAGAGUUUUGGAAUCAGUUUCUAGUUUGCUUUUGCCACCUUGCAUUUCCAUGUCACUAGCAAAUUUUAAGUGUUCGAUCAACUCUCGGGUCUGCAAAAUAAUACUGAUUAUUUUACAUGCUUUCUGAGACAUGAUUAUUGCAAGAAGAUAAAGAAGAUAUUUUCUAUCAUUAAUAAAUUAUAGGUGGUCCCACCAAGUUCGGAUAAAGAAGAAAGAUUGUAUUAAGUCAUCAGCAGUAAAAAAAAUUAAAAUAUUAAGAAAAAAAUAAUUUUUUUUAUUACAAAACAAAUAUAAAUCUCUGAUAUACAUGAAGAAAAACCAACAUAGUUAGUCUAAUUAAAUUCAAGAUAUCUAACAUCUUACACAUAUUUAAUUUAAUGAAGACUUUAGUGUGUUUAGUCAAUUUUGGUGACUGACUUAUCAUUAAAGAAAUUUAAGAAGCCUAACAUCAUAUAUAUAUAUAGAGAGAGAGUUUAAUGAUAGUACGCCAAUACAUAAUAAUAAUAAUUUAAAAUGUAUGUGUAAAAAGAACAACUUAAAUAGCUCAGCAGAGCAUAAUAAACUCUGAUCAAACUAAUUAAUAACUCAAAUGUACACCAUUAAGUUUAUAUAUUGAGGCCGGCCAGAUUCAGUGCAGGGUUAAUGAAGUGAUGAAAUAAGUAAUAAGCUAUUUUUAUGAACGAUCUUUGCUAGCAAAUACAGUAGCACAUGUUAGGAAUAUCAGUGUGAGCUUUAUUCCAUGAAUGAAUCAGUGGCUAUAAUUCUACUAAGGGUAGCUUUUGGAAUAUUUUCCAUGACUUUUUUUAAUCACUGUGUGUCACGCGUUUGAGUACGAUUGCUUUAAUUUGGGUUGGUGAACAUCUUUUUCUUUGCUGGCCAGUCAACCGUUACCAUAGUCUUCCCUACAAUACUGAUAUUAACAACAGCUGUAUUUUGCUCACUGUCUUGGCACUUGGGAUAUUUUCGGAAAAUAAUGAACCUACUAUAUUUUAGAAUUUAUUUAGGAGAAAGGUUCCUCCAAAACAAACAUGAGUUCUUUAUCUAAUCAUUGUUGGGAUUUUCUAUUUCAAUAAUAAUUAAUAUGAGUUAAUAUUAUAAGAUAAUUCUAUUAAUUAUUUAUUGUUAUUGGAUUUUAUGUUAUGUGAUCAAAUUAAGUAAUCUCGUUAGACAACCAAAUUCGAUAAUAUGGAUUUAAAGGAGCAUAUGUCAGUGUUGGUCCAUUAAGAGAUAAUGAGAACCUUAUUAGAUUAAUACAUUACAAAUCGUCCCCCCAAUACACUAAAUCACCGACACAUAGAUAGUUUCUCUUCUUGAGGGAAUUGAAUAAUACUUUGCCAAAAACGAAAAGGCGGAAACGAGUAACCUUUUGGCUAAACUCAUCUCCAUGAAGUAUAAGGGCAAAAGUUAUAUAAAAAAGUUUUUGCUCAUAUAAUUUUUGUUUUUGUUUAUUAUUAUUAUUAUUAUUAUUAUUAUUAUUAUUAUUAUUAUUAUUAUUGUUGUUGUUGUUGUCGUUGUUGUUGUUUUUUUGUUAAAAAAGGGGAAAACAAAAGGUGCCCUUAGCAAAAGAAACAAAACAAAGAUGCAAUAUUUACUUGGGGUAUUUUAAGUGUAAAUCAAUGAUAGCAUUAAAUAUAAUUUAAGGAUAUGAUAUUUACUUGUCGUAAUUAAUGUUUUAUAUUUUUUUAGUAUCAUGAUGGAAGUUAAUUUAACAUAUCCUUUCCAUUUAUUUGCAUAUCUAGUGAUUUUUUUAAUUAAAUUGAUUGUUACGAUAUAUUGUCAAGGUAAUCCCUAUUGUGAAAAUUAAUUUGAUUAAAAUUACAAAUUUUUGUAUAAAAUCAUUUAUGUGAAUUAUGUUCAGACCAAAGGAAUACACAAUUUGACCAAAUAAUAUUUUAUAUUUGUGAUGAUAAAUGUGUGACAAUUAUAAGGUAUUUUCAUGUGAAUAAUAGUCGGUCCAAAGAAAGACUAUUAUUUGACAGAUUUAUUGUUAAUAUUUGAUCGUUGCAUUAAGAGUACCAAUUACAAAUUAAUUUAUCUAGAAAUUAAUGUUGUGUUAGGUAUCUUGUAAUGGGUGUGUUCCGUAAAAUAUUUACAUGUUUUAUUAUAUAUUUUUUAUAUAACUAAAUUAUAUGUGAAAGUUGUGUAAUUUUAAUACCUCUCAUUUAUUAUAUUAAAUUGUCUUGUAUUUUUUGGUUUAAUUGAUUGAAACAACAUGUUGUCAAAGUAACCUUUGUUGCAUAAGCUGAUUUGAUUGAAUUUACAUGGAUGUUGCAUGAAAUUAUUCAUGCGAAUUGUGCUCGGCCCAAAGGAAAACACAAUUUGGUAGAAUAAUUAUUGCUUGCGAUGGUAAACAUGUGGUGAUUAUAAAUAGUGUGAUUUUCCAUGUGAAUAAUGAAAUGUUCAAAGGCAAUCAUUAUUUGACCGGGGUAAUUAUCAUAUAAGUUUUUCAUGUGAGCAAUGAAGUGUCCAACGACAACUUUUGUUUGACAGGACUUAUCACCAAUGUUUGAUCAAUGCGUUGAGAGUAUCACUUGCAAUUAAUCUUUUUCGAUCCAAAGAUUGAGGAUUAAUGCGCUAGGUAUCAUGUUUGGCUCUUGAAAUUUACCAUAAAUAUUAUUUUUGUAUUGUAUGUGUAUAUUCUCUUCUUUAAUUAUUGUUGCUACUACUAUGAUUUAAAUUACUCACAUUAUUUAAAUCUCAAAUAUGCAUGUAUAAAAUAAUUUGUAUGGGGGUCCUAAGGUGAUAUAUGAUUAAUCUUGGUAUGCAACACUAGAAAAUAGUAAAACACAUUAUGCGUUAAUUGAAGAGAACAAGAAAUUACAUGUUUUCAUAUCAAAAGUCUAGAAGUUUAGAGAUCAUUGAGUAUUAUGACUUUGAUUUUUUCGAAAUGUCUUAAUAGUAAUCACUCCACAUAAGGAUCCACAUUUAAUCGUGUUGGUGGAGUUAAUAUUUAGCUAUGAGACAUCAUACUAGAAUUUAUAACUGCUAAAUUAUUGUAACUCGCUUGCUUGUUGUUGCCAACAUUAAUUAGCCAUCAGAUGUUUAUUGCAACAAUAUCUUAAUGAUAUCAUUAAAGAUUCAACUAAGUCAAAGUUUGUUGACAUAAAAUAUUUGGUUCUUAAAUAAAGAAUUCAAAAAAUAAAGAUUUGUAUAGAACAUAUAGGAACUCAUUUCAUUCUAGCUGAUUUACUUACUAAAGGUAUGACACUUAAAGUUUUUCAUGAGCACAUUGUUCAUAUGGGUGUAAUUCCUGAUAGUACCUUAGUUUAGUGGGAGUCUUACUUAUGUUAUAUAUCUUACAGUUUACAAGCAUGUUGUGUUUGGAUUGAUCUAUAUAAAGAAUAAAGUUUGGAUCAGUUGGAAAUAGACAUGACUAAGAUCACAUUACAUGUAAUUUCCAUGUUAUUUAUCCAUAUUGACCUAUGUCAUUGAAUGUAUUGAUGUGAUGGUCAUUGGGGUCUAGUUACAUUUGUUGUAGUGACAAAAGCCGUGAUGAUUCCAUUAUUGAUACAUGAGAUGAACCAGAUUGUUAAGGUGAAAGUUUAAAAAUAAAUAGCAUACAUAUGCACGCUUAAGGAUUCUUUAUAUAAUUUGUACAAUAUAUAUGUAGCCCAAGUGGGAGAUUGUUGAAAUUUUCUAUUUUAAUAAUUAAUGUGGGUUAAUAUUAUAAGACAAUUACAUUAGUUAUUUAUCAUUAGUGGGUUUUAUUUUAUGUGAUCAAAUCAAGUGAGUCCCUUAGACAACCAAAUAAGAUGAUAUGAACUUAAAUGAACUUAGAAGAUAAUGAGAACCCUAUUAGGUUAACACAUUAUAAGAAGGCUAUGGUCCCCAAUAUACCGAGCCGCUGACACAUAUGGUUUCUCUUUUCCCCACCUGAAGAGUUAUGAAGGUCUUAUUAAAGAAUAAAAAGGUUCCGGUUGAAGAAGAACCAUGAAGCCACCGGUUACAUUGUUAGCAUUCUGUAACAGGUCCUAUGAAGAGCACAUAGAUAAGAAAUCACAUAAAGAUUCAAUUUCCCUUGUGUUUUUUUCAUCAAUCAUGAUGGACCCAAGUAUUCCUAAAACUCUUCCUGAUAAUAUAAGGUAAUGUGUUCCUGAUAUUUAUAUUUUAUUGGUAUUUUAUAAGGAUCCCUGAAAAUUUACAACUAUCACUACCAAAACCAAAACCAGUAUAUCCAAUCUUAAUAUAACUUAGGUUAUCUUAGGAUUGGAGUUGGUAAAUAUUUUUCUCAAUUUUAAUACAAUAAAAAAAUUUAAUACACCAAAUGAAAUAAGAAAAAAUGUUACUUAUAGAAUAAAAAUACUUUUGACCUCUCACAACUUUAACCAACUAUCACUACCAAAACCAAAACCAGUAUAUCCAAUCUUAAUAUAACUUAGGUUAUCUUAGGAUUGGAGUUGGUAAAUAUUUUUCUCAAUUUUAAUACACAAUAAAAAAAUUUAAUACACCAAAUGAAAUAAGAAAAAAUGUUACUUAUAGGAUAAAAAUACUUUUGACCUCUCACAACUUUAACCAAACAUGCAUUUAAAUAUACCAUAACGAUUUUAUCUUACUAGAUGAUUUACAUACAUUUUAGUUACUUUGCUCAUUUAAGUGUAAUAUAUAUAUAUAGAAAUAAAACUGCUUUAUUAGGAAGUUAGGGAAUAAAUUGCACAUUCAGUUCCCAACUUGCUUGUCAUCUUGCAUUUUCAUGCCACCGGCAGAUUUGAAUUCUUCAUUCAACAUUUUCUAUCAUUAAUAAAUUAUAGCCCGUCCCAUAAGGCUCAAUUAAAGUCAAUUAUAAAACCAAUUAUAUGUGGGAAAUGAAAAAGACAAAAUAAUUGGAAAAUAUGUCUUAUUAAAAAAAUUAAAGAAUAGAUGUAGGUUAAAUAGAAGAAAAAUAAUGUUUUGAUUAAAGUUUUGUUGAGAGUCUCAUUUGUUUAAUUAGAAGAAAAAAUAACAUAACAUGCAUAACAUACCAUAAAAUUUUUUGAUGUACCUAUUGAUAUUCACACAAUUAAUAAAAAAUGACUAUUGAUUCAAAUGACAUUUUUAUGUCCACUCAUUACUAUUGAUCUUAAUGUUUUUUAGAUUUUGGCUUCAUUCAUUUUUUUUCUCACCAAUUUUUUUUUUGGCAUCUACCCAAUCUUUUCAUUUCACCAUCACAUCCAUUAACAUAUAUCAUAUCAUGUGUUAUUUUUCAUAUUCUAAUUAAGACUCAUUAAAGCCUAUUAUUUUUUUCUUAAACAAAAAAUAUAUAUUGUAAAUUUAAGAUAUAAAAUAAAAGUAAAAUUAUUAUUAAGAUAUAGUAUUUAUAGUAUAGUAGUAAAAGUACAAAUAUAAUAACAAAAAGAUGAUACAAGAUAAAAUAUCAACAAAAUGACAAAGGAACAAAAAAUGUUUAAACUUUUACAUAUUAAAACUAGACAGUUUAUUAUUUUCUUUACAAUUAAAUCAAAAGUUGUUAAAGCAAUAUAAUAAAUUAUUGGAUGGAAAAAAUUUAUUAUAUUAUUUGUAAUAAACUUGUUAGUAAAAAUACAUAUGUAAAUGGCGUUGUAAAAUACUUAAGAUGUCUGAUUACAUAUUAAUAAAAUUAUUAGAAAGAUUAUUUUGCAUUUACUUUAAACUCCAAUGAAAAAAAAAAGUAAAUUGCACUUGCAUUACCUAUAUUUUACUCCAAUUUUACCUAAUACUCCAAUUUUUAGUUUUUUUGGCAUCACUUUGACUCCCUUUAAUAAAAUGGUGUUAAUUAAUGGUUAUAAUUUUAUGUUGAAUGAUGAAAUUACCAUUUUCUUUUUUUCUACAUUAACACAACCUCACAAUAUUCUUGUGCCUAAUCCUCCUUGACGUCUCAACUUCAACAUCAAAUUCAUCAUCUUCCUCAAAAACCAACACUUUUAUCUACAUUUGUAGGUGCUUUACCUCCACCAGCUCACUAUUGCUAUGUACCACCUUGUACACCUUCCUAGAUGCUCCACUUCCUUGUACACCAGCUCAAUGAUCUUGUUCUUUCAUCGUACUCUUUGCACAUACAUGAGUGAUAUCCCUACAAAUGUCCUAUGAAAUUUGUCCUAAAAAUCUGUCUAAUAUACAAAUUAUGAACAAUUAUGCUGGAUAUCUUACAUAAAGAUAGACAAAUAAUUAGGGAUAUACAUGAUUAUGUACAAAUAAUCUCAUUACUCCCUUCAAGUUGGAGUAUGCAAAUCGCAAAUGUCCAUAUUGUGCAAUAAGUAAAUCGAGUACUUAGUUGGACCAAGUGCUUUGGUGAGUAUAUAAAUCAAGUCUGAGGUCUUAAGAAGGGAUAGAAGUAGGUUAGAUCCUAUGGCAACUUGGUCAGGCUCAUUUAGCAAAAAAAAUCAAACUGAGUUUUUUUUAAAAAACUUGUUUAGUUAAAAAGGCCAGACAUGGUCUUAAGAAAAACUUAUGAGAUUUGAUGGCUUAAUCCAUUUAGCAAUAAUAUAUUUUUAAAUAAAAAUAUUAUUAUUAAUAUGAUAUAUAAUAUUAUAAUCUAAAAUAAAAUUAGAAAUCCUAUUUCCUUAAGUUUUCUCUACGCAAGUAUGAAGUAAUGCAACUAGUGUUCUUAUAAAACAAAAUAAUCUAAAAACAUGUGAUUAGAAUAAAUCGGAAGAGUGAAUAACAUGGUGGCAAAAGUCAAAUUUGAUAUGGCUGAGGUGAUUAUGCACAAAAGAUACCUUAAAAUUAUAUUGACAUUUAAAUUGGUUUAAGGAUCAGUGUACUUAUAUAAUGUCAGGGCCAAACAUAAAAAAUAAGACGGUCACGUAUAAUAGGUUUAUGCUUGGGCUAUAAAGUUAUAAAGUGGGUUAGACUAUGCUUAGGUAAAGUUUGACUCUGUCUAAACCAUUUUCACAUCUAGACAUAAGUAGGUCCAAUGUUGUCAUUUUGAAUUUCAUCAUGAAUAAAAUGACAGUCAACUUCGAUAUGUUUGGUAAGUUCAUGAAAAACUAAGGGAGUGUUUGGUUUGUCUGUUUUUUGUUUUCAUUUUCACUGAAAACAGAAAAUAGUGAUGAAAAUGUGUUUGGUUGGAUUUUUGAAAACAUUUUCAGUGAAAAUAAAAACAGAAAACAACCAGAAAAUGAAAACAAUAAAAUUUCAUUUUCAAUGUUUUCAGUUGAAAACAGGAACUUCAUUUUGGGUAAAAUGAAAAUGAGAUGACAAUGAAUGUAAUUUAAGCAAAUUUAAAAAUACAAAAAAGACAAGAAAUCAAUAUAUCAUAAAUUUUCAGUGUUUUUAUUUCCUAAAAACAAAAAACAAGAAGUCAAACCAAACAUAUUUUCAGAAUUCUAAUCUUUUGAAAAUAAAAACAGUUUUCAGAAAAUGAAAACAGGAAAUGAAAAACAGAAAAUGAAAAUGCAAUCCAAACACACCCUAACUUUUUGGUGGUGAUCACAAUGAAGAUGGAUAGGUUGAGAACGUGAGAUACUAAGGUUGAAAAGAAUUUUCUUUAACCAUUUUUACUCGUAAAUAAUCGUUAGCAUGAAAUGGUAUUCAACUUUAGUGGAUGAGCAUGAAAUCAUGGGUUGCUUUUUUAGUUUUCCACGAAAUGGAAAAGUUUCCCAAAUGAAUAAAGCAUCAUGUGAGAUGUACCGUCCUUCGAUAUAAUAACAACCCGUAAUAAAAAUAUACUCUAAAAUGCCUAUAAGAUAUGGAUUUAGAAAUUUCAUUGGUUCAAAAUACUUCAAAUAUUAUAAUAAAUGAGUCCUUACAUAAUUAAACAAUUGUAUCCUCAAAUAUGGGUAUCUACAAAGUUGAACUAACAAUAAACUAAGUAUUCAAUUCUCCUUCGUCUGAAAAGUUUCUUCAUUGAACUCUGAAAACAACACUUUUAAUGAGAUAAUAAUCCUAUUGAAUAAAACAAUUUCUAAAAGAUUUCGCAAAUAAUGUUCUCAAUCGACGCAAUAACCUAAAAAUCCAAUCAUUGUAUCCGCAAAAUUAAAUUUAAAAUAAUAUAUACAUACUUAUAAACAAUCACAAAUUAUUCACACAAUGAAAUAACACUCCGGUCAAUAAACAUCAACAGUUCACUACAUUCAAUUCUUGAACAAACUAACAAAUAUCACAACACAACAUAGUGAUUCCCAGAAUCAUUAGCCUCAACUAUUUGGUUCCUGAACCAGUGUGGAUCUCAGACUCUUCAAAUGAUCUAUGAGCUCAUAUUCAUGCAAUAAUGUCUCACUACACCAUCCCUAUCAUAGAUGAAGGUGUCAAGAAUCUUUUUCUCAUCCCAUAUGAAGGUAUCUAUAAUCUCAUCUAUAACAUUCCAUUUUUCGUAAAUAAAUUUAAUUUUUUAUUAUUUAAAAAUAAAUAAAAUUGAAAAAAAAUGAUGAGAUUUUUAUAAUUAAAUAAAUAAGGAGAAAUAACUUUAUUAAUUAAAAUAAUGGUUUGAAAGAAAAUAAAAAAAAGAUAUUUGAUUUAUUCAUUUGAUAAAAAAUAAAUUACAGUAUUUCUUUAUAAAAUAAUAAAUAAAGAAAAUAGAGUAAAUAAUAGGUUGAGAGUAUCCUAACUAUAAAUAGAGACAUGUUAUGUCAGUUUUCAGACAAACGAUAGUCUUUACGGUUUCUCUUCCUCUCAAUUUCGUUUUCCCUUUUCCUCCUCUCAAAACUCUCUUUCUUUUUCCCACAUACACUUAAACCUGUCCUAGUAAAAUGACGAUCUCAAACUUGUUAACCGUUGGAUCAUCAAGAAAUUUGAGCAUCAGGUUUGGAACUCAUCUCUGAACAUUCUCACCAUUAGAAUUUGCGAAACAAUGUCAUCAGAGGUGAUAAAGAUUCCCUUUUAUUGUAGCUUUCUCUUUUCCCGUAGAGACCCAAAACCUAUCCUAGUAAAACUACAAUCCCGUAUUCGUUAAUCGUUGGAUCAUUGUAAAAUUUGGACACCAGCUUUGGAAUUCAUUUUCGCAAAUCACCAUUGGGAUGUGCGGAAUAAUGUUUUUGCAGAGAGAAAUUAGUGUCGCACGUUGACAGUAAAAUGGAGGUUAUAAUAUCUUCUCAUUAUCUCUAAUGCUUGGAAACCCUAACAGAGCAAAAAGAGGAAAAACUUGAGGAAUCUUAAGGAAUUGCCAGAGACACCGCUAUCAUUACUGGACUACAUACAUGAGCCCGCUUAGAGGUAAAGGUUGAGUUUAUCGCCAUUGAGAUUAGAAUAAAUAUGUGUAGGAAUUCUUAGGAGAUCAAAUUGGGGUUUAUUUUAGGAUGUUUAUUGUAUUGUAAUUCUUUCUGUAUGAUUAUGUGAACUAUUUGAGGGAUUUUACUCCCUGUGUUGUGAGAAACAUUUUUGUAUGAUUUGUUUGUGUUUUGGAUAAGAUUAGCAUGAUAAAUAGUUACACUAGGAUCAUUAAAUUGUGAUUGAAAUUUUGUAUAAGUGAUAAAUUGAAUAUGUGAUGAAUUGUGAGAUAACACAUUGCUUUGAGAUUAUAACAUUGUUAUUGAGAUUGAGUAUAAGUGCAAAGUUGAAUGUGUUAAUUUGUGAGAUACACGUAAACAUGUGAUGAUGGAUUGUGACAUUAUGAGACGUUAAAUUGUGGACAUGAGAUUUGAUUGUGAAUAAGUAUAUGGUUAACACUUGAUAAGGCAAUACUUGUACUGUGAGCUGUGAAUUAUACAAUAACCUGACCAGUGUUUACCUUGAGAAAAGUGUUUAUGCACAGUGUUAAAGGGAAAAUGUAGGAUUCAUAUUUAGGAACCAAUGUUAAAUUAUAGCACAAUAUGUUGAAUGUGUUUGAAACACGAGUGUGGGGUCGUGGGUAUUAUAUAAUUCAUGAGUAGUAUCUACGUGCAAAAAUGGUUUUAGGGGUGGGACUUGAAUUAGGAAGGUGAGACCCUAACCAAUUCUUCGGAGUCUAGGCCUUGGGGGUAAAGGCACUCGGUUUGAAUGCUCCUUUAAGCCUAUGUUGAUUUCAUAUGGUUGGAGCAUUCAUGUAAAACAGAGUGAACCUGAUUGGUUACCUUAUGAUUUUACUUAGUGAGAGUGACCUGACAUACCCAUUGUAUGGUGUGUCUUGUUAUGUACUUCUAAGUGUCUCAGGUGAUUUUUUACUGACAUGAUACCACAUUACAUAUAGGCUUGAGUUUUAGUAUAAUUGUUGCAUAACACUUGCUAAUUGUUUAUCAUGAAAUUGAAGAGUGUUAUUACAUCUUGACUUGAAUGUGUGAUUCAUAUAUAAUGUGAUAGGUGAUUGAAGAAUGAAAUUUUAAAUGAUCAAGUGGUGAAGUGAUGUGAGUUGUAUUAAGUUGAACUAUGUUAUAAAUAUUUUUAUAAUAUAUUUGGAUUAUGUCUUUAUUUAUUUGUAUUUUUUUAAAUGUGAUAACUUACUCACUGUGUGCUAUUUGUGUUUAGAUCCUGUGAUGAUCUCAAACUUUGGGUUCGUGGGAGCAGAUGACUAGGUGGAUGACUUUAAAUAACAGUGCUAGAGGACGCUGGAACGCAAUGCUCUGAUAGGAUGUGACAUUGGGAAUGAGUUUUUAUUUUAAUUGCAUGAUGCUAUUUUAUUUUAUUUUAUCUCACUUAUUUAACACAAUUUCUUUUGUAAACUUUGACAGUCUUGCUCCGAGCUGAAUAUGUAUUUGUAUAAGUUUUAUUUGACUAUUAAAGCGAAUGUGAGCCUUUUACCCUUUUGAAAUACUUUUAUUUAAAUGUUUUUGAAAACUAUUAAUUAGUUAUGCUUUUUUAUUCCUUUUAUUAUUAGUAUAUAUAUGUGUAAGAUAGAGGGUGUCACAUCAUUGUCAUUCCAGAUGGAGGUAUCUCAUAUCUCUUCUCCAUCUCAAGUAAAAGUAUCUCAUGCAUAUUCAAUUAUCAAAAUAAGAUAUAUACUUUCAGUUUUAGAGUUUAAAAUCUUUGUGCAAAUAAAUGUAAAAGAUUUUUUUACUAUGGUAGGAAAAUCCAGCAUUUACAGUUGGCUUACAUUUAUCUUAUUUUAAGGAGACAAGCUGUUGGAGUUUUCUGCAAGUGAUUUUUUGUCUUUUAAUUGUUGUUUUAUUGCUUGAUAACUAUGGAUAUGAUUAUUAGUUAUAAAUAGAAAUAAAAUAUAAUUUGUAGAUAUGUUGUGUGGUAAAAAUUUAUUUUAAUCUUUGUAUGACAAACCUUGAAUACGGUUUGAAAUUCUAAAUAUAAAGUUGGGUUUAUAAAAAGUAAGUAAAUAGAUAUUAUAAACUUCAGUUUUUAAGUAUCUUGCUAAAUAAGAUUCACGUUAGACCCCUUUCUGUGUUAACAUAUUACAGACUAUGUAUUUGAUUAAAAAUUAUGAAAUCAAGGCAAUAGAUAUGUUUAACGUACUCAAGCAUUCUGAUGUUGUACUAACAAACAUUGUUUUAUUGUUUUUAUUCUCUAAUCAAAUUCCUGGUUGCAGCAAUUUAUUUCCUUUUUCUAUGUGGUUUCUUUGGUAAGGUUGUGGCAAGAAAUUUAUUGCCGGAACUUGAUACAACUUUAUCAGUUAACUGUGUUCUGCCGCUGCCUUUUCUGUUUUCAUGCAAAUAAAUCAUAAACAAAGAGAAGAUUGAAUUAUUUGGUUAAAAUUAUGUUGAAAUUUGAAAACGUCUCACUCUCACCAGAACCGUUUUAUCUAUGACUUGAUGGUUUGCUUUUCUUAAUUCUUAUUUAUGCAAUAUGGGCAGUUUAAAAGCCAUUUCCAUGAAGUUCGAGUUCUCCCUUACUGCAUAUCAAUUGCCUGUGAUAACUAUGAAGUAUGAAUAGUGUCAUCAAAUUUUGCCCGAAUGUAGAUAUGGGGCAGACAUUGCACGAGGGAUUGUUGAGUUACAUGCUGCAGGCAUUGUUUGCAUGAAUAUAAAAACAUCCAAUCUUCUUCUUGAUUCAACUGGCCUUGCUGUGAUUUCUGAUUACUGCUAUUCUGAAGAAGCAUUCCUGUUGGAAGGGCCAACCUGAGCAUGACUCCUCAAACACAUUAUACAGCUCCAGAGGCUUGGGGGCAACUUCUGAAGAAAUCAUUAAAUUUGUUCUGGGAUGAUGCAAUAGGUAUAUCAGCAGAGUCUGAUGCCUGGAGUUUUGGUUGUACACUGGUGGAGAUGGGCACGGGUUUUGUUCCGUACAUGGAUCAACUCAUCAUUCAAUUUUUCUUUUUCUUUGCAUUCUGGUUUUCUAGAGUUGCAUAUCGCAAAUUCUAUGCUUGUGUAGUUGGGCUGGUUUAAGUUCGGAGGAAAUUUAUCAAGCAGUUGUCAAGGCAAAGAAACUGCUUCCACACUAUGCCAGUGUGGUUGGUGGUGGAAUACCUAGUGAUUUGUGGAGGUUGAUUGGAGAGUGCUUGCAGUUCAAGCCAUCUAAAAGGCCUAGUUUAACUGCAAUGUUGGCAAUAUUUCUCCGUCAUUCGCAGGGAAUGCCGCGCAGCCUUCCUGCAAGCCCAAAUAAGUAAGCCCAUUAUAAUUAUCCAUGACUUGUAUCUUCUAUGCUGUUUUUAUGGCAUCUGAUUGAGCAGUCAAAAUGUAGCCUAUUUAUAGUUUUAGAUGUGUGGUGUGGAAAUGAGCCAAAUUUGCAGUUGUCGUAGAUGCCAAACAAUUGACUUGUACAUGUUUUAUAUUUUUGUAAAUACAGUGAUAGAGUUGUCCCCUGUGCAAGAAUUAGAAGUUUCUCAGAAAAACCCAUUCCAUCUUCAUCAAUGUGUGUCUCGGGGAUGUUAGAAGUGUUAGGUCAGUUGGUGCAUCAAAGUCACAAACAAUCUUCCUUGAGCUUGCUUUCAUUUUCAUUUUGCAAUUCAUUCUUUUUCUUUGUACUUUCCGUACAGUGAUCUUCUUUUCAAGGCUGCAUCAGACUAUGGCAGCAACAGCCUAUCUUCUCUGCUGGAAGCUCAAAAUGCUGAUGAACAAACUGCUCUCCACUUAGCUUGUAGAUGUGGCAGUGCAGAACUUGUUGAGGCAAUUUUGGAGUAUGAAGAGGCAAAUGUUGAUGUCUUGGACAAAGAUGGAGAUCCUCCUCUUGCUUAUGCAUUAGCUGCUGGAUCCCCAGAAUGCGUUCGCAGUCUUAUCAAAAGAGGUGCUAAUGUGAGGCCACAAUUAAGAGAUGGCUUUGGCCCAUCUGUUGCUCAUGUUUGUGCACAUCAUGGCCAACCAGAAUGCAUGCGAGUAUGUUUUACUUUAAUCAUAUUCAGGUUCGUCUUUGCAUUUACUAGAGCUAUAUUCAUAUAAAUAUAUGGUAAAAUAACAGGAAUUACUAUUAGCUGGAGCUGAUCCUAAUGCAGUGGAUGAUGAAGGUGAAUCUAUCCUGCAUAGAGCAGUUCCCAAGAAGUGUUGGACAUUUUAGUGUAAUUGAUCUCUUUAUUAUGUUAAAAUAAGAGUGCACGCUUGUUUUAAUGUAAUAACGAGAUGCUCGGUUUAGGCAAAUUUUGGAAGUUACAUGGAAGUCAAAUUUUGGAAGUUACAUGGAAGUUAUUUUUCAAGAAAAGAAAGUUUUUUUAAAAAAGAUAAACUUCCAUCAACCGCCAACCGUUUUAUUUUAAAGGAUAAAACUUCCAUAACUUCCUUCAACCGCCAAAAACCACCUGUUCUUUGAUUAUAAAUAAUCAUCCUGGUUCAGAAAGCAUAACAUGUGAAAAACAUACAAGACCAAAACAAAACUCUUGAAUUAUAAUCUUCUGAUUUUAUCCGAUUGAACAAUUUUGGUUGAACCCCGAAAUUUGAUUCAAUCUGAAAGUGUUUAUACACGACUUCAGAUUUAUCCAGGAUUAUCUCGAUUUUCAAAAUUAACCAACAAAAGAUUGAAUCAAAUCUUUCGAGAUGACGAACGAUAGUUCGAAGAUGACAAGCAAGUUUGCAAAGUUGGACAAGUUUGAAGGGUAGGAUUUCAGAAGAUGGCAGAAGAAGAUGCACUUUCUCUUGACAACAUUGAAUGUGGUGUAUGUGCUGAGUACACCGAUGCCGGUGUAUAUGGAAGGCGAAACUCUGGAUCAAACAAGGAAGCGUUCGAAAUGGGAGAACGACGAUUACAUUUGUCGUGGACAUAUUCUGAACGGUAUGUCUGACUCUCUCUUUGAUAUUUAUCAAAAUGUUGAGUCUGCUAAGGAAUUAUGGGACUCUCUUGAAUCCAAGUAUAUGGCAGAAGAUGCCUCAAGUAACAAAUUCUUAGUUAGUAAUUUCUUUAAUUACAAAAUGAUUGAUUCGAGGCCUGUUAUGGAGCAAUAUAAUGAACUGCUGCGGAUUUUGGGUCAGUUUACUCAACAUGAUUUGAAAAUGGAUGAAUCCAUUGCAGUUUCAUCUAUAAUUGAUAAACUGCCUUCUUCUUGGAAAGACUUCAAGCAUACCUUGAAACAUAAGAAGGAAGAGUUGACUCUGGUUUAACUCGGUAGUCAUUUCAUGAUUGAGGAGUCGCUGAGGGCUCAGGAAAUUGACAAAGUCAAUAAUAAAACCGUAGCAGGUUCCUCUUCCGUUAAUAUGGUAGAGGAAAGUGGAACAGUUAAGCAAAAUUACAAUGCUAAAGGUAACAAAUGAAAAUUUCAAGGAAAUAAGAACAAAGGUCCAAACAAACAGACAAAAUUGUCUUGUUGGAAGUGUGGGAAACCUGGUCAUUUAAAGAGGGAUUGCCGGGUGUUCAAAGGAAAGAACAAGGUUGGUCCAAGUGGGUCUAAUGAUCCUGAAAAGCAACAAGGUCAGAUUGUAGUGAAUAAUUUUAAUUCGAAUACGAAUUCAAAUUAUGUAUCACUAAUAUCUGAUGCAUUCUAUGUGCAGGAUGAUGACGUUGCUUGGUGGUUUGAUUCGGGAGCAACAAGCCAUGUGUGCAAAGAUCGUCGUUGGUUCAAGGAAUUUAGACCAAUCGAUGAUGGCUCUAUUGUGAAGAUGGGCAAUGUUGCAACUGAACCAAUCCUAGGAUUAGGUUGUGUGAAUUUAGUUUUUACUUCCGGAAAAAGUUUGUAUUUGGAUAAUGUCUUAUUUGUACCUGGUAUUCGUAAGAACUUAUUGUCUGGUAUGGUUUUAAAUAAUUGUGGUUUCAAGCAAGUACUUGAAAGUGACAAGUACAUCUUGUCAAGACAUGGUUCGUUUGUUGGAUUUGGUUAUCGUUGUAAUGGAAUGUUUAAAUUAAACAUUGAUGUUCCUUUUGUUCAUGAAUCUGUUUGUAUGGCCUCGUGUAGUUCUAUAACUAAUAUGACAAAAUCAGAAAUUUGGCAUGCUAGAUUAGGACAUGUUCAUUACAAAAGAUUAAAAGAUAUGUCAAAAACAAGUAUGAUUCCUCCUUUUGAUAUGAACAUUGAAAAAUGCAAAACUUGCAUGUUGACCAAGAUCACUAGGAAACCUUUUAAGGAUGUUAAAAGUGAGACUAAAGUCUUAGACCUUAUUCAUAGUGAUUUGUGUGAUUUGCAUGCUACUCCAUCAUUAGGUCAUAAAAAAUAUCUUGUUACUUUUAUUGAUGAUGCAUCAAGGUAUUGUUAUGUAUAUUUAUUAAAUACAAAAGAUGAAGCUCUUGAUAAAUUUAAAAUUUAUAAGAAAGAGGUAGAACUUCAUCAAAAUGGGCUAAUCAAAACUCUUUGUACGGAUAGGGGAGGUGAGUAUUAUGAUCCGGUUUAUUUUCAAUCUACUGGAAUAAUACAUCAAACUACAGCUCCCUAUACACCACAACAGAAUGGUGUAGCCGAAAGGAAGAAUAGAACCUUGAAAGAAAUGGUGAAUUCCAUGUUAUCCUAUUCGGGUUUAAGUGAAGGAUUUUGGGGUGAGGCUAUGUUGACAGCCUGUUACUUGUUGAACCGAAUUCCUAACAAAAGGAAUAAGGUUACCCCAUAUGAACUUUGGCACAAAAAGACACCAAAUUUGAGUUAUCUCAAAAUUUGGGGAUGUAGGGCUGUAGUCAGGCUUACAGAACCUAAAAGGAAAACCAUAGGUGAAAGAGGUAUAGAUUGCAUAUUUAUUGGAUAUGCUGAACAUUCUAAAGCAUAUAGAUUCUAUGUGCUAGAAUCUAAUGAUUCUGUUGCUGUGAACUCGAUUAUAGAGUCACGAGAUGCUAUCUUUGAUGAACAAAGGUUUACAUCUAUACCUAGGCCAAAGGACAUGAAUUCCAUGUCGAAAGUCUCAGUUAAUAUUGAGGAUAUACCUUUAACUAGUACUGAAACUAGAAAGAGUACGAGAGUAAGAAAAGCUAAGUCAUUUGGUGAUGACUUUCAACUCUAUUUGGUUGAAGGGUCAAGGAAUGAUAUUGAAUUUCAAUAUCAAUAUUGCCUUAAUGUUGAGGAAGACCCAAAGACUUUUAGUGAAGCAAUGGCUUCAAGGGAUGCUGUAUUCUGGAAAGAAGCAAUCCAAAGUGAGAUGGAUUCCAUCAUGCAAAAUAAUACCUGGAAAUUGGUUGACUUACCUCCUGGAUGUAAGCCAUUAGGAUGUAAGAUGAUCUUUAGGAGAAAGAUGAAAGUGGAUGGUACUGUUGACAAGUACAAAGCCAGAUUGGUUAUCCAAGGCUUUAGGCAAAAGGAGGGUAUUGAUUUUUUCGAUACAUAUGCUCCUGUUGCUAGGAUAUCCACUAUUAGACUGUUGUUAGCACUUGCUGCUAUCCACAAUCUGAUGAUUCACCAAAUGGAUGUGAAAACUGCAUUCUUAAAUGGUGAAUUGGAUGAAGAGAUAUACAUGAAACAACCUGAAGGGUUUGUUAUGCCAGGAAAUGAAAAUAAGGUGUGUAAACUGAUGAAAUCUCUUUAUGGCUUGAAACAAGCGCCUAAGCAAUGGCAUCAAAAAUUUGAUGAGGUUGUGUUGUCUAGUGGUUUUGUUAUAAACCAAGCAGAUAAAUGUCUAUACAGCAAGUUUGAUACUCAUGGCAAAGGAGUUAUCAUUUGUCUGUAUGUAGACGACAUGUUGAUCUUUGGUACCGACCAAGAUCAAGUUGAUGAAACUAAGGCAUUUUUGUCUUCUAAGUUUGAUAUGAAAGAUAUGGGGGAGGCGGAUGUGAUCUUAGGAAUAAAGAUUAAACGUGGAAACAAUGGUAUUUUCAUCUCUCAAUCACAUUAUAUUGAGAAGAUAUUGGAGAAAUUUAAUUUUAAAGAUUGUUCUCCGGUAAGUACUCUCAUUGAUCCUAACCUGAAGCUAUUACCUAAUAAAGGUGUAGCAUUGUCUCAACUUGAAUACUCAAGGGCGAUAGGAUCACUCAUGUAUGCAAUGAUUAGUACUAGGCCUGAUAUAGCUUAUGUUGUUGCUAAACUCAGUAGGUUUACAAGUAAUCCUAGUUCUCAUCAUUGGCAAGCUAUGAAUAGAGUAUUCAAAUACUUAAAGGGAACCAUUGAUUAUGGUUUGACAUAUACUAGAUUUCCUUCGGUUAUUGAAGGUUACUCUGAUGCAAGUUGGAUAACCAAUAUGGAGGAUUAUUCAUCCACAAGUGGUUGAGUAUUCCUCCUUGGAGGAGGUGCUAUAUCUUGGGCAUCCAAGAAAUAGACCUGCAUUACAAAUUCAACAAUGGAAUCUGAAUUUGUAGCUUUAGCAGCAGCUGGUAAAGAAGCUGAGUGGCUAAGAAAUCUGAUCUAUGAGAUUCCAUUGUGGCCCAAACCUAUACCUCCCAUGUCUAUCAGGUGUGAUAGUCAGGCAACUUUGGCUAAGGCAUAUAGUCAAGUGUAUAAUGGGAAGUCUAGACACUUGGGUGUUAGACACAACAUAGUUCGGGAGUUAAUCAUGCAUGGUGUGAUAUCAGUGGAGUUUGUGAGAACUCAGCAUAAUUUGGCCGAUCAUUUAACCAAAGGGUUAAGUAGAGAUCUCGUGAAAAGGUCGGCUGUGGGAUUAGGAUUAAAGUCCAUCUGAAAUCUCUUAUGUUAAGAUACCCAAUUCCCAUCUAAUAUGACAUUAGGUGCUGAAUUCAAUGUGGAAAGCUUAACAUGUAGAGAUUGGAACACAUCAUCGAAAUUAUCCCAAAAGGAAUGUGUUCGGUUCUGUAAGUUAAGGAGGUUGAAGUAUAACUUCUCAAUGGUUCUUUUGAAAAAUUGCAUUUACAGGUGCAAGAAAGAAAAGGACUACCUAUAUAAGCAUGAAGUUUAGCCGCUUCAAGAAGCUGGGACUUGGCUUUGAUAUGCUUAUGAAGGAUAGGGACACAGGCUAGUAAAACUAGUGUCGAGCAAGAGUAAUGUUAUAAACUAUUGUGCAGAUUAUCUUCAUGUAUUCAUUAUGAAUAGAAAGGGUUCAAUCCUUAGUGACACCCUGAUAUUCGAAUAUUUGAAACGUGUAAUUUGCUAAGAUGAAAUUCAAUCGUCACGAUAUUUCAUCUAUGCAGUAGUUUGUUGUAUGUUAUGACUUUGGUGAUUUGAUCGGUAAUUACACUAAAAUGGGGGAGGUUUGUUGGACAUUUUAGUGUAAUUGAUCUCUUUAUUAUGUUAAAAUAAGAGUGCACGCUUGUUUUAAUGUAAUAACGAGAUGCUCGGUUUAAGCAAAUUUUGGAAGUUACAUGGAAGUCAAAUUUUGGAAGUUACAUGGAAGUUAUUUUUCAAGAAAAGAAAGUUUUUUUAAAAAAGAUAAACUUCCAUCAACCGCCAACCGUUUUAUUUUAAAGGAUAAAACUUCCAUAACUUCCUUCAACCGCCAAAAACCACCUGUUCUUUGAUUAUAAAUAAUCAUCCUGGUUCAGAAAGCAUAACAUGUGAAAAACAUACAAGACCAAAACAAAACUCUUGAAUUAUAAUCUUCUGAUUUUAUCCGAUUGAACAAUUUUGGUUGAACCCCGAAAUUUGAUUCAAUCUGAAAGUGUUUAUACACGACUUCAGAUUUAUCCAGGAUUAUCUCGAUUUUCAAAAUUAACCAACAAGAAGUCCGCUGACUGUGCCCUUGUGAUACUGGAAAAUGGGGGAAAUGGAUCAAUUGCCAUCUUGAAUCCAAAGAAUAUGUCUUAAGUAUAGAUUUCCCAUCAAUUUUCUUCUUAAGCUUAAAAUGUGUUUGCCAAACUUGUCAAUCAGUCUAGGACUCCAGAGGUACAGAAAGAAACGGAUCUUACUCAUCAAUUUUGCAUAUCCAAUGAUCAAUGUGAAACAUGCACUUUAGCUGUCUCAGUCCACUGCAAUGACAGCAUGGCUUUUCUCUAGCAUGGAGCAGCAAACUCAUGUCGAAACAUGCACCUUAGCUGGAUAAAAUUGAUACAAACUACUUCUGUAAUUUCUUAGCUGCUUGUACAAUUGAGUACAAUUUAGGAUAGGAAUUGGAACAGAAUGACAAUAUAUUUCUCUAAAAUCCUUUAAUGUAUAAUGAAUAAUUGCUGCUAAUGCUCAAUAUCUUACAUAAGUGACAUUUAUUCUUAUUAUCUCUUCAUUAUGGUGCGUUCCUUCUGAAUUUUGAUUCCACUGAAAAACUUUCUAAUUUGCUGGUGGACACUAUCUUAUUGAUGCCAAAUUUUGUUUGUGGUCUUCCAUAGUUCUCUCCAAAUUUAGAGGUCAUGGAUCUUACCUUUUCAAUAGAUAGUUCUUUAUUGAUGUAUGUUGUCUGCGGGCUAAACAAACAGGUUGUUGGUUUCCCCCUAGCACUGGCAGACCUCUUUACUGAUUUUUUUUCAUCUUCUGUGCAUUAUCUAGGUUUAAUCAACAGUCCCUUGUCAUUCUGGUUCCUUAUUCUAUUGAGUUUUUAGUGUGAGCUUUUGUCAGCAAAAGGAAAAAAAAAUCAUAUUGUAAUGCUUUAUAUUACAAUAAUUUUAGUAAUCAAGUUUCAGAAUAACCAUAUUUGUAAAUAGAGAUUUUUUAUUUAUUUAUAAAUUACAUAAUAUAUGAAUACUUACAAUAGUAUGAUGAUAUGAUCAUUGUUUUAUUUGACGACCUUUGUAUAGAGAAUAGAUCUACAUGGUUCUUAUUUCUUAUCACUAGUACUAUUUUUACUUUGGAUAGAGUAAUUAUUAAGUUGUUGGUGUUAUAUUCCAUUUGUUUUUGCUCUCAUGCUAGACUAUACUGAUAGAUUAUAGAUAUCAUCAGGAUACUUUGACAAAUGUCUUUGUGAAGCUUGGGUUUUUAUACCUGUAUCCGUUGUUUUGUUUUUCCUCAUGAGUAAGUUGGGUCUGGUCGUAAUAUAUCUAGGGCAAAGGAAUGGUUUCUUAGAUGUAAAAGAUGGUAGUCUAUUCUUUUACUUUGAAUAAACCACAGUAGAAGAUUUCUGCACUGUGAUAUUGCUGAUGGGAAAACUGGAAAGAAAAAAAUCAAUUAUUCCUGUCUGAAUCAACCAUGGCCACCUCUUCUUUGUCCUUAUUUAAGUAGUACAACAACAACAACAACAACAACGCCUUAUCCCACUAGGUGGGGUCGGCUACAUGGAUCAACUUCCGCCAUAAUGUUCUAUCAAGUACCAUACUUCUAUCCAAACCAUUAAUUUCGAGAUCCUUUUUGAUAACCUCUCUUAUAGUCUUUUUGGGUCUUCCUCUGCCUCGAAUUGUUUGUCUUCUCUCCAUCUGGUCUACUCUUCUCACUACAGAGUCUACCGGUCUUCUCUCUACAUGCCCAAACCACCUAAGUCUAUUUUCCACCAUCUUCUCUACAAUAGGCGCUACUCCAACCAUCUCUCUAAUAGCUUCGUUUCUAAUUUUAUCCUGUCGAGUCUUACCACACAUCCACCGCAACAUCCUCAUCUCCGCUACACCUACUUUAUUCUCAUGUUGGCUCUUGACCGCCCAACAUUCUGUUCCGUACAAAAUUGCCGGUCUUACCGCAGUCCGAUAAAACUUUCCCUUUAGCUUGAUCGGUACCUUUGCAUCACAUAACACCCCCGAUGCUUUUCUCCAUUUCAUCCAUCCUGCUUGAAUGCGAUGAUUCACAUCCCCUUCAAUGCUUCUAGGAAACUGAAAGCAUAUGCUGUAGGUCAAUCAUAUAAUAGCAAGUUAAAUACCACUGAAGCUGGUAUUUUAGCUAAUUUUAAAGGAAAUUGCUUCUUUUUAUCAUAAUUCUGGGGGUUAGUUUUUUAGUUCUUGGGUGUUUUAUUUCUUCUCAUAUUUGUUGGAAUUUCUAUAUGGGAUUGCAACAUUUUAAAUGCAUUCUUGUUUCUGUGUGGGUGUUUGAAUAUAGAUAUCAUUUCGCCUCACAUGCAUCUGUGAUCAUCUAGUUUUACACUUUUGAUGUUGCAGACUGCUGCACUUGUGUGUGACAACUUGGAAUGAUAUCUAAAUUCAAACAUGGGAUUGCUGAAGUUGCAACUUCUGAUGAGAUUGCUGAAUCAAUUGACAUGACAUCCCAAGCCCUAUGAGCACUGCUUUGUGGAUGGCUGCUGCCUCCAAGAAAGAUCAUGAAAGUGGUAUGAAUAUCUGGGAUUAUUGGUUGAUACUUGAUAAUGAUUUUAGAAUUCAUAUUGUCUGUUGAUUGGGCUAUUAUAGUUUUUUAUUCAUACCUGUUGUUAUUGCUGUUUUUUUUUAUUCCAAACAAAGUUCAGUGCAUAUUUUCUUCUAGUAGGUAUUCCUAAUUUAUGCUAAUAAUUAAUAAAGCUUCUGUUUUCUAAAAUAGUUAAGUCAUCUGAUUUUGUUUGCUCAUGCAAAAUAUAGAGGAGAGAGAAUAGGUGCAAAUUUUGCUUUCUGCGGAGCAGAUCCAUCUGCUCAACAUUCACAGCAUGGGCGGACAGCUUUGCAUACAGCUGUUAUGAUUGACGAUGUUAAAUUGGUUAAGGUGAGUAAACCAGAUUCUUGAUUAGAAUGAUUAAAUAUCCAUCAAUAUUCAAUAUCAUGUUGGAAUAUGAAGUAUGUGCCUUUUGUAUCUGAUGUUAACUAACUUCUUUUUUUUGGUGUUGAGUAGGUUAUUCUUGCUGCUGGUGUUGAUGUGAACAUUCGUAAUGUGCACAAUGGCAUUCCUCUUCACAUAGCCUUAGCUAGGGGUGCUAAGUCAUGUGUUGAACUACUUCUAUGUAUUGGGGCAGAUUGCAAUUUGCAGGUUUUAAUUCAAGUUCUGAAUUUACUCUGUUUAACUACAGCAUUACACUAAGUGUUAUACUACUGUUGGUUCUUUAUAUAAGAAACAAAUAAUUAAUUCAUCAAGACCAAUCAAAGUAGUUUAGUUAAUUUUAAUUAAUAAUGUCAUAAAUUAAAAUUUGAUUCCAAAAGUAAAUAUAAAGGCAAAGUUUCAUAUCUCUUAUUAUUGUAUUGUUUCAAAACGAAUAUAUGGUGCUUUGAUCUUAUUUCUUUUUUCCUCUUGAUCUCUCUGAUACAUUAUAAAAUGAUUUUUCUAUUUGAUUAUAGUAGAUUUGGAAUUGAACUUCAUCAUAUGACUGAUUGAUUGCUGAGUUCAGUCUCCAGUUCACUGUAGUCAGCCACUUCGUCACAGAGUAAAUUAAGCCUAAUGAUAAUUUAUAUGGUUAUAAAUGGUUGGGGGACUGACUAAUCUAAGGGACAUGAUUCUUAUUAGAACUCAAAAAGUUACAUAUGCUGUUGAAAAUGUAGAAUGGAAUAUUGAAGUCUCUCUAAGUUUAUACAAUUGUCAUCUGUUUGGGAAUAUUUGAGAUCUAAUGAUAUAGUUGAAACUUGAAAGUUUAGUGUUUGCUUCCAUUGCAGGCAUUUAAUCUGUCAGACAAAUUGCAAUUUAACAAUUUGAGGUUUAUCCUCUUCAAAAAGUUAGUACAUAAUAUCUCAAACUAAGAGUUGGUUCAUAACAUUUUAUGGUGCACUCUAAAAUUGACAACUAGGCAGUUACAAGUAGCACCUGACUGGAACUAAAAUCUUCUCAAUGACAGUUUUUAGAUUGCACCGAACUUCUGGAGGAUGAAGUUUUACAAAUGAAACCUCACCAUUCAUUUUAACUCCUCAAUAGUGAGCCAGAGUUCAGGGGUUGUUAAAGUGUUACUAGCGUAACUUCUGUACCAACACUGAAAAGUGCAUAAACUUUAAAUCUACCUUUUAUCCUAAACAGUAAGUAGGCAUUAGUUUUGAUUUACUGUUGUCUUUAUCAUAUCUAUCUUUUACAUUUUAGGCUGGCUUGUGUACAUGCACAAGGAUAAACAGGGUGGAAUAUGUUUUUUUAACAAAAAAUUGUUACAUGCUAUAAAUAUUUGAAAGUUGACAUUCUAGUGUCCGCCUAUUGUCUGAAAUAAGUUUUGCUAUUAUGUUUCUAAUUUAAAGUUCUAAGCUGUUUAUUUUGUCUCAGGAUGAUGAUGGUAACACUGCUCUCCAUAUAGCAGCAUGAACAGCAAAAAUGAUACGUGAAAAUCUUGAUUGGCUCAUUGUAUGCUUGGGAAUCCUAAUGCUGAUAGUCAGAAACUACUGGCAAGUUGCAGCUCUGUGCACUCAUUCUCAUUAGAUUUUGAUUACAUUUUUUUUCAUCUUUUAACCAUCUGAAAAACUUUUGUCCAUCCUUUUAGAAAACUUUGGCAACUUUCAUUUUUCCAUUCCAAAAGAAAGUCCCUCCUAUGACUUAUAGAGUUAUGUUUUAUUACAGUGGCAAGACUCUAGGUGACAUCUUGGAUGUCCUUCCCCGAGAAUGGAUAUCAGAAGAUCUGAUGGAGGCACUCAUGAAGAAAGGAGUUUGUCUCUCUCCUGCAAUGUAAGGCAACGACAUUUUAUUAUUAUUUUUUUUAUUUACUGUUCUUGAAAUAUCUUCAUUGUAUGUCUUAAAAUAUUUUAGAAUAUCGUAGGAAAUCUUUGAAUUUUGUCAUAUCAAUUACCUCUCGAAUAUAGGAAGAAAUUUUAGCUGUUUCCUAACUUCAUUAUGUUUUUAAUUAUUUUCCUUAUUUAAGUAGGGUUAGGAGUUUAUUGUCUUAGUGUGCUUUUUGCACUUGUAGCAUAGAACUACACCUGUAAGUGACCUAAUUCAUAGUAUAAAUAAGUGCCAGUGUCUGUAAUCUAAUGGAAUACUAUCAAGAACCUUCACUGAGAAAACAAUACAAUUUAGCUCCUUCUUUUUCUCUUUCCCUCCUUUCCUACCUUAAGCCCCAUAAAUUCAAUAGAUGUGAUAUCAUAUUUAUUUUCUAACCACAUCCAACUAUUUUUUUAUAAUUUUUGUUUAUUGUUUUAGAUUUGAAUUGGGAGACUGGGUGAAGUUUAGAAAAACUUCCAUAACUCCAACAAAUGGGUGGGAAGGUGAUCGGCAGAAGCAGGUGGGCUUUUUGCAGAGAGUUCCAGACAAAGAUAAUCUCAUUGCUUCAUUUUGUUCUGGAGAGUAUUAUAGUGUUUUGGCCAAUAAAGUUGUAAAAGUCGUUCCAUUAGACAGGGGACAACAUGUGCAGCUUAAAGAGGAUGUAAAAAAGCCAAGGUUUCUUUCUGCAUAAAUCUUAUAUGAAAUAUAAGUGAGGAAAAGUAUGUGUGAAUUUUCAUCAGUACAUGCAUAUGUUUAUAUUAUGUACAGUAUGAAUUACAAGAGGAACCAUCUUCUAAAUCAGAACUAAUUAGCCCUGGCACCACUCAUCCAUGAGUCAGUAACAUCCAACUAAGCAUUAUAUAAUAUAAUGGCUUCUUUGUGUCCAUGCCUCUGUUGGAGGGAUUUCUAUGAUCCUUUAAAAUAUCUAAAUAGAUUGGAGAGGUCAUAUUUGGAUCCAAUUGCAAGGUACGAGACUUGAGUCCCACAGUAGAAGUGUGGGAUUAGAAUUCUGUUUGAGUCCAGCUUCUCUUAUUAAGGAGAAGAGAAACCCAAAAUAAAUUAGGCCAAGCACUUCCUAAAACAUCAUAUGAUGUCUGGAAAUGAUGUAUAUUUGGCCUUUGUUCUUAUUGCAGAUCAUUUGUGUUAGUCCAACAUGUAUUGCAGGCAGUCUUUACUUUCCAGAUAGUGAUCAUGAGUUGUAAACUAACAAGUAUUACAACACAACUUAGUGAUUUCUAUGAUCACUAGACUCAACUUUUUGGUUUUUAGAACGGAUGUGCAUCUCAAAUUCUUUAAAGGAUCUAUGAGUUUAUAUCCAUGCAAUGACAUCUCACUGUCUACCUCAUCAUAGAUGAAGGUGUCAAGAAUCUCUUUCCCAUCCCAUAUGAAGGUAUCUAUAAUCUCAUCCUCAUCUCAGAUGGAGAUAUCUCAUAUCUUUCUCUCAUCCCAAAUGAAAAUAUCUUUUGGAUAUUCAAUUUUCAAUAAAAUAUACAUUGUCACCACUUCCUAAAAGAUGACUAAUAAAUUACAAAGUCAUACCCCAAAUUAUAACAUCAUGAGAGUCAAUUAAUAAUUAACUAUGAAAUAAAACACACACACAAUAUUAAAUAUAUUUUAGUUGAUAUAUAUGAUAGCUAAACACAAAACUCAAGCAAACUUAUUCAUGAAUUUUUAAAUAAAUUCCAAGAUUAAAUAUGUAACCAAUGAAGAUUUGUACAUUAUAAUACCCCUUUUGUAAAAUUAAAUCAAACCCCACGAAUAGUAACAAUUACAUGUGAAUAUGGUUAUAUCAGACCCUUAAAUAAUGUCAUGCAAUGAUACGACGGAACCUAAAUUUUGCAUCAUCAAUGGAUUAAUUGACACAAAUAUCAAUGUAUCAAUUUAUCGAUUUAUCAUUGGUAAACUCAAAAAGAUGUAUUUCUAAAAUCUAUAUCAUGAAAGUUUAGAAAAAGAAGGUCAUUUUACUCACUUCUUGAAACACAUAGUAAUUCACGCGUUUCACUUAUUAUUCUUCUUCUACUGGGACAACAAGAUUCUUUUUGUUUCUUCUUUCUUCUCAAUCCUAUAUAAUUUACUAAUUUUUUAUUUUCUAAGAGACUGUCUAUAAAACUUUAGAAGAAGAGAAUUAUUUAUUCCUAUAUAAUACAAGGAUAUAUAAUUUAAGAUUAGGUCACAUGAGAUAUAUUCUUAGUAGAUUUGGCUAAUCAAAUCUUUCUUUUUUUUCCUACUUAUUAUCUUGAUUUACCUGAUUAUUAAAAUUAUCUAAUAUUUUAUUUUCUUUCAAGAUAUAUUAAGAUAAACCAUGGUAAAAUUUAAAUCAUUGUCAAUUAUCACAAUUUUACAUGUAACAAAUAUCUUAUCCAAACUAGAUAUACAAUGCUAUAUUAUUAAUAGAAUAAUUAUUUUUACAAUAAUAAUAAUCUUUUUAAUCCUCUUAAUUAGGAUAUGAAAGAGUCACGCUUUCUUUUAUAAUUAUAAAAUAAUCUCAACAAUUUUUAUAUUAACUGACUAAUCUUUUUUAUUUAUAAAACUCAAUAAAGUACUUAAAAGAUACAUAAUCUUUUUAUUCAAUAUUUCAAAGAUAUAUAUAUAUAUAUAUAUAUAUAUAUAUAUAUAUAUAUAUAUAUAUAUUAUCAUAAUUAUUUUAAUUAAAAUUAAUAACAAUUAUUAUAUUAAAAUUUUAGGAUGUUACAUGAGAAUGAGAAGAUAUGUAAGUAUGGAGACGACUUCCCCAUUCUGAAUUACACUAGGCCGUCAAUUGCAAAUCAAAAUUUCUACUCAAGAGCACACACCUUGUUCUGGAUUCCCUACUACUCACAUCAGCCUCCUAAUACUCUUGUCUAGGUUGAUGCAUGAACUGAGACAAUAUGUAAACACAAUAAGACAAUUUUGGUAUAGUUAAACAAAGGUAAAUAAGGCGUCCAACUAUCCGCCUAUAUUAAUCAAGAUGAGAAAAUUCUGAUCCUUCAACAAUACCCAAACCAUGAUUCUGCUCCAUGGGACUAUUUGAUGAUUUUGUUUCAAAAAAAUCUUGUUUCUCUUAUGAUACUCAGAACAGUCAAUUGUAUCAAAUAAAAGAAAGAAGAUAACUCUUCAAUUAUAACAAUUUUAUACAAAAAAUUAAAAAUAUAUAAAAUUUACUUUUUAAGUUGCUUCUAUAAAAAACUAUUAUAACACGUAGAUUUUGUUCUUCACAAAAUCAAGGUCAAGAACCAAUAAAUGUUGAACAUUGACAUUUUCUGCUUCUCUUGCUUAAGUUUUUUUUUUUUUUGGUGAAUUUUUCUCUUGCUUAAGUUUUUUUUUUUUUUGGAUGAAUUUUUCUCUUGGUUAAGUAGGAGGCAUCUAAGUGACAAAGACGCGUUUUCUAUUUCAAGAGUCUUGUUUGGUAUACAAAUUAAAGUCUUUUAUUCUGUAAUCAAUUUAUAGUAAAAAUAUCUGAUUAAUUUUUAUGAAGUUUUAUUUAACGUCCCUUUACUUCAAAAUCACAUGUUAAGAGGAUAGUAAAUGAAUGGGUUUUUUUUAAGUGAAUGCAUCUCUCUCUUACUUUUUUUUUCAAUUUAUACUUUGUAAUUUAAUUCCCAAUAUACACAUUCUCUUUUUUUUGUUUUUUUUUUAAUUUAAAAAUUAUAAAAUAUAAAUAUUAUAUUAUAUAAUUUUUUAAUUGGUUUUAAAAUUAAUUAUUUAUUAAAUUAAAUUUUAUAAUUUUGUUUUUUAAUUUUUUAAAAUAAAAUAAUAUUAUUAAAUAUAAUUAUUUUUAUUUUAUUAUUUAAUUAACUUAACAUAUUUUUAGGUGAAUAUUUUUAUUUAAAAUCUGAAUUUUAUAAUAUAAUUAUAUUACUAAAUAUAAUUAGUUUGUUUAUGUCAUUAGAUUUAAUUAAAAAUGAGAAGACUUUUUGUUCAACAAUUUAUUUAUAGAAAAACAUUAUAUUGCAUUAUCAAUAAAAUACUUAAACAAUUACACUUGACUAAGAAAAAACUUAAAUGAAGAUAUAUUAGGACAAUUGUUUCUGUUAUGAGCAUGUUGCCGACAAAUUCCACAUUUUUUACUACUUUCUCAUUCAUUUUUCAUCUCGGUAGGAAUGCGAGUCGAGACGGGACGACCAUUUGCAGUCCUCUUUCUCCCUUGAUCAUAACCCACUGUAUUUUUUUAACGUGUUUCAUUAUUUUUUACUGUGUUUUUUAGUUUGUUUUAAUUCUACUAACUAAUUUUCUUAUUUUUUAAAUUAACGAACAUAACAAACUAAAUAUAAACAGCACAUAAAUUUAACUACAAAAGUACAUACAACUUAACUAAAAAAUUGUGGUUUUUUUUCCGUGAAUACACCCUCUCUAUCCUGCUUUUACUCAAUCUACACUACAUUGUAAUUUAAUUCCCAAUCUACACACUCUCUCCUUUUUGUUUUUUUUUUAAUUUAAAAUAUUAUAAAAUAUAAAUAUUAUAUUAUAUAAUUUUUUAAUUGGUUUUAAAAUUACUAAUUUAUUAAAUUAAAUUUUAUAAUUUUGUUUUUUAUUUUUUUAAAGAAAAAUAUACAGAUAAAGAAAAAUAAAAAAUUUGGGUAAAAUUAGAGUAUAAUUUUUUGGUUUUUUUUUCCGCCAAUACACUCUGUCUCUCUUGCUUUUUCCCAAUCUACACUACCUUACAAUUUAAUUUUCAAUAUAUACUACUUCGAAAUUUGUGCUUUAAAAGUGGUCAAUCUACACUAGUUUGCAAAUCAACGUGGCCAAGGGACUACUCAGAACAAACAAGUUAUAUAGCUAUGCCAUCUAUACCCAACUCUCUGUCCUUUUUUGUUUUUUUUUUUAAAAAAUUUUUAAAUAUUAUAAAAAAUAAAUAUUAUAUUAUAUAAUUUUUUUAAUUAUUUUUAAAAUUACUUAUUUAUUAAAUUAAAUUUUAUAAUUUUGUUUUUUAAUUUUUUUUUAAAGAAAAUGGUAUUAUUAAACUAACAAGUAUUCUUGAAGUUUUUAAACUUUAUACAAGAAUCCUGCUCUGAUACCACUUGUUGGACAUGUGGCCUCAGUUAUCUUAAGAAGAGGUGAAUUAAUUUCCCACUAACAAACUUUUAACUCCCUUCUAAAUGAGAUAGACUCAGAAUGCAGAAGGAGCAACAAUCAAUUUAAUAAUGUUCUUUAAACAUGGAAGACAAAAUUGAUUAUAACAAAAUAAAUGAGAUAAGGGAAGAGAGAAUGCAAACUCAGUUUUAUACUGGUUUGGCAAAGUCCGUUGCCUACGUCCAGUACUCAAGCAACCCAUUUGAGAUUUUCCACUAUCUUUGUAAAAAUCCUUUACAAAGUUUGAACCACACAGGGACAACCAUUCCCUUGUGUUCAGCAUUCCUUACAACUUAAGAGACCCUCGGUCCCUAAAUCAAUUACAUUGAAUAAGAAGAAAGAAGAGGAAUUCUCUCUUUAAAAGAAGGAUAUUACAAUUUAAGAUCAUGUAAGAAUCCUUAUAAAUUUUGCAAGUGUUUGGCCAAGGAUUUCUUUUGAGAGAGCAUUUAGAAAUUAAUUCACCACUUCUUAAGAUAACUAAGGCCACAUGUCCAACAAUAACUUUCACCUACCAUUGACAAAUUUAGAAGUGAAACAAGCUCCCAUGUGUCGUUCUUCUUGAUUGCCUUUAUUUCUUCAUCUAUAGCAAUUUUCCAAUUCUUGUUCUCAAUGGUUUCAUGGAAGCUCAUGGGUUCGCAAUCAACAAAUAGACAAAAAAGAGUAAGAUUAUCUUGAUUUUAGGUUACCUCAUAAAUUUCUUGUAAGCUCUUGAAGCAUGGAACUAUUUAACUAGAUCUUUCAUCUUCUUGAGUAUUUGCAAUUGGUGAAGUUGAUGGGAUACUAGGAUCCUUUAUUACUUCUUUGAAACACAAAAAAAGUUGUAGGUUCCAUCAUGUGGUCCCUAAUCCCAUUCUCCUUCUUCGUUGAAAUUGACAUCUUGAGUGAUGAUUGUAUUCCCCGAAUUAGGAUUGUAGAGCCUGUAGCCUUUGGAAUUUGAGUCAUAACUAAUGAAGAUGUACUUCUUACUUUUGUCAUCCAACUUGCUUAUUUUCUCAUCUAGUACGUGCUCAUGGGAAAUGCUUCCAAAGACUCUUGGAUGUGAAAUGUCGGGGUUCUUUCCACUCCAUGCUUCUUGUGGUGUUUUUUCCCAUAAACUUAUUGUUGGAGACUGGUUGGAAAGAUAAACUAUACAAGUCACUCCUUCUAUCAAAAAUUCCUUUGGAAGUAUUUUACUCUCGAGCAUGCUCCUCGCCAUGUCUAAUAUUAUUCUAUUCUUCCUUUCUACGACUCCAUUUUGCUUGGGAGAUCUCGGUUCUAUUAAGGGUCAUUGAAUUUCAUGAUCUUCAGAAUACUUUUGAAAUUCAUCCAAUGUAAAUUCUCCACCGUGAUCGAAUCUCAUGGCUUUGAUCUCAAGGCCAUUUUCCUUCUCAACAAGGGCUUUGAACUUUUUGAAAUUCUCAAACACCUCUUAUUUAUGCUUCAGAAAAAGUACUAUGAUUUUCUUGAAAAAUCAUCAAUAAAGAAAAGGAAAUAAUUGCUCCUUCCAAGUGAGCUUGUCUUGAUAGGACUACACACAUCUAUAUGCAUAAGUUCCAAUAAUUUUUUAGCUCUUGAGUUAGACUCCUUUGAAAUGUUUUUCUUGAAUUGCUUACCAAGUAGGCAUCCUUCGCACACUUGAUCAGGGUUACUAUUGCAAGACAAUCCUCUCACUAUUUCUUUCUUGGAGAGCAACUCUAAUUAAUCCUUCAAAAUUGAGAUGCCCAAAUUGAAUAUGCCAAAGCCAAGAUGCAUCCUUGUAGCACAUCUCAAGAUAUUUUGCGACAUCAUUUUGAAUGUUGAGCAAAAUCAUUUUAUUUCUUGACAUUGUCACCUUAGCAAUCAAAUUACUUGCAUUGUCUCUUAUAGAAAGGUUAUUGUCUUUUGAGCGAAUAUCAUAACCUUUCUCUAAGAAUUGCCCCAAGCUUUAGAUAUUACUUUUCAUAUUCGGCACAUAAUAAACAUUUGAGAUGAAUUGAUGCUCACCAUUCUUCAAACGGAUAAGAAUAUUACCUUCCUUUCACUUCUAGCUUGAAUUCAUCUCCAAAGGCCACAUUUUCGUUCAUCGAUUCACCAAGCUCCACCAACAUGAUCUUUUUACUACCCAUAUGAUUGCUUGCACCAGUGUCUAGGUACCAUUUAUUGUCUUUUCUUCUUUCAUCAGUCGUGCAAGUCAUCAAUAAAGGAUCACCUUCUUUACUUUGUUCUUCAACGUAGUUUUCCUUUUCUUCAACUCUAUCAUUGCUAGGAGCUCUACAUUUAGAAGCAUAAGGACCAAACUUGCCACAAUUGUAAAAUUUCACAUUUGACUUGUCAUACCUUGAUCUUGAGUUGUCUUGGCCAUGACCUCUUGUUGAGAUUUCUCCUCUUUGAAAUUUAUUGAGCUUUGCCCAUGGCCCUGUCCUUGUCCAUGACCUUGUCCUCUUCCUUGAUCUUCACUACAACCUCAUCCUUGUUGGCUUCUAUUAUUUUGGCUACUUUCUUCGCUGGUUGAAUAAACUUGUGUCUGAAGUAGUUGUUCCAUGAUCCCUUCCUUUAUUUUAUAAGCUUGUAAUGAGCCCAAAAUUUGCUCAAUGGUUAUAGCCUACAAAUCUUUUGUUUCAUCGAUGAUGGUGACAAUAUGUUCGAACUUUGGAUCUAACGGUCUAAGAAUUUUAUCCAUAAUUUUUAGAUAAUAAAUAUUUUCACCAUUUCUCUUAAGUUGAUUGGUGAUUGUUAAAAUUAUAGAGAAAUAGUCAAAGAUGACUUCAUUUUAUUUCAUAUGAAACAUUUCAAACUUGGCUCUCAAUGUUUGAAAACAUACCUUCUUGACUGGAUUCACUUCCUUGUAUAUGGUUUGAAGCGUCUUUUAUGCUUCUUUUGCCAAAUUUCCUUUUGAAACCUUCUCAAAAGCAUUGUCAUCUAAUCCUUGAUAGAUUAGAUAGAAAGCCUUCUUGUCUCUCUUUCUUGAGUCUCUCAAACCAUCCCUUUGAUUUUGAGAGAGACUAUCCUUAUUCCCUGGCUCGGUAUGGCCUUUCUCUAUUAUCUCUCAAACAUCUUGUGUGCCAAGGAUAGCCUUCAUCUUCAUGCUCUUAUUUUCAUAGUUGUUCUUGUUGAGCAUUGGAACUUGGAAUGGAACCAUGCCGCUACUUGCCAUCUCCUUAUAAAGGACCUUUUAGCUUUGAUGCCUAUUUGUUGAAAUGAAAUUUUUAGUAGUGUAAGAAAUAUUUGAGAAUGGGAGAGAUUAGACAUUUUAGAAGAAGAUACUAUUUGUAUAAAUGAUUCUUCAUUUUUGGCUUGAUUUGAUACAAACUCUAAGACAUCACCCCUAUUUAUAUUAGAGGCUCCUCCUAAACCAAUGGUUAGGAUUUUGUUAACACACACUGAAUUUAAUGACUGCAAAUAAUUCUCUAUAACUUUCUUCGUAGAUACAAUCUUACUCACAAAUUAUAGAUCAUUCUAUAUGCUACUUUAGAAUUAUCUUUUAAAAUAGAUUUCUCUAGAACAUUCUUGUAGAAUUUGGCCUAACGAUGUUUCUAGAAAUUGGGCUUUUAGACUAAUAAGGCUCAAAAUCAAGUUUAUAUUUCAACAUCUCAUGGGUGAAUACAUAUACUAAAUAUUCUCCAUCGGGGGUUUGUCUUUGAUGGAAACUUGAGAAGAAGCAUCAAUGAGUUGGUUGGAUAACAAAGGGAUUUGCAUUCCAUUUGAGAUCAUAGAUUGGGUUAUGGAAGAGUGUGUAUAAAUGGCAUCAUAGAAUAUGGUGGGGACGUCAUUUCUCUCGGUGACCUAAAUGAGUUGGAUGUGAGAAGAGUGUUUGGGGAAUUAAAUAGUGGUGGUGUUGGAAAGAAAAAAGAAGUUGUUGAAAUUAACAGAGUGGCCAUCAUUGAGUUGAAGUUCUUGAUUAGGGGUGGGUAGUUGUUGAAUUGGGAAUAGAGGGAAUAAAUGUCAAAGGCAGCUAUGCCAAGUGUGGUGAACAUUCAUACAAAGUUUUAUUCUUCAUUGUUCAAACUUAAGAUCUAAUUUGUCCCAAUUUUUUCUUUUAAAUUUUUCUUUAAUUCUUGUAUUUUUUUUUUUGGAAUUUAUGACAAUUUUUAACUCCCAUAAAUUGCAUUUUAAAAUUUAAAUUAAAAAAUUUCAUGUAGGUUUGGAUUUAUUCAAACUUAAUUCCAAGCCAAAAAGUAGUACAUUAGAUUUUUACAGGGACAAGAAAAAAAUUGCAAGGACUAAAUCUGAACUACGGUAACUUUUCAGGAUGAAAAAUAUAUUUUAACCUUAUAUUUUCCUAUCAAGUAGUGCUGGUGAAGUGUCAUCUUGUUUUACUUUCUUCUUUAUAUAAAAUCACACUUUAUGUGUAACAUGCAGAAAUCAUGAAAUUGUUGUGGGAAGAUAAAAUUUGAGCCAUAAAAGAGUUGAAUGUCGUUAUUUCAUACGCAUACUACAUGAUGAUGGUGUUUGUUGGAUAAAUUAUGGUGAUGAUGAUUGAUUCACUCAUAAUGAUGAUGGUGUUUAAUGAUUGAAUCUUGAUAUGAUAUUGAUGAGGUGGUGAUUGUUAUGAUUUUCUUUGUUAUGUGGAUUAUGAGACUUAUGCUCUAUGUAUGAUUUUAACAUAUUAUGGUAUAUAUGUGACGAUGGUAGAUUAGGCAUGCUUUAAUUGUGAAGUUUUAUCUUAUUUUAAUAUACUCCUUUAGUCUUUAAACACAAGAACUAUGACAUUUAUUUAAAGUUUAACAAUUAAAUUAAACAAAUAAUAUAAAAUAAUCAUAUUAAAUAUUAAUUACAUGAACCAAAUAAAAAUCCUUUAUAUUCAUCCGUUGCAUGAGUAAUCAAAUUAGGACAUAUUUAUUUGAGUGAUGUUUAUAUAAUCAUCAAAAUUUUAAUGUAAAGAGACUCUUAGAUAUUUAUAAUUAAAUUAAUGAAUACAAUUUUAUUAGAAUGAUGUUUUUAUUUCUUUUUAUAUCAAAACAUCCUCAUAUUUUUAAUGAGUCUAUAAAAAAUUAUACCUUUUAAUCAAUAAUAUAUUCUUUUAAUGUUGCAUUAAUUCAUCUUUAUAUUCAUUUAUGUCACUCGGGUAAUUAUAUUAGGACAAAUUCAUUUGGAUGAUUAAUUUUUUUAAUAAUCAUUGGGUUUUAUUUAUGUUUAAAGAAUCUUAAAUAUUUAUAUUUAAAUUUAAUUCAUACAACUCUUAUAUGAAUGAUAUCUAAAUUUCUUUUUAUAUCAAAACAUCAUUCUUUUUUUAAUUUGAAAUUGUAAAAAUUAUAUUUUAUAAAUUAUUAUAUAUUAUAUUUAUAUUACCCUAAUUUAUAUCUUUAUUUAUCAUGCGUAUCCAUUCAAAAUCAAAUUUAUUUGGAUGAUUAUAUAUAUAUAUAUAUAUAUAUAUAUAUAUAUAUAUAUAAAUAAUCAUUUGGGUUUUUUUAUUGCAAGAGUCUUACAUAUUUCAUAUUUUAAUUUAUGUUUCUUUUUAUAUUAAAACACCUUUCAUUUUUUCAAUUUAAUGUAUAAAAAAUUAUAUUUUUAAACUAUUAUAUAUUUUAUUUAUGACAUGUUAAUCCAUGUUUAUAUUCGUGUAUUAUAUCGGUGACCAUAUUAUAAUCAAAGAUCCCUUGAAGUUGAUACAAUAUUCCAUUAUUCCAUUAUAUUCAUGGAUGAAAAAAAAAAUAUCUUAAAGAUGUUAUUAGUUCAAAUUCACAAGCUUAAGAAGUAAUAUUUUUAACUAUAAAAGUAGUAGUUGUAAUAGUAAUUAUAAGAUAAGUAUAUUUAAAUAUACUUAUUUAGUGACCCAAAAUUUUAGAUGACUCAUUGGUGAAUAUUUCAAAACUAAUAAAGAUUGAAACUAUUUACAACCAAACACAUGUAUAAAUGCUUUUUUGAUUUCAAUAUUAAGCUAAAUGGCAUCAUUGGUGAAAAACAAUAUUUCGCGAGUAUAGAAUUUCAUGUUGUAACAAAUAAAUUCCACAAUUACACAAGGAAAACUUAAGAGAUAACAUCACUUUUAACUAUAGCAAACUUUUAUGAUAUAAGAAAAACAAUUAUCUCAUUAGAAGUAAACUCUUCAUAUGGUUAAGCAAUAUAUUUUUUUGGGGUGGUUGGGAAGCUUAUCUUUUCUUUAAAGAAAACUUUAAUUACACGUCAAUUGUUAAAACAUGAUUCAAAAGAUUGAUAUACCAUUGGUUUUUAUUAAAAAGGAAUUAAAUUUCAUUUGUCUAUAAAUUUAAAGUUUUUUUUAUUUCUAUUGUUAAAUAUGAAAAUUUUAUAACAAGAUAUUGAUCUCGAUAAUUCAUAUUUUUAUCCAUCCGUUGCAUAGGUAAUCAUAUUAGGACAAAUUCAUUUGAGUGAUUUUCUUAUAAUCAUUGAUUUUUUUAAUAUCAAGAUACUCUUAGAUAUUUAUAUUUAAAUUAAUGUAUAAAUUGUUUAUAAGAAUGAUGCUUAUAUUUCUUUUUAUAUUAAAACAUCCUUCAUAUUUUUAAUAUGAAUCUAUAAAAAGUUAUACUUUUUAAACAAUUAUAUAUUCUUCUUUUGUUGCAUCAAUUCAUCUUUAUAUUUUUUAUGCACCCGGGUAAUCAUACUAGAACAAACUCAUUUUGAUGAUUAUUUUUUUUAAUAAUCAUUGUGUUUUUUUAUAUUAAGAAACUAUAAAAUAUUUAUAUUUAAAUUAAUUCAUACAAGUUUUAUAUGAAUGAUGUCUAAUUUUUUUUUAUAUCAAAGCAUCAUUUUUUUUAAUUUGAAAUUAUAAAAAUUAUAUUUUAUAAACUAUUAUAUAUUAUAUUUAUGUUAGCCUAAUUCAUAUUUAUAUUUAUCUAUCAACACAAGUAUCAUAUAAAAUCAUUUGGACUUUUUAUUACAAGAGUCUUAGAUAUUUAACAUAUUUUAAUUUAUAUUUAUUUUUAUAUUAAAACACCUUUCAUUUUCUUUUCAAAUUGAAAGUAUAAAAAAUUGUAUUUUUAAAAUUAUUAUAUAAUCUAUUUAUGUUACGUUGAUUCAUAUUUGUAUCCAUCUAUCACUGGGUAAUCAUAUACUAAGAAAAAUUCGUUGGGAUGUUUAAAUUUUUUUGUAUCAAAACAUUUUCUUAAUUUGGUUAUAUAAAAAAUUAUAUUUUAAAACUAUUAUUUAUUUUAUUUUUAUCAUGUUAAUCCAUAUUUGUAUUCGUGUAUUACAUAAGUAAUCAUAUUAGAGUUUAUCGAUUUGAAUAAAAAAUUUAUAAUCAAAGAUCUAUAGAAGUCAAUACAAUAUUUCAUUAUAUCCAUGAAUGAAAAAAAAAUAUAUCUUAAAAAAGUUAUUAGUUAAAAUUCACAAGCCUAAAAAAUAAUAUUUUUAAUUAUAAAAGUAGUAGUUAUAAAAGUAAUUAUAAGAUAAGUAUAUUUAAAUAUACUCAUUUUAUUGACCCACAAUUUUAGAUGAGUUCAUUGAUGAAUAUUUUAAAAUUAACAAAGAAUGAAACUAUUUACAAAUAAAUACUUAUAUAUAAUUUUUUUGGAUUUAAUUAUUAAGAUAAAUAAUGUCAUUUAAGAGAUAACAUCACUUUUAACUAUUGAGUAUAGACUUUCAUGUUAUAACAAAUAAAUUUCAUAUUACACAAAUAAAAUUUAAGAGAUAAUAUCACUUUUUAUUAUAAUAUACUUUUAUUAUAUAAGAAAUACAAUUAUCUCUUUAAAAGUAAACUCUUCACAUUAUUACACAAGCAUCUCUUCUAUCCCUAAAAUAAGAUGUACAUCGUACAGUUGGAAUGUGGGCAAUCUUUGGCCAGUCUUGGCCUCCUGGGUUCUGGCAACGCUGCUCGAGGUUGGGGCAGGCUAUGAUAAAAAGAUUUGAAAUGGAAUUGGAAAGACCCUCCUCUGGUAGCUGUUGGAGGUUGGGGCAGUUAAUAAUCCAAAGAUUUGAAAUGGAAUUGGGAAGACCCUCCUCUGGUAGCUGUUGGAGGUUGGGGCAGCCAUCAAGAAUCAAUUUCUUGAGAGAGGAGAGCUGACAGAGCCCCUUGUAGUCCAGUUUUUUUAGAUUUGGAAAACCAUAUAUGCUUAGAUUAAUAAGAGAGAGUGGCAGUAAACCUUCAUCAGGAAAAGAUUCCGCAUCCAGCUUUCCUAUCCCCAAGCUUUCCAGAGAGGGAUUGUCUCCCAAAGCCCCUUUCAGUGAGGCCAUGAGUCCGGAGGAGCAUCUUAUGAGUCCGGAUGAGCAUUUAUAGAGUUCAAUCUUUUUUAGAUUUGAUGGCAAACCUCCUUCAGGGAACGACUCAACUCUUGGACAAUCUUUUAUUACUAGCUCCUUCAGAGAUGGAAGCAGCAUAUGCAUGCUUCCAGGCAAUGAUUCUAACUGAGGGCACUUACCGAAUGCCAGAACUUCAAGAUGAUUAUGGGUCUGAUCCUGUGUAAUCAUCAGUAGAUUACGAAAGCCACUGAGACGAAGGGUCCUGAGUGCUGGGAAGAAAUCUAGCGGAAAAGUCUUUUGAGAGUCAAAUCCAUUAUCACUCAUUUCACAAUCGCAAAACAUUUCAUAUUUCGGGCAACAAUAAAUAUUCAGUUCUUUCAAAGUAUCAGACUUUUCCAGCAACGAUGCUUUCAUGCUGUGUCCGCCCAUUCUGAGCUUUUCCAAAGAAGCCCAGUCAAGUUGCAGUUGCAGCUUUCCAGUGUCUUUCAGGUCUAGUACUAGAGCCCUGGGAGCUGAAGCCUCAAGUUGUUUGCACUCACUAAUUUCUAGCUCCUUUAAAGGAAGAAGUUGCUCUGGGAGGUCACCUUUCAGCUUUGGACAUUUGCUUAUAUCAAGAUAUUGAAGACAUGGAAAAGCACCUCUCACAGCUUCACAUUCCCAUUUUUCCCAUGCUUUCAUAGAGGAGAACUUCAAUGUUUCCAACGAUGGAAAUGAAGAGGAGCUAUUCCCAUGAAAAUCAGCACCAAUGCUCACUAUCCCAUCAAGACUUGAAAUCUCAAGUUUCUUGAGAAAUGGCAAAAGUCCAAGGGAAGGCAAAUGUUGGCAAGAUUGACAGUUUCUCAACUCUAAGGACACCACAUUUGAUAAAGAAUUAUUGGAUAACCAAUUAGGGAAUUGUUUACCACCAUAGUUCCUGAUUGACAACUUCUCCAGGUGUUUGGAAGGUUGUAGAUUCUCAAUUACAAUUACAUCCCUUUCUUUGGCAGAAUCAUCAGGGUUCCGGUGCGAAUUCCAUUCAAACUCUAGUUCCACAAGGCGUGUUUUAUUUUUCAAAUCUGCAGCUAAUGCAUCUGAGGGAUUCUCAAUAUUCUGCAGCUCCCUAAAUGAUAAUCCUUUAUGAACAAGAUUGAGCUCUCCUAAUUGCUGAAUAGUGAACUUGCUACUUUUACCAACAUGAAACGAACUCAUGGAUACUUGAAGAUUCUUCAACUUUCCCAGAUGUGGUGGCACCUUUAUAAUUUCAGUAUUUACAAAUUCAAGGCGAUGCAAAUUGGUGAGUUCAUGCAAAUUCGAGGGCAGCUCCUUCAAAUAUUCACAACUAUUCAGCUUCAGUAUUUGCAAGUUGGAGAGUGAACAUGUUGAGUCAGGUAGUUUUGUUAUGUGAGUACUGGAAAGGUCUAAAGAACGAAGAUGUUUAAGAUUGCCUACAGAGUUGGGCACUUCUGUAAGGUAAUGACAUGAAGACAAAGACAAAACACCCAAAUUGGCGAGUUUAUGCAAAUUCGAGGGCAGCUCCUUCAAAGAUCUACAAUCAUCCAGCUUCAGUAUUUGCAAGUUGUAGAGUGAACAUGUGGAUUCAGGUAGUUUUUUAAUGCCAGUAUGGGAAAGGUCUAAAGAACGAAGAUGUUUAAGAUCGCCUAUAGAGUUGGGCACUUCUGUAAGGUAAUGACAUGAAGACAAAGAUAAAACACCCAAAUUGGUGAGUUCAUGCAAAUUCGAGGGCAGCUCCUUCAAAGAUUCACAACUAUUCAGCUUCAGUAUUUGUAAGUUGUAGAGUGAACAUGUGGAUUCAGGUAGUUUUUUAAUGCCAGUAUGGGAAAGGUCUAACGAACGAAGAUGUUUAAAAUUGCAAACAGAGUCAGGCAGCUCUUCAAUGUCUAAACAGUGAGACAGAGAUAAGACGCGUAAGAACUUUAACUUGGAGAACAAUUCAUGUAUCGACAUCUUGCAAUUCCAAGGCCAGUGGCUUGUUGGCAUAAAUGUACGCAAUUUUUUAGUAUCACAUGAAGUUCCAAACUCAUCAAAAUAUCGUUCGGUAAUCAUUGAAACUGAAAAAUGACGGGUUGUUUUUUGUGUACAUUUUGCUUGAUCAACUCUCAACCUGAAAUAGCUGUCCCCACAAACAUAUUUUGCCAAAUCAUUUAGAAGGUCAUGCAUGACAAAUACUUCUCUAUAUUCGCUUAAUUGUUGAAAGAAGGACCUUGAUAGUAAAUCAUUGAAGUACAGCUGGCCAACUUCUUCUGGACUCUUACUGCCUUGAUGGCAGUUUAGGAAAUUUUCAGCCAUCCACAACUGAAUUAAACACUCCCUGUGAAACUCAUAAUCCUUGGGGAAUAAAGCACAGUAAGCAAAGCAUGUCUUGAGAUGGAGAGGAAGGUGGUGAUAGCUCAAUGCUAAAGCAGGAACAAUACCACUGUCCUUUAAUUCCCAUAUUUCACUUUGGAACACGCUUUCCCAUUCCCAGGCAAAUGGUUUGUUGUGUAAUAGACUUCCCAUUGACUUCAAGGCCAGAGGAAGUCCUUUACAUUUUUUAACAAUCUUCCUACCAAUCACUGGGCAUCCUGGAUCUCGUGGAAGAUUAUCAUCUCUGAAUGCAUGUUUUGCGAACAAUUGCCAGCAAUAAUCUUCUUGUAAUUGCUCCAGCUUGUGUUCUUUUGACCUCAUGGCAGAAGCAACUUCCUCACUGCGUGUUGUGACAAGGAUCCUACUUCCCUGAGCUCCACAAACAAGAGCAUUCAGCACAGCUUCCCAUUUAGGCCUGCUUUCGUUCCAAACGUCAUCCAAAACGAGGAGAAAUUUUUUAUCUGCCAAUUUUUCUUUUAGUCUUCUCUGAACUAUUUCUAGCUCUCUACCAUCAUCAGUCGAAUCAGUAAUCGUGUCAAGAAUUGCUCUUGAUACGUUGAAAACAUCAAAUUCCUCUGAAACACAGAUCCAAGCUUUGACAUCAAACUUACUCACUAUUCUUGGGUCAUUGUAUACAAGUUGGGCAAGCGUGGUCUUACCCAACCCGCCCAUGCCCACGAUAGAAAGUAUUGAUAGCUUUUCAUCAGUGUCAGAAGUGAUCCAGUCCAAGAUCAAUUUUUUGUCAUCAUCUCUGCCAUAAAUAUCACUUUCUACCACCGAAGAUGUUGAUGGCAAUUUCUCUAACACUUUACUACCCGAUCCUGAUCCAACCCCAACACCACUAGUCCUUGUCAAACCUAGAUAACCACCUCGGCUUUCAAGAUCAUCCAGGUCUUCAAGGAUUUGUUCCAUCCUUGAUUCAAUUUCCUUGUCAAAAGAGCUCAAAGAAGAAGGUCUGAAGAAAUUGCUCACCUGGUUAAGAAUGGGCUGGGAUUCAGCUUCUACUUGGCAUUUGGAGAGUUCAUAGUCUAUAUCAGCCAAGAGAUCCUCUGCUUCAAACACUACAUCUUUGGCCUUAAAAAGCCAAUCUCUGACACGAGCAUCUCUGAACUGCUUAAGUUCAGCAUCAUCAGCAAGAACAUCGAUGGCUAGUAGCUUCACCUUGAUUUUGCUCAGCAGCUUCUUAUUGAGUUUUCUUCCACGAAAGUAGUCCACAAAACGAGAAGCCAAACUGUCAAUUGUCUUCUCAACGAAAGUAGAAACAAGAGCACCAGCAACCAUUUCUGCUGCCAUGGUAGGAAUGAAAGUAGAUGAAUGAAAAUGAGUAAUUUGAAAAGAGCAGUUUAUGCCAAUGACUAAGUGCAGGGAACGAUCAAAAUAUUUUGGUGAAAUGAGUAAUAAGAUAUUCUAUGAAUGAUGGUUGGCUUUACUUGAAGAAGGUUGCCGAAAAAUGAACAUUUUUUUCUUUGAUGACCAAUAACUGCUGAGUCUUCCGGAUAAGACAAACAAUGACACCUGCAUUCCUCCCUUCAUAUUCAUUAAAUUAUCAAGUUAUACAUCAUUGUACUUUUAUAUUUAGGAAACAACAUAGAAAAAGAGAGGAGGUCUUAUUUCUUAACUGUAUUUCCCAAAUUUCCAACUUCUUGAAUAUUCUUUGACUUGAUAAGGAUUUCUUAAUCCGAUAUAAUAUAUUGCAUGCAAAUUUGUUUGAUAUUCUUAGUUUAUUCACUUAAUGAAAGAUUUAAUUAAGCAAGUUUAGCACAUUUAGUCAGAUAGUAUGUUUAAAUUUGAUGAUUUAAUUAUUAUGUCUAAAGAAUGAUAUUAAUUUCUUGAUAGUUGGUAGCUCUUAAGUUAUGUCUGAUAUUGGUUAAUUAAUGAAAACUUUAGUAUGUCUAGUCAAUUUCAGUAGCUAAAAUAUCGUACAUGUAUAUUUAAGCCAUAAUAGCAUGCCGUUAUAUAUAUAUCGUAACUCAACAAAGGAUAGAAACUCUGAUCGAAUUAAUUAAAUAACUCAAUAAAAAAAACUAAUUGAAUAAAUCAUUUAUUUUUUUUCAUUUUCCGACCAUUUUUCUUUUGGUGCAUUUUGUUAUUUUUAUCACAUUUUUUCCAUCCUUUUUUCAUUUUCUUAAUUUUUCGUUCACUCUUAUUAAGUUUAUAAAUUAGGGCUGGCCAAACUCAUGGAGGGUUAAUGUACUGAUGAAAUGUGUAAAAACUAGCAAGCUAUUUUAUGAAUGAAUGAGUGGCUCUUAUUCUGAAAGGGUAAAACUUUUGGGAUAUUUUCCAUGACUUGAUUAGAAAGGGUUUUGUUUGUACGUACUGUGUGUCACACAUUUCUGUACGAUGGCCUGAGAUUUUUUUAUUUGUGGCUGUCAACCAUAGUCUUCCCUAGAAAGAAAAAAAAAUUUAACUGAAAGUUUGGGUAAAAACUAAUCCUGCAUUUGCAAGUUCUAAGAAUUGUGGAAGGGUGAGACUGAGCAGAAUAAGGACCUUUAACACUGAUUUGCACACCCUCAAGACCAAGCUCAUUCAUGCAGGGUCGAUGUACUGAUGAAAUAAGUAAUAAGCUAUUUUUAUAAACAAACUUUCCUAGCAAAUACAAUAGCAUGCAUUUUUUUAUUUUUUAACCCGCAAAUAUUUAGUUGUUAAUAAGUUAAUUUUUUUUAGUGAGAGACUUGAAUUCAUAAGCAUGCAUGUAAUGUAGGUGUGAGCUGUAUUCCACGAAUGAAUGAGUGGCUAUGAUUCUGCAAAUGGUAGCUUUUAGGAUAUUUUCCAUGACUUAUUAUUCCAAAGGUUGUGUCUCACGCGCGUUUCUGUACGGUUGCUUUAAUUUGGGUUGGUGAACAUCUUUAAUUUUCUCUGAUGGCCCGUCAAUCAUAGAGUCUUCCCUACAAUACUUACAUUAACAGCAGCUAGCUGUGUUUUUCCAGGAAUGAAUGAGUCACUGAUUCUGCUCAGUGUCUUGGCUCUUGGGAUAUUUUCCGAAAAUACUGAACCUACUAUAUUAUAGAAUUUAGGAUUAAACAUAAAAACAAAAAAUGUUUAAACUUUUAGAUAUUAAAACUAAACAGUUUAUUAUUUUCUUUACAAUUAAAUCAAAAGUUGUUGAAGUAAUAUAAUAAAUUAUCAAAAUAAUUAGAUGGGUGAUAUUGUUAUAACUUGAACAUGAAUACUAAAAUUUUACACUCAUUUUCUCAAAAUCAUUAAAACAUAGUUUGUAUGUGAUUAUUUACUAAUAUUUUUUCUCCAAUAAUAAUCAUCACCCGUAUUGAGUAAGAGAAAUUAAUAUUUAUGAAAUGGAAUAAGAUUGUAGAAGAAUGAUUGUUUUAUAUAAAAAUAGAAAUAAUAUGAUAUUAGAUUGUUUGAAAAAAAUGACAAAAAAAUCUAGAUGAAAUUAAACCCAACAAUUAUAAUUAAAAGAAGAUAAAUUAAACAAUGAAUAAAUCGAAGACUAAUGUAUAUAAAACACGAAGUAAACCAUGAAUAAAAUACAAACCAAACCCAAAAAUUGUAAUUGAAAGAAAAAAAGGAAAGUCGCCUAAAUUAUAAAUAAUGUAGGAUCACCUAAACUCACCUAAAAAGAAAAAAGAAAACUCACCUAAAGCAAACAUGAGUACUGUAUCUAAUGACUACCAAAACCAUAUCCAAUAUUAAUAUAACUUAGGUUAUCUUAGGAUUCGAGUUGGUAAAUAUUUUUCUAAAUUUUAAUGCACAAUAACAAAUUUUAAAACACCAAAUGAAAUAAGAAAAAAAUGUUGAUUAUAGAAUAAAAAUACUUUUGACCUCUCACAACUUUAACCAAACAUGCAUUUAAAUAUAUCAUAACGAUCUUAUCUUACUUAACGAUGAUUUACAUACAUUUUAUUUACUUUGCUCAUUCAAGUACAAUAUAUAGAAAUAAAACUGCUUUAUUGGGAAGGUAGGGAAUAAAUUGCACAUUCAGUUCCAUGUUUGCUUGUCAUCUUGCAUUUUCAUGCUACUAGCAGAUUUCAAGUCUUCAAUCAACUCUCGGGUCUGUAAAACUAAUGAAAAUCAUAUGGCCUAAUCAUAAAAGUAUACAUUUUAAAGGAUAAUUAGUAUAAAUAGAAUUUAAUUUUCUUAUAUAUAUAUAUAUAUAUAUAAUUAGAAUUUACUUUUCUUACAUAUAUACUUAUUAUUAUAAAGAAUAGCUUUAUCCUAUAUAUGAUUCUCUAAUAAAAAUCUGUGAGAACAUUACAAAUUGAUAAAAUAAUUUAUAAAUCUUUAUUUUUCAUUUAUUAUUCCAUCCAACAAUAUGAUUUAUCAUAAUAAAAAAAAUUAAUCAACGUCUCACACUAUAUUAAUUUAAUUCUUAUAUAAAAAUUACCUCUUUCUCUAAUAAGAAUAUUCCAGAACAUCACAAAUUAUUAAAAUAUUUUAUAAUUUUUUAUUUUUAAUUCAUACUUCAAUCCAAUAAUAUGAUUUAUCUUAAUAAAAAAAAUCAAUAUAACGUUUCACACUCUACACUAAUUCAAUUCUUAAAUUAAAUUUUGUAAUUAUUAGAUAAAUUAAGGUUAUCUUUAAAUACCAAUUAAAUUAGUAAAUGAAACAAUUGUCUGAAAUGUGAUUUAAUGAUACUUUAAUAAGCAUUAAAUAUCAAUCAAAUGAUCCAAUUUAAAUUACAUGAAUAAAAUUUAUUGUUACAUUAAAUUCUAUUAGAAACACUAUUUUUAAAUAUCAUAAUUUCAAUUUUUAAAAUAUUUAUCAUUGAAAAUAUAAAAUUGAUCCUAAUUCAAUUUUUUAAUUAAUUUAUACUAAUUGUAUUUACGUCAAACUUAAUUUAUGAUAAUAAAAACCAAUUAGAAAGUUUUUAAUAUUAUAUUGAAUUUGAAUAAAUCAAUUUUGAUGAGUAAUAUUUUGUUGUUUCUAAUGCUGAAAACUUUUAAAUUUUCUAUCCUACAAAUCAAAAAUAAAUUCUUUCCGUUUAACACAUUAAAUUGAAUUUGUAAAAUAUAUUUUUUAUAACUAUUUUAUUAUACUUUUUUAGAAAAAUUAGAAAUCAUGGUUAUUUUUUAAUAAAAUUGUGUAUUGAGUUAGGAUUUAAUAAUUUUUUACAUGAACAAAUGAGACAUAUCAUAAAUAAUACUAAAUUUAAGUGCAUUAGUGACACAAAAUUAGACUAAAAUUUUGCAAUCAAUAAAAUAUUAGAAAUGCUUAUAACUUAUGUACCUACCUAGAAAUUUUUUAAAAAAUUGGAUUUUUAUCAAAUAUUUAUUCUAUUCCCAAUUAUUAUUAUUAUUAUUAUUAUUAUUAUUAUAAAAUUGAAUUUUUUAUUUUGAUUUUGAUUUAGUUAUAAUUUCUUAUUAAAAGUAUAAAUAUCUUCUAUAUUAAACAUUAUCAAAACUGUAACAAAUAAUCAAUAAUUCAAAUAUUUUUAUUGUUCAAGAUGCAUUUUUUUGUAUUUUUAAUUAAAAUUUAAAUUUUAAUCAGAAUAAUAAGUAUAAAACAAAUUAUUGAAGAUUUUGACCCUUAUAUAAACUUAUAUAAAAUAAUUUUAUAAUAACUUUAAAAGUGCAAUUAUCUAAUUCAAAAUUUAAACAUGGUAAACAAUAUAAAGUUAAAUUUUAAAAUAUUUAUUCAUAUAAGUAUAAAAUUGAUCUUAAUUCAAACUUUCUAAUGAAGUCAAAAUUAAUUUAUCAUUUAAAUAAUAAGAAACAUAUAUAGAUGUUUAAUGAUUUAAAUGAAAAUUUUAAAAAUAUUUAUUAAUUCGAUCAAUUUAAAUUGUUGUUACAUACGCAUUUACCUGGGUAUCCUUUUAGAUCCAUGCCUAAAAGUUGUUAUAUAUUCCAAUUAUAAAGCAAAUUAUAUGUGGGAAAUGAAAAAGAUAAAAUAAUUGAAAAUAAAAUGACGAUAUGUCUUAUAUAAAAAUAAAAAAUGGAACGAUGACAUAGUAUGAUAUAUGUAUUUAUAUAUUAAAAAUUUGACGAAUAGAUGUAUGCAUGUUAACCUUAAAUGAAUCUAUUUUGAUAAAAAAAAUGAAAAUCUUUCUCUUCAAAUACCAUUAUUAGGUAUUAAACUUUAAGACAACAAUAGAAAAACAUUUUUCUUCAAAUAUUUUGGAUGAAAAAUAAUGUUUUGAUUGAAGUUUUCUACAGGGUCUCAUUUGGAUGAAAAAAUAGUGUAAUAUAACAUAAAAUCAGAAGUUUUCAUGUGUUUAUUGAUAUUUACACAAUUAAUCGAAAAAAUGAUUAUUGAUUGAAAUGAUAUUUUUAUGUCCACUAAUUACUAUUGAUGUUAAUGUUUUUGAUAUUUUGGUUUCAUUCAAUUUUUCUAAUCAAUUAUUUUUCUGUUGACCUUUUUAUUUCACCGUCAUAUCCCAUUAACAUAUAUCAUGUUAUUUUUCAUAUUCUAAUUAAGAAAACAACAUAGAGAAAGAGAGGAGGUCUUAUUUCUUAAGUGUAUUUCCCAAAUUUCCAACUUCUUGGAUAUUCUCUCACUUGAUAGGAUUUCUUAACCCGAUAUAAUAUAUUGCAUGCAAAUAUGUUUGAUACCCUUACUUUAUUCACUUAAUGAAAUAUUUAAUUAAGCAAGUUUAGCACAAUUAGUCCGAUAGUAUGUUUAAAUUUGAUGAUUUAAUUAUUAUGUCCAAAGAAUGGUAUUAAUUUGUUGGUAGUUGGUAGCUCUUAAGUUAUGUCCGAUCUUGGUUAAUUAAUGAAAAGUUUAGUCUGUCUAGUCAAUUUCAGUGGUUAAAAUAUUUAAGUCAUAAUAGCGUGCCAUUAUGACUUAUAUAAAUCAUGUACUGCAACUCAACAGAGGAUAGAAACUCUGAUCGAAUUGAUUAAAUAACUCAAUAAAAAAAACUAAUUGAAUAAAUCAUUUAUUUUUUUUCAUUUUCCGACCAUUUUUCGUUUGGAACAUUUUGUUAUUUUUAUCACAUUUUUUCCAUUUUUUUCAUUUUCUUAAUUUUUUCGUUCACUCUUAUUAAGUUUAUAGAUUAGGGCUGGCCGGACUCAGUGGAGGGUUAAUGUACUGAUGAAACGUGUAAAAACUAACAAGCUAUUUUAUGAAUGGACCUUACUAAAAACAGUAGCAAAUUUUUAUUUGUGGCUGUCAACCAUAGUCUUCCCUAGAGUUUGGGUAAAAAUUAAUCCUGCAUUUGCAAGUUCUAAGAAUAAGGACCUUUAACACUGAUUUGCACUCCCUGAAGACCAAGCUCAUUCAGCCAGGCAAUGAAAAAGGGCCAAAGCUUCAGCCUCUAAUGGAAGAAUAUUUCCAUCAGAACAAAACGUUUUGGCCCUGAAAAACACACCUCUAUUGCAUGCGGGUGUGUAAAAAUUCCUAUUCUCAUUGUAACCCAACAUAAAUUGAAUAGAUUUUUUUUUGAAAUAAUUCAAGAAAAAAGAAAUGCUUUGAUUUAUAAAACAAAUUCAAUUAACAAAAUUAUUUGUACAAAACCAAAUUGGUUAACUAAACUAGUUUUCAUUUGAAUAUUUUAUUUGAAAAAAGAAAAUUUGAAAAUCAGUUUAAAAUUAAUCUGAUCCUUAUAAUUAGUUUAAAAUUAAUUAAAAAUCAAUUUAGAAUCAAUUUUUUAGAACUAAUUCGAUUCUGAAUUAAUUUUUAAAUUAAUUUAAUUAUUUAAAUAUAAAAUUAAACUAAAAUAAUUUAAAAUUAAUUCAAUUUGAGUUUUUUUUUAUCAAACUACUUAUUGCAUACGGGUGAAGUCUGAUCCCUUAUGCAGAUUUCCACUCCAAACUCACCUUUGGGACCAAAAACAGCACUCUGUUAGGCGCUUUUCCCAUUCGGCAGGUUGCAACUGCUUAUUAGAAGAUAAUUAAGAAUAAUCAAUAGAAUAAGAACAUGAAGAACGAGGGUUUUCCACUCUCUAAAGCCAUUUUUAGCUCUCUGCACAACUGCAAAAGGGGUCUGAACCUUGCCUUCCCAAAUCAUAACAACCUCAAUUAUUUUCUUUUCAUAUUCUAAUUAAGUUCAAUUAAAACUUUUUUUCACAUUUACUUACCACAAAUAUAUUUCUGAUAUUGCUCCACCUACUUCCUUUAUAUAUAUAUAUAUAUAUAUAUAUAUAUAUAUAUAUAUUAUAUGGAGAUAAAGAUACAUCACAUAAUCAUAUCAUAUAUCAUGUUAAUGUUUUCUAAUUUGUAUAAAUAAUAUUAUUUUUGAAAUAUUUAUUUUAUAGUAUAAUUUCAAGAAAUAUUUUUACACUUUUAUUCAAAUAAUUUAAUGAACUAUUUAUUUUGUUUCAAUACUUUUAACAAUUUCAAAUUAUAUCACAUACAAACAUUAAUUUACAAAUAAUUUAUACAAUGAAUAUAUGUUAUUUUAAACAUGUUUUUAUGUGUAAUUCCAACAAACAUUUUACAUUGGAUUACUUUCAUAAUUUAAUGUAAUAUUUUUAAAAAUAUUUAGAAAUAUAUCUCAAAAUUAUAUCAUUUAAAUUAUUUAUAGACUUAAAUAUAUUUUUAUUCCUAAUAAAUACUUGAUAUGUAUGUUUGUUUCCUAGUAAAACAAAAAUUUUAUUUUUUGACCUUUCAUAUUUUAUUUGUCCUUGUUGAAUUAAUAAAUUUUGUGUUUAUUGUUUGAGAAAUAAAAAAUAUUUAUUUCCGACUAUUAACAAAUGAAAUUUUUUAUUAAGAACAAAAAUAAAAAAAUUAACUAAUUGAUAAUAGACUAACAGAAAGUAUGAAGGACAAAAAUAAAAUUAUUUUAUUAAGAAUCUAAUGUAAAGAAAAAUUUAUCUAAAAACAAACACAAAUUUUUUAUAUUUAUUGAGUAUCAAAAUAUAUUCUGAGUCUUAUUUAUAAAUCCACACAACGGACCAAUAGCUAUUUUUUAAUAAUUCUGACAAAAAAAAUGAAAAAAUGGCAGCAACUGAUAUUCACAUAAAGCUAGCACAUCAACAUGAAAAUUUUGCCAGUCCCUUUUGUUAUACACAUUCCAAGCUCUAAGCAGAAGAACUGGGUAUUUUGUACUGUUUCGCAUAAUAUUCUUAAUAGAGUUUUGGAAUCAGUUUCUAGUUUGUUUUUGCCACCUUGCAUUUCCAUGUCAUUAGCAAAUUUUAUGUCUUCGAUCAACUUUCGGGUCUGCAAAAUAAUACCGAUUAUUUUACAUGUUUUCUGAGACAUGAUUAUUGCAAGAAGAUAUUUUGUAUCAUUAAUAAAUUAUAGGUGGUCCCACCAAGCUCGGAUAAAGAAGAAAGUUUGUAUUAAGUCAUCAGCAGUAAAAAAAAUUAAAAUAUUAAGAAAAAAUGAUUUUUUUAUUACAAAACAAAUAUAAAUCUCAGAUAUACAUAAAGAAACACCAACAUAGUUAGUCUAAUUAAAUUCAAGAUAUCUAACAUCUUACACAUAUUUAAUUUAAUGAACAUGUGUAAAAAGAACAACUUAAAUAGCUCAACAGAGCAUAACAAACUCUGAUCAAAUUAAUUAAAUAACUCAAAUGUACACCAUUAAGUUUAUAUAUUGAGGCUGGCCAGAUUCAGUGCAGGGUUAAUGAAGUGAUGAAAUAAGUAAUAAGUUAUUUUUAUGAACGAUCUUUGCUAGCAAAUACAGUAGCACAUGUUAGGAAUAUCAGUGUGAGCUUUAUUCCAUGAAUGAAUCAGUGGCUAUAAUUCUACAGAGGGUAGCGUUUGGAAUAUUUUCCAUGACAUUUUUUAAUCACUGUGUGUCACGCGUUUGAGUACGAUUGCUUUAAUUUGGGUUGGUGAACAUCUUUUUCUUUGCUGGCCAGUCAACCGUUACCAUAGUCUUCCCUACAAUACUGAUAUUAACAACAGCUGUAUUUUGCUCACUGUCUUGGCACUUGGGAUAUUUUCGGAAAAUAAUGAACCUACUAUAUUUUAGAAUUUAUUUAGGAGAAAGGUUCCUCCAAAACAAACAUGAGUUCUUUAUCUAAUCAUUGUUUGGAUUUUAUUUCAAUAAUAAUUAAUAUGAGCUAAUAUUAUAAGAUAAUUAUAUUAGUUAUUUAUUGUUAUUGGAUUUUAUGUUAUGUGAUCAAAUUAAGUAAUCUCGGUUAAACAACUAAAUCAGAUGAUACGAAUUUAAAUGAGCAGUGUCAGUGUUGACUCACUAGAAAAUAAUGAGAACCUUAUUAGAUUAACACAUUACAAGAAGGCUAUCGUCCCCCAAAUAUACUGAAUCACCGACACAUAGAUAGUUUCUCUUCUUGAGGGAAUUGAAUAAUACUUUGCCAAAAAUGAAAAGGCGGAAACGAGUAACCUUUUGGCUAAACUCAUCUCCAUGAAGUAUAAGGGCAAAAGUUAUAUAAAAAAGUUUUUGCUCAUAUAAUUUUUGUUUUUGUUUAUUAUUAUUAUUAUUGUUGUUGUUGUUGUUGUUGUCGUCGUCGUCGUUGUUGUUGUUUUUUUGUUUAAAAAGGGGAAACAAAAGGUGCCCUUAGCAAAAGAAACAAAACAAAUAUGCAAUAUUUACUUGGGGUAUUUUAAGUGUAAAUCAAUGAUAGCAUUAAAUAUAAUUUAAGGAUAUGAUAUUUACUUAUCGUAAUUAAUGUUUUAUAUUUUUUUAGUAUCAUGAUGGAAGUUAAUUUAACAUAUCCUUUCCAUUUAUUUGCAUAUCUAGUGAUUUUUUUAAUUAAAUUGAUUGUUACGAUAUAUUGUCAAGGUAAUCCCUAUUGUGAAAAUUAAUUUGAUUAAAAUUACAAAUUUUUGUAUAAAAUCAUUUAUGUGAAUUAUGUUCAGACCAAAGGAAUACACAAUUUGACCAAAUAAUAUUUUAUAUUUGUGAUGAUAAAUGUGUGACAAUUAUAAGGUAUUUUCAUGUGAAUAAUAGUCGGUCCAAAGAAAGACUAUUAUUUGACAGAUUUAUUGUUAAUAUUUGAUCGUUGCAUUAAGAGUACCAAUUACAAAUUAAUUUAUCUAGAAAUUAAUGUUGUGUUAGGUAUCUUGUAAUGGGUGUGUUCUGUAAAAUAUUUACAUGUUUUAUUAUAUAUUUUUUAUAUAACUAAAUUAUAUGUGAAAGUUGUGUAAUUUUAAUACCUCUCAUUUAUUAUAUUAAAUUGUCUUGUAUUUUUUGGUUUAAUUGAUUGAAACAACAUGUUGUCAAAGUAACCUUUGUUGCAUAAGCUGAUUUGAUUGAAUUUACAUGGAUGUUGCAUGAAAUUAUUCAUGCGAAUUGUGCUCGGCCCAAAGGAAAACACAAUUUGGUAGAAUAAUUAUUGCUUGCGAUGGUAAACAUGUGGUGAUUAUAAAUAGUGUGAUUUUCCAUGUGAAUAAUGAAAUGUUCAAAGGCAAUCAUUAUUUGACUGGGGUAAUUAUCAUAUAAGUUUUUCAUGUGAGCAAUGAAGUGUCCAACGACAACUUUUGUUUGACAGGACUUAUCACCAAUGUUUGAUCAAUGCGUUGAGAGUAUCACUUGCAAUUAAUCUUUUUCGAUCCAAAGAUUGAGGAUUAAUGAUGCGCUAGGUAUCAUGUUUGACUCUUGAAAUUUACCAUAAAUAUUAUUUUUGUAUUGUAUGUUUAUAUUCUCUUCUUUAAUUGUUGUUGCUACUACUAUGAUUUAAAUUACUCACAUUAUUUAAAUCUCAAAUAUGCAUGUAUAAAAUAAUUUGUAUGGGGGUCCUAAGGUGAUAUAUGAUUAAUCUUGGUAUGCAACACUAGAAAAUAGUAAAACAAAUUAUGCGUUAAUUGAAGAGAACAAGAAAUUACAUGUUUUCAUAUCAAAAGUCUAGAAGUUUAGAGAUCAUUGAGUAUUAUGACUUUGAUUUUUUCGAAAUGUCUUAAUAGUAAUCACUCCACAUAAGGAUCCACAUUUAAUCGUGUUGGUGGAGUUAAUAUUUAGCUAUGAGACAUCAUACUAGAAUUUAUAACUGCUAAAUUAUUGUAACUCGCUUGCUUGUUGUUGCCAACAUUAAUUAGCCAUCAGAUGUUUAUUGCAACAAUAUCUUAAUGAUAUCAUUAAAGAUUCAACUAAGUCAAAGUUUGUUGACAUAAAAUAUUUGGUUCUUAAAUAAAGAAUUCAAAAAAUAUAGAUUUGUAUAGAACAUAUAGGAACUCAUUUCAUUCUAGCUGAUUUACUUACUAAAGGUAUGACACUUAAAGUUUUUCAUGAGCACAUUGUUCAUAUGGGUGUAAUUCCUGAUAGUACCUUAGUUUAGUGGGAGUCUUACUUAUGUUAUAUAUCUUACAGUUUACAAGCAUGUUGUGUUUGGAUUGAUCUAUAUAAAGAAUAAAGUUUGGAUCAGUUGGAAAUAGACAUGACUAAGAUCACAUUACAUGUAAUUUCCAUGUUAUUUAUCCAUAUUGACCUAUGUCAUUGAAUGUAUUAAUGUGGUGGUCAUUGGGGUCUAGUUACAUUUGUUGUAGUGACAAAAGCUGCGAUGAUUUCAUUAUUGAUACAUGAGAUGAACCAGAUUGUUAAGGUGAAAGUUUAAAAAUAAAUAGCAUACAUAUGCACGCUUAAGGAUUCUUUAUAUAAUUUGUACAAUAUAUAUGUAGCCCAAGUGGGAGAUUGUUGAAAUUUUCUAUUUUAAUAAUUAAUGUGGGUUAAUAUUAUAAGACAAUUACAUUAGUUAUUUAUCAUUAGUGGGUUUUAUUUUAUGUGAUCAAAUCAAGUGAGUCCCUUAGACAACCAAAUCAGAUGAUAUGGACUUAAAUGAACUUAGAAGAUAAUGAGAACCCUAUUAGGUUAACACAUUAUAAGAAGGCUAUNNNNNNNNNNNNNNNNNNNNNNNNNNNNNNNNNNNNNNNNNNNNNNNNNNNNNNNNNNNNNNNNNNNNNNNNNNNNNNNNNNNNNNNNNNNNNNNNNNNNNNNNNNNNNNNNNNNNNNNNNNNNNNNNNNNNNNNNNNNNNNNNNNNNNNNNNNNNNNNNNNNNNNNNNNNNNNNNNNNNNNNNNNNNNNNNNNNNNNNNNNNNNNNNNNNNNNNNNNNNNNNNNNNNNNNNNNNNNNNNNNNNNNNNNNNNNNNNNNNNNNNNNNNNNNNNNNNNNNNNNNNNNNNNNNNNNNNNNNNNNNNNNNNNNNNNNNNNNNNNNNNNNNNNNNNNNNNNNNNNNNNNNNNNNNNNNNNNNNNNNNNNNNNNNNNNNNNNNNNNNNNNNNNNNNNNNNNNNNNNNNNNNNNNNNNNNNNNNNNNNNNNNNNNNNNNNNNNNNNNNNNNNNNNNNNNNNNNNNNNNNNNNNNNNNNNNNNNUGAAAUAUGUUCCUGAUAUUUAUAUUUUAUUGGUAUUUUAUAAGGAUCCCUGAAAAUUUACAACUAUCACUACCAAAACCAAAACCAGUAUAUCCAAUCUUAAUAUAACUUAGGUUAUCUUAGGAUUGGAGUUGGUAAAUAUUUUUCUCAAUUUUAAUACACAAUAAAAAAAUUUAAUACACCAAAUGAAAUAAGAAAAAAUGUUACUUAUAGGAUAAAAAUACUUUUGACCUCUCACAACUUUAACCAAACAUGCAUUUAAAUAUACCAUAACGAUUUUAUCUUACUAGAUGAUUUACAUACAUUUUAGUUACUUUGCUCAUUUAAGUGUAAUAUAUAUAUAUAUAGAAAUAAAACUGCUUUAUUAGGAAGUUAGGGAAUAAAUUGCACAUUCAGUUCCCAACUUGCUUGUCAUCUUGCAUUUUCAUGCCACCGGCAGAUUUGAAUUCUUCAUUCAACAUUUUCUAUCAUUAAUAAAUUAUAGCCCGUCCCAUAAGGCUCAAUUAAAGUCAAUUAUAAAACCAAUUAUAUGUGGGAAAUGAAAAAGACAAAAUAAUUGGAAAAUAUGUCUUAUUAAAAAAAUUAAAGAAUAGAUGUAGGUUAAAUAGAAGAAAAAUAAUGUUUUGAUUAAAGUUUUGUUGAGAGUCUCAUUUGUUUAAUUAGAAGAAAAAAUAACAUAACAUGCAUAACAUACCAUAAAAUUUUUUGAUGUACCUAUUGAUAUUCACACAAUUAAUAAAAAAUGACUAUUGAUUCAAAUGACAUUUUUAUGUCCACUCAUUACUAUUGAUCUUAAUGUUUUUUAGAUUUUGGCUUCAUUCAUUUUUUUUCUCACCAAUUUUUUUUUUGGCAUCUACCCAAUCUUUUCAUUUCACCAUCACAUCCAUUAACAUAUAUCAUAUCAUGUGUUAUUUUUCAUAUUCUAAUUAAGACUCAUUAAAGCCUAUUAUUUUUUUCUUAAACAAAAAAUAUAUAUUGUAAAUUUAAGAUAUAAAAUAAAAGUAAAAUUAUUAUUAAGAUAUAGUAUUUAUAGUAUAGUAGUAAAAGUACAAAUAUAAUAACAAAAAGAUUAUACAAGAUAAAAUAUCAACAAAAUGACAAAGGAACAAAAAAUGUUUAAACUUUUACAUAUUAAAACUAGACAGUUUAUUAUUUUCUUUACAAUUAAAUCAAAAGUUGUUAAAGCAAUAUAAUAAAUUAUUGGAUGGAAAAAAUUUAUUAUAUUAUUUGUAAUUAACUUGUUAGUAAGAAUACAUAUGUAAAUGGCGUUGUAAAAUACUUAAGAAGUCUGAUUACAUAUUAAUAAAAUUAUUGGAAAGAUUAUUUUGCAUUUACUUUAAACUCCAAUGAAAAAAAAAGUAAAUUGCACUUGCAUUACCUAUAUUUUACUCCAAUUUUACCUAAUACUCCAAUUUUUAGUUUUUUUGGCAUCACUUUGACUCCCUUUAAUAAAAUGGUGUUAAUUAAUGGUUAUAAUUUUAUGUUGAAUGAUGAAAUUACCAUUUUCUUUUUUUCUACAUUAACACAACCUCACAAUAUUCUUGUGCCUAAUCCUCCCUGACGUCUCAACUUCAACAUCAAAUUCAUCAUCUUCCUCAAAAACCAACACUUUUAUCUACAUUUGUAGGUGCUUUACCUCCACCAGCUCACUAUUGCUAUGUACCACCUUGUACACCUUCCUAGAUGCUCCACUUCCUUGUACACCAGCUCAAUGAUCUUGUUCUUUCAUCGUACUCUUUGCACAUACAUGAGUGAUAUCCCUACAAAUGUCCUAUGAAAUUUGUCCUAAAAAUCUGUCUAAUAUACAAAUUAUGAACAAUUAUGCUGGAUAUCUUACAUAAAGAUAGACAAAUAAUUAGGGAUAUACAUGAUUAUGUACAAAUAAUCUCAUUACUCCCUUCAAGUUGGAGUAUGCAAAUCGCAAAUGUCCAUAUUGUGCAAUAAGUAAAUCGAGUACUUAGUUGGACCAAGUGCUUUGGUGAGUAUAUAAAUCAAGUCUGAGGUCUUAAGAAGGGAUAGAAGUAGGUUAGAUCCUAUGGCAACUUGGUCAGGCUCAUUUAGCAAAAAAAAUCAAACUGAGUUUUUUUUAAAAAACUUGUUUAGUUAAAAAGGCCAGACAUGGUCUUAAGAAAAACUUAUGAGAUUUGAUGGCUUAAUCCAUUUAGCAAUAAUAUAUUUUUAAAUAAAAAUAUUAUUAUUAAUAUGAUAUAUAAUAUUAUAAUCUAAAAUAAAAUUAGAAAUCCUAUUUCCUUAAGUUUUCUCUACGCAAGUAUGAAGUAAUGCAUCUAGUGUUCUUAUAAAAAAAAAUAAUCUAAAAACAUGUGAUUAGAAUAAAUCGGAAGAGUGAGUAACAUGGUGGCAAAAGUCAAAUUUGAUAUGGCUGAGGUGAUUAUGCACAAAAGAUACCUUAAAAUUAUAUUGGCCUUUAAAUUGGUUUAAGGAUCAGUGUACUUAUAUAAUGUCAGGGCCAAACAUAAAAAAUAAGACGGUCACGUAUAAUAGGUUUAUGCUUGGGCUAUAAAGUUAUAAAGUGGGUUAGACUAUGCUUAGGUAAAGUUUGACUCUGUCUAAACCAUUUUCACAUCUAGACAUAAGUAGGUCCAAUGUUGUCAUUUUGAAUUUCAUCAUGAAUAAAAUGACAGUCAACUUUGAUAUGUUUGGUAAGUUCAUGAAAAACUAAGGGAGUGUUUGGUUUGCCUGUUUUCUGUUUUCAUUUUCACUGAAAACAGAAAAUGGUGAUGAAAAUGUGUUUGGUUGGAUUUUUGAAAACAUUUUCAGUGAAAAUAAAAACAGAAAACAACCAGAAAAUGAAAACAAUAAAAUUUCAUAUUCAAUGUUUUCAGUUGAAAAUAAGAACUUCAUUUUGGGUAAAAUGAAAAUGAGAUGACAAUGAAUGUAAUUUAAGCAAAUUUAAAAAUACAAAAAAGACAAGAAAUCAAUAUAUCAUAAAUUUUCAGUGUUUUUAUUUCCUAAAAACAGAAAACAAGAAGUCAAACCAAACAUAUUUUCAGAAUUCUAAUCUUUUGAAAAUAAAAACAGUUUUCAGAAAAUGAAAACAGGAAAUGAAAAACAGAAAAUGAAAAUGCAAUCCAAACACACCCUAACUUUUUGGUGGUGAUCACAAUGAAGAUGGAUAGGUUGAGAACGUGAGAUACUAAGGUUGAAAAGAAUUUUCUUUAACCAUUUUUACUCGUAAAUAAUCGUUAGCAUGAAAUGGUAUUCAACUUUAGUGGAUGAGCAUGAAAUCAUGGGUUGCUUUUUUAGUUUUCCACGAAAUGGAAAAGUUUCCCAAAUGAAUAAAGCAUCAUGUGAGAUGUACCGUCCUUCGAUAUAAUAACAACCCGUAAUAAAAAUAUACUCUAAAAUGCCUAUAAGAUAUGGAUUUAGAAAUUUCAUUGGUUCAAAAUACUUCAAAUAUUAUAAUAAAUGAGUCCUUACAUAAUUAAACAAUUGUAUCCUCAAAUAUGGGUAUCUACAAAGUUGAACUAACAAUAAACUAAGUAUUCAAUUCUCCUUCGUCUGAAAAGUUUCUUCAUUGAACUCUGAAAACAACACUUUUAAUGAGAUAAUAAUCUUAUUGAAUAAAACAAUUUCUAAAAGAUUUCGCAAAUAAUGUUCUCAACCGACGCAAUAACCUAAAAAUCCAAUCAUUGUAUCCGCAAAAUUAAAUUUAAAAUAAUAUAUACAUACUUAUAAACAAUCACAAAUUAUUCACACAAUGAAAUAACACUCCGGUCAAUAAACAUCAACAGUUCACUACAUUCAAUUCUUGAACAAACUAACAAAUAUCACAACACAACAUAGUGAUUCCCAGAAUCAUUAGCCUCAACUAUUUGGUUCCUGAACCAGUGUGGAUCUCAGACUCUUCAAAUGAUCUAUGAGCUCAUAUUCAUGCAAUAAUGUCUCACUACACCAUCCCCAUCAUAGAUGAAGGUGUCAAGAAUCUUUUUCUCAUCCCAUAUGAAGGUAUCUUUAAUCUCAUCUAUAACAUUCCAUUUUUCGUAAAUAAAUUUAAAUUUUUUUUAUUUAAAAAUAAAUAAAAUUGAAAAAAAAUGAUGAGAUAUUUAUAAUUAAAUAAAUAAGGAGAAAUAACUUUAUUAAUUAAAAUAAUGGUUUGAAAGAAAAUAAAAAAAAGAUAUUUGAUUUAUUCAUUUGAUAAAAAAUAAAUUAGAGUAUUUCUUUAUAAAAUAAUAAAUAAAGAAAAUAGAGUAAAUAAUAGGUUGAGAGUAUCCUAGCUAUAAAUAGAGACAUGCUAUGUCAGUUUUCAGACAAACGAUAGUCUUUGCGGUUUCUCUUCCUCUCAAUUUCGUUUUCCCUUUUCCUCCUCUCAAAACCCUCUUUCUUUUUCCCGCAUACACUUAAACCUGUCCUAGUAAAAUGACGAUCUCAAACUUGUUAACCGUUGGAUCAUCAAGAAAUUUGAGCACCAGGUUUGGAACUCAUCUCUGAACAUUCUCACCAUUAGAAUUUGCGAAACAAUGUCAUCAGAGGUGAUAAAGAUUCCCUUUGUAUUGUAGCUUUCUCUUUUCCCGUAGAGACCCAAAACCUAUCCUAGUAAAACUACAAUCCCGUAUUCGUUAAUCGUUGGAUCAUUGUAAAAUUUGGACACCAGCUUUGGAAUUCAUUUUCGCAAAUCACCAUUGGGAUGUGCAGAAUAAUGUUUUUGCAGAGAGAAAUUAGUGUCGCACGUUGACAGUAAAAUGGAGGUUAUAAUAUCUUCUCAUUAUCUCUAAUGCUUGGAAACCCUAACAGAGCAAAAAGAGGAAAAACUUGAGGAAUCUUAAGGAAUUGCCAGAGACACCGCUAUCAUUACUGGACUACAUACAUGAGCCCACUUAGAGGUAAAGGUUGAGUUUAUCGCCAUUGAGAUUAGAAUAAAUAUGUGUAGGAAUUCUUAGGAGAUCAAAUUGAGGUUUAUUUUAGGAUGUUUAUUGUAUUGUAAUUCUUUCUGUAUGAUUAUGUGAAAUAUUUGAGGGAUUUUACUCCCUGUGUUGUGAGAAACAUUUUUGUAUGAUUUGUUUGUGUUUUGGAUAAGAUUAGCAUGAUAAAUAGUUACACUAGGAUCAUUAAAUUGUGAUUGAAAUUUUGUAUAAGUGAUAAAUUGAAUAUGUGAUGAAUUGUGAGAUAACACAUUGCUUUGAGAUUAUAACAUUGUUAUUGAGAUUGAGUAUAAGUGCAAAGUUGAAUGUGUUAAUUUGUGAGAUACACGUAAACAUGUGAUGAUGGAUUGUGACAUUAUGAGACGUUAAAUUGUGGACAUGAGAUUUGAUUGUGAAUAAGUAUAUGGUUAACACUUGAUAAGGCAAUACUUGUACUGUGAGCUGUGAAUUAUACAAUAACCUGACCAGUGUUUACCUUGAGAAAAGUGUUUAUGCACAGUGUUAAAGGGAAAAUGUAGGAUUCAUAUUUAGGAACCAAUGUUAAAUUAUAGCACAAUAUGUUGAAUGUGUUUGAAACACGAGUGUGGGGUCGUGGAUAUUAUAUAAUUCAUGAGUAGUAUCUACGUGCAAAAAUGGUUUUAGGGGUGGGACUUGAAUUAGGAAGGUGAGACCCUAACCAAUUCUUCGGAGUCUAGGCCUUGGGGGUAAAGGCACUCGGUUUGAAUGCUCCUUUAAGCCUAUGUUGAUUUCAUAUGGUUGGAGCAUUCAUGUAAAAUAGAGUGAACCUGAUUGGUCACCUUAUGAUUUUACUUAGUGAGAGUGACCUGACAUACCCAUUGUAUGAUGUGUCUUGUUAUGUACUUCUAAGUGUCUCAGGGUGGUUUUUUACUGACAUGAUACCACAUUACAUAUAGGCUUGAGUUUUAAUAUAAUUGUUGCAUAACACUUGCUAAUUGUUUAUCAUGAAAUUGAAGAGUGUUAUUACAUCUUGACCUGAAUGUGUGAUUCAUAUAUAAUGUGAUAGGUGAUUGAAGAAUGAAAUUUUAAAUGAUCAAGUGGUGAAGUGAUGUGAGUUGUAUUAAGUUGAACUAUGUUAUAAAUAUUUUUAUAAUAUAUUUGGAUUAUGUCUUUAUUUAUUUGUAUUUUUUUUAAAUGUGAUAACUUACUCACUGUGUGCUAUUUGUGUUUAGAUCCUGUGAUGAUCUCAAACUUUGUGUUCGUGGGAGCAGAUGACUAGGUGGAUGACUUUAAAUAAUAGUGCUAGAGGACGCUGGAACGCAAUGCUCUGAUAGGAUGUGACAUUGGGAAUGAGUUUUUAUUUUAAUUGCAUGAUGUUAUUUUAUUUUAUUUUAUCUCACUUAUUUAACAAAAUUUCUUUUGUAAACUUUGACAGUCUUGCUCUGAAUAUGUAUUUGUAUAAGUUUUAUUUGACUAUUAAAGCGAAUGUGAGCCUUUUACCCUUUUGAAAUACUUUUAUUUAAAUGUUUUUGAAAACUAUUAAUUAGUUAUGCUUUUUUAUUCCUUUUAUUAUUAGUACAUAUAUGUGUAAGAUAGAGGGUGUCACAUCAUUGUCAUUCCAGAUGGAGGUAUCUCAUAUCUCUUCUCCAUCUCAAGUAAAAGUAUCUCAUGCAUAUUCAAUUAUCAAAAUAAGAUAUAUACUUUCAGUUUUAGAGUUUAAAAUCUUUGUGCAAAUAAAUGUAAAAGAUUUUUUUACUAUGGUAGGAAAAUCCAGCAUUUACAGUUGGCUUACAUUUAUCUUAUUUUAAGGAGACAAGCUGUUGGAGUUUUCUGCAAGUGAUUUUUUGUCUUUUAAUUGUUGUUUUAUUGCUUGAUAACUAUGGAUAUGAUUAUUAGUUAUAAAUAGAAAUAAAAUAUAAUUUGUAGAUAUGUUGUGUGGUAAAAAUUUAUUUUAAUCUUUGUAUGACAAACCUUGAAUACGGUUUGAAAUUCUAAAUAUACAGUUGGGUUUAUAAAAAGUAAGUAAAUAGAUAUUAUAAACUUCAGUUUUUAAGUAUCUUGCUAAAUAAGAUUCACGUUAGACCCCUUUCUGUGUUAACAUAUUACAGACUAUGUAUUUGAUUAAAAAUUAUGAAAUUAAGGCAAUAGAUAUGUUUAACGUACUCAAGCAUUCUGAUGUUGUACUAACAAACAUUGUUUUAUUGUUUUUAUUCUCUAAUCAAAUUCCUGGUUGCAGCAAUUUAUUUCCUUUUUCUAUGUGGUUUCUUUGGUAAGGUUGUGGCAAGAAAUUUAUUGCCGGAACUUGAUACAACUUUAUCAGUUAACUGUGUUCUGCCGCUGCCUUUUCUGUUUUCAUGCAAAUAAAUCAUAAACAAAGAGAAGAUUGAAUUAUUUGGUUAAAAUUAUGUUGAAAUUUGAAACGUCUCACUCUCACCAGAACCGUUUUAUCUAUGACUUGAUGGUUUGCUUUUCUUAAUUCUUAUUUAUGCAAUAUGGGCAGUUUAAAAGCCAUUUCCAUGAAGUUCGAGUUCUGCCUUACUGCAUAUCAAUUGCCUGUGAUAACUAUGAAGUAUGAAUAGUGUCAUCAAAUUUUGCCCGAAUGUAGAUAUGGGGCAGACCUUGCACGAGGGAUUGUUGAGUUACAUGCUGCAGGCAUUGUUUGCAUGAAUAUAAAAACAUCCAAUCUUCUUCUUGAUUCAACUGGCCUUGCUGUGAUUUCUGAUUACUGCUAUUCUGAAGAAGCAUUCCUGUUGGAAGGGCCAACCUGAGCAUGACUCCUCAAACACCCACUCAUGUAUAUGGAAUGUACCGUGCUUAGUCCACAUUAUACAGCUCCAGAGGCUUGGGGGCAACUUCUGAAGAAAUCAUUAAAUUUGUUCUGGGAAGAUGCAAUAGGUAUAUCAGCAGAGUCUGAUGCCUGGAGUUUUGGUUGUACACUGGUGGAGAUGGGCACGGGUUUUGUUCCGUACAUGAAUCAACUCAUCAUUCAAUUUUUCUUUUUCUUUGCAUUCUGGUUUUCUAGAGUUGCAUAUCGCAAAUUCUAUGCUUGUGUAGUUGGGCUGGUUUAAGUUCGGAGGAAAUUUAUCAAGCAGUUGUCAAGGCAAAGAAACUGCUUCCACACUAUGCCAGUGUGGUUGGUGGUGGAAUACCUAGUGAUUUGUGGAGGAUGAUUGGAGAGUGCUUGCAGUUCAAGCCAUCUAAAAGGUCUAGUUUUACUGCAAUGUUGGCAAUAUUUCUCCGUCAUUCGCAGGGAAUGCCGCGCAGCCUUCCCCAGAUAAGUAAGCCCAUUAUAAUUAUCCACGACUUGUAUCUUCUAUGCUGGUUUUAUGACAUCUGAUUGAGCAGUCAAAAUGUAGCCUAUUUAUAGUUUUUGAUAUGUGGUGUGGAAAUGAGCCAAAUUUGCAGUUGUCAUAGAUGCCAAACAAUUGACUUGUACAUGUUUUAUAUUUCUGUAAAUACAGUGAUAGAGUUGUCCCCUGUGCAAGAAUUAGAAGUUUCUCAGAAAAACCCAUUCCAUCUUCAUCAAUGUGUGUCUCGGGGAUGUUAGAAGUGUUAGGUCAGUUGGUGCAUCAAAGUCACAAACAAUCUUCCUUGAGCUUGCUUUCAUUUUCAUUUUGCAAUUCAUUCUUUUUCUUUGUACUUUCCGUACAGUGAUCUUCUUUUCAAGGCUGCAUCAGACUAUGGCAGCAACAGCCUAUCUUCUCUGCUGGAAGCUCAAAAUGCUGAUGAACAAACUGCUCUCCACUUAGCUUGUAGAUGUGGCAGUGCAGAACUUGUUGAGGCAAUUUUGGAGUAUGAAGAAGCAAAUGUUGACGUCUUGGACAAAGAUGGAGAUCCUCCUCUUGUUUAUGCAUUAGCUGCUGGAUCCCCAGAAUGCGUUCGCAGUCUUAUCAAAAGAGGUGCUAAUGUGAGGCCACAAUUAAGAGAUGGCUUUGGCCCAUCUGUUGCUCAUGUUUGUGCACAUCAUGGCCAACCAGAAUGCAUGCGAGUAUGUUUUACUUUAAUCAUAUUCAGGUUCGUCUUUGCAUUUACUAGAGCUAUAUUCAUAUAAAUAUAUGGUAAAAUAACAGGAAUUACUAUUAGCUGGAGCUGAUCCUAAUGCAGUGGAUGAUGAAGGUGAAUCUAUCCUGCAUAGAGCAGUUCCCAAGAAGUCCGCUGACUGUGCCCUUGUGAUACUGGAAAAUGGAUCAAUUGCCAUCUUGAAUCCAAAUAAUAUGUCUUAAGUAUAGAUUUCCCAUCAAUUUUCUUCUUAAGCUUAAAAUGUGUUUGCCAAACUUGUCAAUCAGUCUAGGACUCCAGAGGUACAGAAAGAAACGGAUCUUACUCAUCAAUUUUGCAUAUCCAAUGAUCAAUGUGAAACAUGCACUUUAGCUGUCUCAGUCCACUGCAAUGACAGCAUGGCUUUUCUCUAGCAUGGAGCAGCAAACUCAUGUCGAAACAUGCACCUUAGCUGGAUAAAAUUGAUACAGACUACUUCUGUAAUUUCUUAGCUGCUUGUACAAUUGAGUACAAUUUAGGAUAGGAAUUGGAACAGAAUGACAAUAUAUUUCUCUAAAAUCCUUUAAUGUAUAAUGAAUAAUUGCUGCUAAUGCUCAAUAUCUUACAUAAGUGACAUUUAUUCUUAUUAUCUCUUCAUUAUGGUGCGUUCCUUCUGAAUUUUGAUUCCACUGAAAAACUUUCUAAUUUGCUGGUGGACACUAUCUUAUUGAUGCCAAAUUUUGUUUGUGGUCUUCCAUAGUUCUCUCCAAAUUUAGAGGUCAUGGAUCUUACCUUUUCAAUAGAUAGUUCUUUAUUGAUGUAUGUUGUCUGCGGGCUAAACAAACAGGUUGUUGGUUUCCCCCUAACACUGGCAGACCUCUUUACUGAUUUUUUUUCAUCUUCUGUGCAUUAUCUAGGUUUAAUCAACAGUCCCUUGUCAUUCUGGUUCCUUAUUCUAUUGAGUUUUUAGUGUGAGCUUUUGUCAGCAAAAGGAAAAAAAAAUCAUAUUGUAAUGCUUUAUAUUACAAUAAUUUUAGUAAUCAAGUUUCAGAAUAACCAUAUUUGUAAAUAGAGAUUUUUUAUUUAUUUAUAAAUUACAUAAUAUAUGAAUACUUACAAUAGUAUGAUGAUAUGAUCAUUGUUUUAUUUGACGACCUUUGUAUAGAGAAUAGAUCUACAUGGUUCUUAUUUCUUAUCACUAGUACUAUUUUUACUUUGGAUAGAGUAAUUAUUAAGUUGUUGGUGUUAUAUUCCAUUUGUUUUUGCUCUCAUGCUAGACUAUACUGAUAGAUUAUAGAUAUCAUCAGGAUACUUUGACAAAUGUCUUUGUGAAGCUUGGGUUUUUAUACCUGUAUCCGUUGUUUUGUUUUUCCUCAUGAGUAAGUUGGGUCUGGUCGUAAUAUAUCUAGGGCAAAGGAAUGGUUUCUUAGAUGUAAAAGAUGGUAGUCUAUUCUUUUACUUUGAAUAAACCACAGUAGAAGAUUUCUGCACUGUGAUAUUGCUGAUGGGAAAACUGGAAAGAAAAAAAUCAAUUAUUCCUGUCUGAAUCAACCAUGGCCACCUCUUCUUUGUCCUUAUUUAAGUAGUAAAGAUAAUAAAAUAUUUUAUGAAUCCGUUCUUUACUACUGCUUCUAGGAAACUGAAAGCAUAUGCUGUAGGUCAAUCAUAUAAUAGCAAGUUAAAUACCACUGAAGCUGGUAUUUUAGCUAAUUUUAAAGGAAAUUGCUUCUUUUUAUCAUAAUUCUGGGGGUUAGUUUUUUAGUUCUUGGGUGUUUUAUUUCUUCUCAUAUUUGUUGGAAUUUCUAUAUGGGAUUGCAACAUUUUAAAUGCAUUCUUGUUUCUGUGUGGGUGUUUGAAUAUAGAUAUCAUUUCGCCUCACAUGCAUCUGUGAUCAUCUAGUUUUACACUUUUGAUGUUGCAGACUGCUGCACUUGUGUGUGACAACUUGGAAUGAUAUCUAAAUUCAAACAUGGGAUUGCUGAAGUUGCAACUUCUGAUGAGAUUGCUGAAUCAAUUGACAUGACAUCCCAAGCCCUAUGAGCACUGCUUUGUUGAUGGCUGCUGCCUCCAAGAAAGAUCAUGAAAGUGGUAUGAAUAUCUGGGAUUAUUGGUUAAUACUUGAUAAUGAUUUUAGAAUUCAUCUUGUCUGUUGAUUGGGCUAUUAUAGUUUUUUAUUCAUACCUGUUGUUAUUGCUGUUUUUUUUUAUUCCAAACAAAGUUCAGUGCAUAUUUUCUUCUAGUAGGUAUUCCUAAUUUAUGCUAAUAAUUAAUAAAGCUUCUGUUUUCUAAAAUAGUUAAGUCAUCUGAUUUUGUUUGCUCAUGCAAAAUAUAGAGGAGAGAGAAUAGGUGCAAAUUUUGCUUUCUGCGGAGCAGAUCCAUCUGCUCAACAUUCACAGCAUGGGCGGACAGCUUUGCAUACAGCUGUUAUGACUGACGAUGUUAAAUUGGUUAAGGUGAGUAAACCAGAUUCUUGAUUAGAAUGAUUAAAUAUCCAUCAAUAUUCAAUAUCAUGUUGGAAUAUGAAGUAUGUGCCUUUUGUAUCUGAUGUUAACUAACUUCUGUUUUUUGGUGUUGAGUAGGUUAUUCUUGCUGCUGGUGUUGAUGUGAACAUUCGUAAUGUGCACAAUGGCAUUCCUCUUCACAUAGCCUUAGCUAGGGGUGCUAAGUCAUGUGUUGAACUACUUCUAUGUAUUGGGGCAGAUUGUAAUUUGCAGGUUUUAAUUCAAGUUCUGAAUUUACUCUGUUUAACUACAGCAUUACACUAAGUGUUAUACUACUGUUGGUUCUUUAUAUAAGAAACAAAUAAUUAAUUCAUCAAGACCAAUCAAAGUAGUUUAGUUAAUUUUAAUUAAUAAUGUCAUAAAUUAAAAUUUGAUUCCAAAAGUAAAUAUAAAGGCAAAGUUUCAUAUCUCUUAUUAUUGUAUUGUUUCAAAACGAAUAUAUGGUGCUUUGAUCUUAUUUCUUUUUUCCUCUUGAUCUCUCUGAUACAUUAUAAAAUGAUUUUUCUAUUUGAUUAUAGUAGAUUUGGAAUUGAACUUCAUCAUAUGACUGAUUGAUUGCUGAGUUCAGUCUCCAGUUCACUGUAGUCAGCCACUUCGUCACAGAGUAAAUUAAGCCUAAUGAUAAUUUAUAUGGUUAUAAAUGGUUGGGGGACUGACUAAUCUAAGGGACAUGAUUCUUAUUAGAACUCAAAAAGUUACAUAUGCUGUUGAAAAUGUAGAAUGGAAUAUUGAAGUCUCUCUAAGUUUAUACAAUUGUCAUCUGUUUGGGAAUAUUUGAGAUCUAAUGAUAUAGUUGAAACUUGAAAGUUUAGUGUUUGCUUCCAUUGCAGGCAUUUAAUCUGUCAGACAAAUUGCAAUUUAACAAUUUGAGGUUUAUCCUCUUCAAAAAGUUAGUACAUAAUAUCUCAAACUAAGAGUUGGUUCAUAACAUUUUAUGGUGCACUCUAAAAUUGACAACUAGGCAGUUACAAGUAGCACCUGACUGGAACUAAAAUCUUCUCAAUGACAGUUUUUAGAUUGCACCGAACUUCUGGAGGAUGAAGUUUUACAAAUGAAACCUCACCAUUCAUUUUAACUCCUCAAUAGUGAGCCAGAGUUCAGGGGUUGUUAAAGUGUUACUAGCGUAACUUCUGUACCAACACUGAAAAGUGCAUAAACUUUAAAUCUACCUUUUAUCCUAAACAGUAAGUAUGCUUUAGUUUUGAUUUACUGUUGUCUUUAUCAUAUCUAUCUUUUACAUUUUAGGCUGGCUUGUGUACAUGCACAAGGAUAAGCAGGGUGGAAUAUGUUUUUUUAACAAAAAAUUGUUACAUGCUAUAAAUAUUUGAAAGUUGACAUUCCAGUGUCCGCCUAUUGUCUGAAAUAAGUUUUGCUAUUAUGUUUCUAAUUUAAAGUUCUAAGCUGUUUAUUUUGUCUCAGGAUGAUGAUGGUAACACUGCUCUCCAUAUAGCAGCAGGAACAGCAAAAAUGAUACGUGAAAAUCUUGAUUGGCUCAUUGUAUGCUUGGGAAUCCUAAUGCUGAUGUAUUAGUCAGAAACUACUGGCAAGUUGCAGCUCUGUGCACUCAUUCUCAUUAGAUUUUGAUUACAUUUUUUUUUUCAUCUUUUUACCAUCUGAAAAACUUUUGUCCAUCCUUUUAGAAAACUUUGACAACUUUCAUUUUUCCAUUUCAAAAGAAAGUCCCUCCUAUGACUUAUAGAGUUAUGUUUUAUUUCAGUGGCAAGACUCUAGGUGACAUCUUGGAUGCCCUUCCCCGAGAAUGGAUAUCAGAAGAUCUGAUGGAGGCACUCAUGAAGAAAGGAGUUUGUCUCUCUCCUGCAAUGUAAGGCAACGACAUUUUAUUAUUAUUAUUUUUAUUUACUGUUCUUGAAAUAUCUUCAUUGUAUGUCUUAAAAUAUUUUAGAAUAUCAUAGGAAAUUUUUGAAUUUUGUCAUAUCAAUUACCUCUCGAAUAUAGGAAGAAAUUUUAGCUAUUUCCUAACUUCAUUAUGUUUUGUAAUUAUUUUCCUUAUUUAAUUAGGGUUAGGAGUUUAUUGUCUUAGUAUGCUUUUUGCACUAGUAGAAUAGAACUACACCUGUAAGUGACCAAAUUCAUAGUAUAAAUAAGUGCCAGUGUCUGUAAUCUUAUGGAAUACUAUCUAGAACCUUCACCGAGAAAACAAUACAAUUUAGCUCCUUCUUUUUCUCUUUCCCUCCUUUCCUACCUUAAGCCCCAUAAAUUCAAUAGAUGUGAUAUCAUAUUUAUUUUCUAACCACAUCCAACUAUUUUUUUAUAAUUUUUGUUUAUUGUUUUAGAUUUGAAGUGGGAGACUGGGUGAAGUUUAGAAAAACUUCCAUGACUCCAACAAAUGGGUGGGAAGGUGAUCGGCAGAAGCAGGUGGGCUUUGUGCAAAGAGUUCCAGACAAAGAUAAUCUCAUUGUUUCAUUUUGUUCUGGAGAGUAUUAUAGUGUUUUGGCCAAUGAAGUUGUAAAAGUCAUUCCAUUAGACAAGGGACAACAUGUGCAGCUUAAAGAGGAUGUAAAAAAGCCAAGGUUUCUUUCUGCAUAAAUCUUAUAUCAAAUAUAAGUGAGGAAAAGUAUGUGUGAAUUUUCAUCAGUACAUGCAUAUGUUUAUAUUAUGUACAGUAUGAAUUACAAGAGGAACCAUCUUCUAAAUCAGAACUAAUUAGCCCUGGCACCAAUCAUCCAUGAGUCAGUAACAUCCAACUAAGCAUUAUAUAAUAUAAUGGCUUCUUUGUGUCCAUGCCUCUGUUGGAGGGAUUUCUAUGAUCCUUUAAAAUAUCUAAAUAGAUUGGAUAGGUCAUAUUUGGAUCCAAUUGCAAGGUACGGGACUUGAGUCCCACAGUAGAAGUGUGGGAUUAGAAUUCUGUUUGAGUCCAGCUUCUCUUAUUAAGGAGAAGAGAAACCCAAAAUAAAUUAGGCCAAGCACUUCCUAAAACAUCAUAUGAUGUCUGGAAAUGAUGUAUAUUUGGCCUUUGUUCUUAUUGCAGAUCAUUUGUGUUAGUCCAACAUGUAUUGCAGGCAGUCUUUACUUUCCAGAUAGUGAUCAUGAGUUGUAAACUAACAAGUAUUACAACACAACUUAGUGAUUUCUAGGAUCACUAGACUCAACUUUUUGGUUUCUAGAAUCGAUGUGGAUCUCAAAUUCUUUAAAGGAUCUUUGAGUUUAUAUCCAUGCAAUGACAUCUCACUGCCUACCCCAUCAUAGAUGAAGGUGUCAAGAAUCUCUUUCUCAUCUCAUAUGAAGAUAUCUAUAAUCUCAUCCUCAUCCCAAAUGUAGGUAUCUCAUAUCUUUUUCUCAUCCCAAAUAAAAAUAUCUUAUGGAUAUUCAAUUCUCAAUAAAAUAUACACUGCCAUCACUUCCUAAAAGAUGACUAAAAAAUUACAAAGUCAUACCCCAAAUUAUAACAUCAUGAGAGUCAAUUAAUAAUUAACUGUGAAAUAAAACGCAUACACAAUAUUAAAUAUAUUUUAGUUGAUAUAUAUGAUAGCUAAACACAAAACUCAAGCAAACUUAUUCAUGAAUUUUCAAAUAAAUUCCAAGAUUAAAUAUGUAACCAAUGAAGAUUUGUACAUUAUAAUACCCCUUUUGUAAAAUUAAAUCAAACCCCACGAAUAGUAACAAUUACAUGUGAAUAUGGUUAUAUCAGACCCUUAAAUAAUGUCAUGCAAUGAUACGACAGAACCUAAAUUUUGCAUCAUCAAUGGAUUAAUUGACACAAAUAUCAAUGUAUCAAUUUAUCGAUUUAUCAUUGGUAAACUCAAAAAGAUGUAUUUCUAAAAUCUAUAUCAUGAAAGUUUAGAAAAAGAAGAUCGUUUUACUCACUUCUUGAAACACAUAGUAAUUCACACGUUUCACUUAUUAUUCUUCUUCUACAUUCAGUGGGACAACAAGAUUCUUUUUGUUUCUUCUUUCUUCUCAAUCCUAUAUAAUUUACUAAUUUUCUAUUUUCUAAGAGACUGUCUAUAAAACUUUAAAAGAAGAGAAUUAUUUAUCCAUAUAUAAUACAAGAGUAUAUAAUUUAAGAUUGGGUCACAUGAGAUAUAUUCUUAGUAGAUUUGGCUAAUCAAAUCUUUUUUUUUCCUACUUAUUAUCUUGAUUUAUCUGAUUAUUAAAAUUAUCUAAUAUUUUAUUUUCUUUCAAGAUAUAUUAAGAUAAACCAUGAUAAAAUUUAAAUCAUUGUCAAUUAUCACAAUUUUACAUGUAACAAAUAUCUUAUCCAAACUAGAUAUACAAUGUUAUACUAUUAAUAGAAUAAUUAUCUUUACAAUACUAAUAAUCUUUUUAACCCUCUUAAUUAGGAUAUGAAAAAGUCACGCUUUCUUUUAUAAUUAUAAAAUAAUCUCAACAAUUUUUAUAUUAACUGACUAAUCUUUUUUAUUUAUAAAACUCAAUAAAGAAAUUAAAAGAUACAUAAUCUUUUUAUUCAAUAUUUCGAAGAUAUUUAAUAUAUUAUAACAUAAGCAUUCUAUAAUAUAUAUAUAUAUAUAUAUAUAUAUAUAUAUAUAUAUAUUAUCAUAAUUAUUUUAAUUAAAAUUAAUAACAAUUAUUAUAUUAAAAUUUUAGGAUGUUACAUGAGAAUGAGAAGAUCUGUAAGUAUGGAGACAACUUCCCCAUUCUGAAUUACACUAGGCCGUCAAUUGCAAAUCAAAAUUUCUACUCAAGAGCACACACCUUGUUCUGGAUUCCCUACUACUCACAUCAGCCUCCUAAUACUCUUGUAUAGGUUGAUGCAUGAACUGAGACAAUAUGUAAACACAAUAAGACAAUUUUGGUAUAGUUAAACAAAGGUAAAUAAGGCGUCCAACUAUCCACCUAUAUUACUCAAGAUGAGAAAAUUCUGAUCCUUCAACAAUACCCAAACGAUGAUUCUGCUCCAUGGGAGUAUUUGAUGAUUUUGUUUCAAAAAAAUCUUGUUUCUCUUAUGAUACUCAGAACAGUCAAUUGUAUCAAAUAAAAGAAAGAAGAUAACUCUUCAAUUAUAACAUAAUUUUAUACAAACAAAAUUAAAAAUAUAUAAAAUUUACUUUUUAAGUUGCUUCUAUAAAAAACUAUUGUAACACGUAGAUUUUUUUCUUCACAAAAUCAAGGUCAAGAAUCAAUAAAUGUUGAACAUUGACAUUUUCUGCUUCUCUUGCUUAAUUUUUUUUUGGUAAAUUUUUCUCUUACUUAAGUUUUUUUUUGGGGUGAGUUUUUCUCUUGGUUAAGUAGGAGGAUUCUAAGUGACAAAGACGCGUUUUCUGUUUCAAGAGUCUUGCUUGAUAUACAAAGUCUUUUAUUCUGUAAUCAAUUUAUAGUAAAAAUAUCUGAUUAAUUUUUAUGAAGUUUUAUUUAACGUCCCUUUACUUCAAAAUCACAUGUUAAGAGGAUAGUAAAUGAAUUGGUUUUUUUUUUUUUUUUAAGUGAAUGCGCCUCCCUCUCUCUUAUUUUUUUUCCAAUCUAUACUACUUUGUAAUUUAAUUCCGAAUCUACGCACUUUCUCCAUUUUGUUUUUAUUUAAUUUAAAAUAUUAUAAAAUAUAAAUAUUAUAUUAUAUAAUUUUUUAAUUGGUUUUAAAAUUACUAAUUUAUUAAAUUAAAAUUUAUAAUUUUGUUUUUUAUUUUUUUUAAAGAAAAAUAUACAGAUAAAAAAAAUAAAAAAUUUGGAUAAAAUUAUAGUACAAUUUGUUGGUUCUUUUCGUCAAUACACCCUCUCUCUCUCCUGCUUUUUCCCAAUCUACACUACCUUACAAUUUAAUUUCCAAUAUACAUUGCUUGAGAGUUUGUGCUUUAAAAGUAAUCAAUCUACACUAGUUUGCAAAUCAACGUGGUCAAGGGAUUACUCAUAACAAACAAGUUAUAUAGCUAUGCCGUCUAUACCUAACUCUCUCUCCUUUUUGUUUUUUUUAAAUUUAAAAUAUUAUAAAAUAUAAAUAUUAUAUUAUAUAAUUUUUUUAAUUAGUUUUAAAAUUACUUAUUUAUUAAAUUAAAUUUUAUAAUUUUGUUUUUUAAUUUUUUUAAAGAAAAUGAUAUUAUUAAAUAUAAUUAUUUUUGAAGGAUCAGGACCCCACUGUAUUUUGCUGGCAACAAGUAAAUUAAAUAAUAAAAAAAAUAAUUAUAUUUAAUAAUAUCAUUUUAUUUAAAAAAAAAUUAAAAAACAAAAUUAUAAAAUUUAAUUUAAUAAAUAAUUAAUUUUAAAACCAAUUAAAAAAUUAUAUAAUAUAAUAUUUAUAUUUUAUAAUAUUUUAAAUUAAAAAAAAAACAAAAAGGAGAGAGAGAUAGGUAUAGAUGGUAUAACUAUAUAAUUUGUUUGUUCUCAGUAGUCCACGUCCAUUUGCAAACCAGUAUAAAUUGACCACUCUCAAAGCACAAACUAACUCCCAAGCUGCCGUGUAUAUUGAGAAUUAAAUAAAGUAGUGUAAAUUGAAAAAAAAUAGAAGAGAGGGUGUAUUCACACAAAAAACCUAAAUGAAUGUGCCUAAGAAAUAAUAUUUAAUACCUUUUAAAAAAAGAAAAUAAUAUUUAAAAAAUUUCUUCUUUACAUCUCUAGUAUCCGUCAAGAUUUGAAUCUCAGAAUCAACAUAAAACCAAUUAUAAAUCUUAUAAUUAACAUAACACCAAUUAAUUCUUUUAAAAUAAUUAAUUAAUCAAAGACUUCUUUAAGCAAGUUUUUAAAUAGGUUCGUGGGCCAAGCCAGACUUUUAUGUAAGCUGAGCAGGUAAUAAGUCUAGCUCAAACCUUAUGUAUUCAACUCAACCAAAUCACGAAAUUACCUAUUAGUUCCAUUUCUAUUUUCAUGCAUACCAAAACUGUAUAUAAUAAGCAUAAUACCAAUUGUCUUUUGCAUUUGUCAAAGUUCUAUCUUCUAUAUUUUAGUCUUGCUUGCAUUCGUUUAAUACACUUUCAUAAUUAAAAAUAAAAAAUCAAAAUGCCCUAACCUCUCGUAAUCGCAACCUCCAUCGUUCAUUCCACGAUUCCGAGUUUGCUGAGUUGAGUUCAAUCAUGGGACGGUGGGAGAAGAAAGGACCGAAGCAAGUUCUCUUUUGAAGGGUUUUUGGUGGGAUUUAGUGGAAAGGGGAAGGCAACCUGAGAAGGUAUUUUUUAUUUUUACAUUUUUUUAUUCUUUUUCUUUAAUCUAGGGAAAAAUUUAAAAGAAAAAAUGGUAGGAAUGAAAAUUGGAAAGUUGGAGAAAAAAGAAAUUGUAGAUUGAUUUGAAAAUGAAAGGAAACAGAGGUAAAAUUAGUUAAGAUAUACAGAAAAAUUUGAGUGAAAUGAUUAUUGAAUGAUGAAUUUACAGUAUUAAUUGAAUUAUUUAUUUUUCCUUUUUUGUAUGCAAUAAUAACGUGAUUUAUAAUGAAUUAGUUUAAUACUUCCUUGCAAGGUAUUAAAUAUAAGUUUUUUUUUAAUUUGAUAUAUUUUUUUUCUAAAAAUAUAUUUUAAAAAUUUUGAUAACUUUAAUUUAAGUAUUAUAAUUAAUAUAUUAUUAUUUAAAAUUGAUUUAUUAAUAAAAUAAAAUUUGGUUCAAAGGAAUUAAGACAGAUUCCACCUUAAUUUGAUUUUAAAUAAUUAUCAAAUUAAAAGUAAAAUAGCAACGUAAAUACUAAAUUUUAUUUAAUAUAUGGAAAUAAUAUUAUUAAUAAGUUAGUUGUAAAAAGGAAUAUACAAUACCUAAACCAUAAUUCAUGAACUCGUGGAAUGUCAAUAUUUAUGAGAAGUUUUGUAGCAUAAUUGGUGUUUGAGACCACAUUUUACUUAUAAAUUAAAGACUAUAUCAAAAUAUAUUAAUUAAACAUUUUAUUAUAAUUUUAAAAUGAGGAAAAUACAUUUUAUAAACACAAUAUAACAUAAAUCAAAUACCCUAACAUAAAUGAAUGAAUAAUCACUAAAUGAAAUAUAGUGUAUAUAUAUAUAUAUAUAUAUAUAUAUAUAUAUGUAUAUAUAAUAGUCAACAAAUGAAAAGAUAAAGAAUGAAGACAUACACCUACGACCAAUUGACUCUAAACCUCAUGAAAGAAUAUACCAUAUAUAAAAGAGAGGAUAAAGAUUCAUCUGCUUCAUAUUUUUUAUUUUUUAUUUUUCAUUUUUAAUUAUGAUAAUAAUACUGAGGUUAGUUCAUAUUUUCAAUAAAAUUUAAAAUGUUUUGAAAAAAGAAUUACAAAAUUUAAAUCAAUAUUAUAUGUUAUUGAUUAAUUUAAACAUUAAAUGUUAUUCUUCACCUUCUAAAUUAACAAAAUGUUUUUUAAUUGUUGUUUUUAAUAUGAAACUCUGCCUUUCAGUUGUGGUUAUUAUGAAAACUUUAUAAUUUUCUCAAUCCGUUAUAUAUUUAAACGGUUCUGUAAUAUACUAACAUUUUACUUUUUACAAACUGAAAUUGUGAAAAGAUAUCUUUUCAUAGGGUUUACAUAUAUAGAUUAUUACUUUAAAAGUAACCACAAAUUAAAGGCAUAUUAAUAUAUUUUAAAUUUAUUCAAAUUUAAAAUAUAUUAAUAUGAUACUUAAUGAAGUAAUAUAUUUCCAAACCCUUUGCUUAUAUUGUAAUCAAUUUUAAGCAUAUUAAAACCCGUGCAAUAUUCAUGCAAAUUUUCAUAUAAUUUAAUAAUUUUUUAAAUUUAAAUUUAUCACAAAUACUAAACUAAAUAUUAAUUUCAAGCAUUUUAAUCAAUGAUUAUUGACAAAUUAAUAAAAUAAAUCUAAUGGUUCUAAAAUGUUUUAAGCAUAUAUAUAUAUAUAUAUAUAUAUAUAUAUAUAUAUAUAUAUAUAUAUAUAUAUAUUUUAAAACAAAUUGCAUUGAAUCAAACCAAUUGUUGUUAAAUGAAUGACAAAAAUAUAAUGACUCUAAUAUUUUUAAGCAUUUUAUCAAUGACGGUUGCAAAUUAAGUAUUAACAAAACAAAUCUAAUGGUUUUAAAAUGUUUAAGUAUUUUUUAUAAAAAAAAAUUUCCAUUUAAUCAAGUAUGCUAGACAUUAAUUUGAAUCAAAUCAACCCUUGUGAUCAAAUUAAAAUUUUGAUUCAAUGACCCACGAAUAUUUAAGUAUGCUAAACAUUGAUUGAAUCAAAUUAAUGACCGAAAUGAAAUUAAAAUCUUCAUCUAAUGGCCAUAAAAUAUUAAAUAUGUUAGACAUUAAUUGGAUCAAAAAGAUGGUUGUGAUUAAAUUAUAAUUUCUACCAAAUGACCCUUAAACAUGCUAAACAUUUAUUGAAUCAAAUUGACUUUGUCAAAUUAAAAUUUGGAUUCAAGCUCAUAAAAGUUUAAUUUUCUUUAGUAUAUAGAUAGAUGGGUGAAGAUUGUAGGAUAAAAGGUGUUCAAAAACAUACAUUGUGGAAUAAAAUGAUCUAUUUUGUAUUUAAAUUAUAUUAUAAACAAAUGACAUAUUAAAAAUAUACAUGUUGAUGAGUUCUUCAAGCAUAAAAAUUAUUCAAUAGUGUGAAAACUCUACGUGUAUCCACACCGAGACUCCUCUAUUCGUCAAUAACUUUGACAGGUGGAAAAAUAAGAAUAGAAGUGAUAUUCUGAUCGUUUCAAUGUGCAGCCCAAGGCUCUAUUUAUAGCACGCUAAGAAUACCAAAUUUCUAAUCAAAUCAAAAUCAUUAUUGAUAGUAUCCUUUUUUAUGCUAUAUUAUUUUUUGUUACCUUUUAUUGCUAAUCAUUUAGAAAUUAAAAUUAAAAUAAUAAUUGACCAAGUCAAACUUGUAUCUAGUCGCCUUUUCAACCCAAAUUCCAAAUACAUAAUCAUACAUGUUUGUUUCUUUUCUUUCAUCAAAUCUUUCACAUUAUUUAUAUUUUCAGUGCCAGCAAAAAUAUAAUAAUAUUCCACCUUUUGAAAUCAAUUAAUCAUUUGAUCAUAUUAAAUUCUCUAAUUUAAUUAAUCAUCAAAUAUUAAAAUAAUUUCUUUAACAAAGAUUAGAACACUCCUUUGUGUGUGACCCCGUUGGUUCAAUACUAAGCCGGUAAUAUAUUAAUCAAAUUAAUAUACUAAUCAAGGUAGGCAUCUAGCAACACUCCUUAACGUCUGGAUAACAUGAAGUCGCAUUUUACUUUCAAGAACCAUUAGAAGAGUAGUGUAAUAAUUUCUUUCAUCUUUACAGUUCUGAAUUAACUUUAGAGUAUGGUAUUACUGUCAAACCCUUUUGAGUUAACUCAUAAUGACUUAAGAAAUGCAUUUCUUCUUUCAUUUAAUUUUCCUGGCCAGGAUAUAAUUUUAUUCAUAGAGCUCAAAUUCAUUACCAAGAGUUGAUGGAUUCCUUCUUGAUUAAUCAUUAAUUCUACAGGUAUUUAAUCAUAUCAAAUAUCCAUUCAACAAGUGCUCUAAAGCAUUAGGUGUCCGGAAUCAAAAUACAACAAAUAACCUGUCAAUUACUAUGACAUUCUCAGGUCAAAGAAAUCUAUUAUACCUCUUCUUGAGAAUUUUCUAUUGACAGUUUAUGGUAAAUUUUAACCAUUAGAAAAUUUCGAUUGAGUCAGUUCAAUGAUCACAUCAACAUGUGACUCAUCUAUAUAUGCAAAUUAAUAAAUGAAAUCUAUUAAUAUUUAUCCAAUAAAUACUAUCACAUAUAUAUUAAUCUAUCUUGAUUAUUGAUAUCCUAUUCACAAUAAUCCUAUGAUCAAGAACGUUUUAGAUUACAAUUAGAACAAACUUGUUUCUCAUUAUCAUAAUCUCUAUUAUAAUAACAAGUCUUUAAUUUUAAUCAAGGACAUUAUCAAAUGGACCAUUUUAUCAAAUAGUGAAAUAUGACAAUGAAAAUAAAAUAAUAAAUUAUUAUUAAAAUUAGAAUUGAUUACAUGAUGACUUGGAUCGUGGGUAUACAAAUUUAUUCCCAACAAUCUCCUACUUGCCUAGAGUCAAUCAUUCAUGAACUUCAUUUCUAAUUCCCAUUUGUGCUUGUCAAACUCUUUUAUGCCAAGCGCCUUGGUGAAGGGAUCUUCUGCAUUCUCCUUUCCAUCUACUUUUUCAAUCUUAACGUCACCACGUUCUAUUAUCUCUCUAAUCAAGUGAUACUUUCGCAAAAUAUGUUUGGACUUCUGGUGUGAUCUUGGUUCCUUUGCUUGAGCAAUAGCCCAUUAUUGUCACACAAUAAUGGAACCGACUCUUCUAUUGAAGGAACCACACCAAGUUCAAAUAUGAACUUUUUCAUCCAAACACCUUCUUUAGCAGCUUCACUUGCCGCUAUAUAUUCUGCUUCAGUAGUUGAAUCUGCUAUCGUAGCUUGCUUGGAACUUUUCCAACUUACUGCACCACCAUUUAAAGUGAAAACAUAUCCUGAAAUGGAUUUGCUAUCAUCUUUGUCUGAUGCAAAGCUUGCAUCACUAUAACCCUUCAGUUUCAAUUCAAAGUCUCCACAAAUGAGGAAUUGGUCUUUAGUUCUUCUUAAGUACUUAAGUAUGGUCUUAACCACUUUCCAAUGUUCCUCACCAGGGUUUGCUUGAUAUUGACUAGUUACACCUAGUGCAUAAGCGACAUUAGGACGUGUAAAAGUCAUGGUGUACAUGAUAGCUCCCACUACACUAGCAUAUGGUACUCUACUCAUGCAUUCUCUUUCUUCAGGAGUUGUUGGACAAUUCUCUCUACUAAGAGUAAUUCCAACACUUACAGGCAAAUAGCCUUGUUUGGAAUUAUCCAUGUUAUAUCCCUUUAAGAUAGUAUCAAUGUACAUAGAUUGGGAGAGUCCAAGCAAUCUUUUAGAUCUAUCUCUAUAAAUCUUUAUACCUAGAAUAUAGACUGCUUCUCCCAAAUCCUUCAUGGAGAAUUGUUCUGAUAGUCAAAUCUUUGUGCCUUGCAAUGUUGGUAUGUCAUUUCCAAUUAGUAAUAUGUCAUCAACAUAUAACACUAAGAAAAUAAUUGCCCUCCCACUAACCUUUUUGUAAACACAUGACUCUUCCUCACAUUUAACAAACUCAAACUUUUCGAUUGUCUUAUUAAAAUGAAUGUUCCAACUUCUAGAUGCUUGUUUCAAUCUAUAUAUAGAUCAUUGCAACUUACAAACUUCAUUACAACCAGCCAAUGAUGUGAAUCCUUCAGGUUGUGUCAGGUACACUUCCUCUUUCAACUCACCAUUAAGGAAAGUUGUUUUCACAUCCAUUUGUCAUAUCUCAUAAUCAUAGUAUGUUGUUAUGGAAAGUAGAAUCCGAAUUGUUUUGAGCAUUGCCACAGGAGGAAAUAUUUCGUCAUAAUCUAUUCCUUCUUGUUGACGAUAUCCUUUAGUAACAAGGUGAGCUUUAUAGGUCUCGACCUUUCCAUCUGCUCGAAUCUUUUUCUUGUAAACUCAUUUACAUCCAAUUGGUUUUAUAUCCUUUGAAUCUUUAACUAAAGUCCAUACUUUGUUGAUCUUCAUUGAUUCUAUUUCAGAUUCCAUGGUUUUUUUCCAUUUGUUGCAAUCCGAGCUUCUCAUGGCCUCUUCAUAGCUCUUAGGGUCAUCAUCAUUAUAAUAAACCUCAUUUGACAUGUCAUUUUGCACCAUUAAGUUUAAUUUAUCAGGUGUACAAUGCAUUCGAGUAGAUCUUCUAAGAGGUUCUUGUGUUGGGUUCAAAGGUUGCAGCAAUUGUUCUAAGAUUGGUUCAUUAACUUCUUCUUGAACAACGACUUGUUCUUGAACAAUUGGUAUCAGAGCCAUGGGUCUUUUGUAUUUAAAUUAUAUUAUACAAAACUUUGAAAAGGUUUCAAUUUUUAUUUACUUAUACGUAAUGCUGCCUAUUAUAAUUGCAUGAUUACAUUGUCAAAUCAAAUUAAUUUUUUUCUCUUCUUAAUUUAGCUUCAUCCAAAUCACUAAAAUUACUCAUCUUCUCCCUAAUAAACUCCUUUAUGCGACACCCUGGAAAUUCAUGACUAGGAAUUAUUAUAUGUUUGUGUGGACAUAUAGUGUGAUAGCUCUAAAAAUGAAAAAACCCAAUUUGUUUACUUCAAGUGCGAUUAAUUAGGAACCUAGUGUGCCCUUUAAUUAUGACAAAAAAAAAUUGUUAGACUCAAAUUAAGCAUGAUUUAGACCAAAGUCAAAUACGAUCAACCAAAAAUUUGUUAGACUCAAAUUUAAUUAAGACAAGGGAUUUGGUCAACUUAUUAUUAACAACAUACUAACAAAUGUUGGACAUUUUAGUGUAAUUGAUCUCUUUAUUAUGUUAAAAUAAGAGUGCACGCUUGUUUUAAUGUAAUAAUGAGAUGUUCGGUUUAGGCAAAUUUUGGAAGUUACAUGGAAGUUAGAUGUUCGGUUUAGGCAAAUUUUGGAAGUUACAUGAAAGUUACUAAAACUUCCAUCAACAGUUGAAAGUUACAUGGAAGUUACUAAAACUUCCAUAAACCGCAAAAAAAAAACCACCUGUUCUUUGAUCAUAAAUAAUCAUUCUGGUUCAGAAAGCAUAACGGUGUGACAAAACAUACAAGACCAAAACAAAACUCUUGAAUUAUAAUCUUCUGAUUUUAUCCGAUUGAACAAUUUUGGUUGAAUCCCGAAAUUUGAUUCAAUCUGAAAGUGUUAUACACGACUUCAGAUUUAUCCAGUAUUAUCUCGAUUUUCAAAUUAACCAACAAAAGAUUGAAUCAAAUCUUUCGAGAUGAUGAACGAUAGUUCGAAUAAGCUUAGUGUUUAAUGUUCCUUUAAUUAAGCUACUAAUUUUUUUUUAUCCAUACGAUGCACGGGUAAAUAGAGUGUUUGAGAAUCUUUAUUUUGUAUAUAUUUUGACAACAAAUAACAAUCUAUAUAGAAUUAUCGUAUUUUGAGAACAAAUAACACAUGAAAAUGUUGGUAAAAUAAGGACACAUGAGACUAUUUAAAACAAAUAACAUUCUCUUUGGUUAAUUUCACCUUUUUUUCUCUGUUUCAUAAAUGAAUAACAAAUACCGGAAAAAAAUUACUCAAAUAAUGAUAACAACAGUUAAAUGCCGAAUCCUUCACUCAUAUAAGACAUUUGCAAAACAACCUGAUGAAAGAAAAAGUGAAAAAAUUAUUUCAAUGAAUAUGCUCUAAAUCGUACUCAUAAUAUUAAUAUUUUCUUAAUUGUAGAAUAAAAUGCAUCAUAAUAUUUUUCAAAAUUUAUCAUAGUUAAAAUAAAUAGAAAAUAAUGAAAUGUAGCAAUAUUGGUAAACUAUUAUGAUAUUAAAAACUAUAGACCGGGAGAAAUUUAUAGGAGUUUCCAUUUGGAUUGAUCCUCAUACUAUAUUUGUGUGUGAGAGUAUUUGCAUUGUUCUAUCAAUAAACAACAACAAUUAAAUAUUAAAUUGUGAACAAAUGCAAUAUUUGUAUUUUUAUUUGAAUAGAUUAAUAAAUUUAUAGUAAACAAACUUUAACUUUGAAUUAAUUUUGCACGUUAAUUUAACAUCAUAUUUAAAAUUAUCUUAAUCGUUAUAUUAAACACUAUUUUUUUGAAGAACCGUAUAUUAAAAUAUUAUUAAUUUAGUAAAUACUUUAAGUACACUGUUUAUGUUAGUUACACGAUAUCUAUUUUAGGAGAAAUAAUAUAUUAGUCAUAAGUUGAUUAGUUAUUAUUACAAUUGUUUUUUAACUUAAUUAUUUGUUUAGUUUAAUUAAUCAAGCUAGGAUAAAAAAAUCUAUUCACGGAUUUUUUUUUACUUAAUAAUAUAAUCUUGCAAAUAUAAUCAGAUAUUAGUUACACUGAUUCCAAAUAGGGCACCCCAACAUAGUUAUCACAACACCAACAUCAUUAUCCCAUAUCUUCUUGUACUAACACUCGGCAAAUCUCAUGAAUAUAUCCAUCUUUUUUUUUUUUUUUCUUUUUGAAUAUUCCCUUGCAAUAAAUGGCACUAGUAACAACUGCUCCCUCUGAGAAAAAACCCAAGACAACUAGUGUCUUUUACACUUGGCAAUAGCAUAACUGCAUAAGGCCAUCGAAUUGUAAAAAAGGAUAAUAACUCAAUAAGAACAAUUAGAUUUAAGGAGAAAUUGUGUCAUACUUAUAUAUGUUAUGUUUAUCCAGUUUAAUUAGUGGCAAACAUGAAUCACAUGAUUCAGUUAACUAUCUUAGAACUUGAGAUAAAAUGGAACAAUUAGUCAAAUACACAAGGCAAAGGAAAAAAUAUUUUUUUUUAAAAACAAAUUUUGUGAAAUUUUUAAAUUAAUUAUCAAAAUGGGUAGAUUUCGAAACAAUUACAAAAAUGGGUAAGUCAUCUUUUGAAAGAUGAUUUAUUUAUACUUUCAAAACAUGGUUUCAUUUUUCCAGUUUUUUUAUAUCCGUCUCAAAUUGCUUUUUUAGCUACCACAAAAUGGGAGGUUUAUUUGUUUUUGCUUGACGAAGAAAUUUGUGGCAAUUAAUAAACAUGACAACAGGGUAGGACAAGGAAGAGUAUUGCCUCCCUAGUCCCCGAUCUCAACUCCCCAACAUGUUCCCAUAUUUGUCUCUGAUAUCUGAUGGGUUGAAAUUUGUUACCUCACUUUCAUACCUGUUAGGUAUCAAGCAUUUCGUCCCCAGUUCAAAUUUGUAAAAUAUUUUUUUUUGUAAAAAAGUUAUAUUAAAAAUUUAAUUUUAGAAAAAAUAAAUUGAUUGUUACAUAUUUAUUUUUAACUACUUAUAUAUCAAUAAAUUCAUUCCAACACACAUGUCUACAAAAAUUGUCAAGAAAAGAAUCUUAAAUUAUGUAAAAAUUCUAAAAUAAAAUUAACAAGUAAUAAAAAAAUUUAAUAAUUUCAUCAUUGGGGCGAGUACAGGACGAGUACAAGGUAGAUAGUGACAUUCUCAUCCACGACCCCAAACCCGAUUAAAAAAGUCGGGUAAUCCCCGAACCCGUACCUGAUCAACUUGGGUAUUUCCCGUCAAAGUUAGGACGGGUUCAGACGGGUACCCACGAGUACAAGUUUCUUUGCCAUGCCUAGCGGUUAAAGAAGUAAUUUGUGGUAACUUUUAUCCUCCAUAAUUGUUUUUAAAAAAAUAUGGAAAGAGAAAUCAUGUUCCCAAAACAUGAAUUUAGUAUAUAUGAAAUCGUCUUUCAAAAGACAACUUAUCCAUUUUUUUUCUUUUUUCAUUUUGGUAAUUAAUUGAAAAAAUUACACAACUUUGGUGAGAAAAAACCGUGAAGGGGAUACAUAUUGUAUGUCUAGGGUCCAUAAAAUACAUAUUGUAUUGUCCGGUGUAACCCAUUCAUUCAUAUCUUGUUCAUGUGUAGAGAAACUUAAGCUUUUUGCGUCUUUUUUAAAUAAUGAUCUAUGGUAUAAACCCCUACUAGUGGUUCUAUGUUAACUUCUAAUGUGUGUUUGAAUUGUCAUGUGGAAAUUUUUGGUAGAAUAUUCUUGAUUGAUCUGAUUUGUUUGCCUUUGAGCCAAAUUGAUGUUAUUUUGGGUAUGGACUAGUUAUCUUCCAACCAUGUCUAGUUAAAGUGUUUUGAUAAAACUUUGGUGUUUGAUGACUCUAGAGUGAGUAAGGAUAUGAUGUUUAUCUCUACCAACCAAGUUGUGACACUUUAAAAAAAGAUGCUCAAGUGUACAUGAUCCUGUCUAACCAGAGAGUAGAGACAAAGGUUUCCAUGGGUUACCUCUAUAUGGUCAGAGAAUUUCUUGAAGUGUUCCUUGAGGAUAUAUCCAGUUUACCACCUGAGAGAGAGAUAGAGUUUUCCAUAGACCUGGUACCUCGUGCUAGACACAUGUCCAUAGCCCCUUAUAAGAUGUCUCUUGUAGAGUUAGUCGAGCUUAAGAAAUAAUUAGAGGAGUUGUUGGAUAAGCAGUUUAUGAAACCAAGUGUGUCCUCAUGGGGAGCACCAAUGUUGUUAGUAAAGAAGAAAGAUGGAAACAUGAGGUCGUGUGUAGACUACCAUCAGUUGAAUAAGGUGACAAUCAAGAAUAAGUACCCUUUGCCUAGGAUAGAUGACCUUAUGGACCAAUUGGUAGGAACUUGUGUGUUUAGCACAAUAAACCUUAGGUCAGGUUACCAUCAAAUAUGAGUGAAGUCUGAGGAUAUUUCGAAGACUGCUUUUAGGAACUAUUAUGGUCACUACGAGUAUCUAGUCAUGCCCUUCGGUGUGACUAACGUUCUUGGUGUGUUUAACACGAAUAGAGUCGUUCACCCUUACCUUGAUAAUUUUGUGCUAAUAUUCAUAGAUAAUAUUUCAGUAUACUCCAAGACUAGAGAGGAACGUGAGGAGCACUUGAGGAUUGUGUUGCAGACCCUUAGGGACCGACAACUUUAUGCUAAGUUGUCCAAGUGUGAGUUUUGGUUGGAGAAAGUUAGUUUCCUAGGGUAUGUGAUAUCUCAAGGGGGUAUAGUUGUAGACCCCUCUAAGAUAGAAGCUUUCCCUGAGUGGGAGAGUCCUAAGUCUGGUUUUGAGAUUAAGAGUUUUCUGGGUUUAACAAGAUAUUACCAAAGAUUCAUAGAAGGUUUCUCCAAGUUAGCUAUACCUUUGACCAAGCUGACUCAUAAGGGUUAAGCUUUUGUGUCGGAUGCCCAAUGUGAGCAUAUUUUCCAAACCUUUAAAGAGAAGUUGAUGAACUCUCCCAUGGUAGUUUUGCCUAACCCGAGAGAACCCUUUGAAGUGUAUUGUGAUGCAUCCAAGAUGGGUUUAUGAGGAGUGUUGGUGCAAAAUGGCCAAGUAGUGGCCCAUGCUUCUAGACAACUCAAGACUCUUGAAAGGAAUUAUCCCACCCAUGAUCUGGAGUUGGCUAUUGUAGUUUUUGCCAUUAAGAUAUGGAUGCAUUACCUGUUUGGCUCCAAGUUUGAAGUGUUUAGCGAUCAUAAGAGCCUUAAGUACAUGUUUAGCUAGAAAGAGAUGAACAUGCGUUAGAGGAUAUGGUUAAAGUUUCUUAAGGAUUAUGAUUUUGAGCUUAGCUACAAUCCUGACAAAGCUAAUGUAGUGGUUAAUGCCUAGAGUAGGAAAUCGUUACAUAUAUUUGCCUUGAUGGAUUGAGAGUUAGAUCUUCUAGAACAAUUUAGAGACCUUGGCCUUGCGUGUGAGGUCACCCUUAAUAGUGUGAGACUUGGAUCUUUGAGGAUUACUAGUGAGUUGUUAGGAGAGAUCAGAGAGGGCCAAAAGUUUGAUCCUUUCCAAAAGACCUAGUUAAAAGCUAUAGUGUCAGGGAAAGAUAGUAGUUUAAAUGUGAGAUCAAAUGUAUUAGGAUCUGAAGAUAAUGUUUUGGUGGCCCAACAUGAAGAGAUAGGUUAGUGAGUUUAUGUAUGCAUGUAUAGUUUGUUAGAAGGAUAGGAUGAAACAUCAAAGACCUUUAGGUAAGUUACAUGCCUUAAAGAUACCCCAAUGAAAGUGGGACAAUAUCUCCAUGGAUUUUCUUGUAGGAUUACCUAGGACCCUAGAGGUUUAGAUUCUAUCUGGGUUAUUGUUGACAGACUGACCAAGUCUGCUCACUUUAUUCCCAUUAAUAUCAUAUUUUCUUUGGAGAAGUUGACCUCCCUGUAUAUUAGUCAGAUUGUCAUAUUACAUGGGGUGCCAUCUAGCAUAGUGUUUGAUAGAGAUCCAAGAUUUACCUCUAGAUUUUGGGAGAGUCAUAACAAAGCAUUGGGAACCAAGCUUAGGCUAAGUUCAGCCUACCACCCUCAGACUGAUGGCUAGAUUGAAUGGACUAUUCAUUCGCUAGAGGACCCUUUUGAGGGCGUGUGUCUUAUAACAAAAGAAAAGUUGAGAGAAUUUUUUGUCAUUGAUAGAAUUCACUUAUAACAAUAGUUUUCAUUCUACCAUUGACAUGGCUCCUUAUGAAGAUCUAUAUGGUAGAAGGUGUAGGACACCCUUAUGCUGGCUAGAACCAGGAGAGAACCUCACCUUAGGACCUAAAGUGGUACAACAAACCACUUAGAAUGUCAAGAUGAUCCAAGAGAGGAUGGGGACUUCUCAGAGUAGGCAGGAGAGCUACUAGGAAAAGAGGAGGAAAGACUUAGAAUUCGAGGUUGGUGAUCAUGUAUUCUUGAGAGUCACUUUGUGGAUCAGGGUUGGUCGAGCUUUGAAAUCCUAAAAACUCACACCUCGAUUUAUCAGUUUUUUCCAUAUUCUCAAAAGAGUUGGCUUUGUGGUAUACCAAAUUGCAUUACCUAUGUCCUUUUCUAACCUUUACAAUGUCUUUCAUGUGUAUCAACUCAAUAAGUAUAUCGAUGAUCCAUCUCAUGUGAUCAAAUUGGAUGACGUACAAGUGAAGGAGAAAUUGACAUAUGAAACAUUGCCUUUGAGGUUAAGAUAGGAAAACAAAACACUUAAGAGAGAAAGAGAUUUUGUUGGUCAAGGUGAUCUAAUGAGGUACAUAUGGAGAUGACGCAACUUGGGAACUAGAGAGUCAUAUAUGAGUGUGCUAAGCAUAAUUCCUAACCCGAGAGGGAAAUUCACUUAGUAAGACGAUCACGCUAAGCAUAAUUCCCAACUUUAUAGGGAAAUUCGCUUAGUGAUACCAGCACACUAAGCGCAAUUCCAACACGAGGAGGUAACUCACUCAGCGCGAGAAGUCGUGCUUAGGGUCAAAAGUGAAGUUUUGCUUAGCGUGACAAGCCCACUAAGCAAGAUCUGCAGAUUAUAAAUACGUUCUUUAGCAUGAUAAACAUGAUUUUUACCCCCCUCUCUAAACUCUGUCCAAAAACCCUAUAAACUAAUCUUCCAACACCCAUGACCAUCGGUGGUCACCACUGGCUGUCGUUGCUUGCCGUUAGACCACUGUACAGAGAUGAGCACUUUAAUGAGAGCAAAAUCCUCAAAAUCCACUUCAAGGAAUCGGUAGAGAAACUAGCUCUCAACUCUUUAUUUUGUAGUUCUCUGAGGUAACCUUGACUUCUAUGCCUUUCUCCUAGUUAGUUUGAGCUUCUCUUAUUACCUCUUAUGUUUUGGGUACCGUAAUAAGAUGUUUUUACACUUCCUUUAAAAAUCCCUUGAAAAUGAGACGUUGUAAAAGUUACAUUUUUAUUAAAUUGAUGUUGUUUUUGUGACCUUCGUUGAACCCUAGUCACAUUGGCAUGAUUGAAAUUUCAACAUGAUGUCUCUUUGUAGUAGAACACGAAACACCCCUUAGCAUUUUUAUUUGACAGAGGUAUUUGACCCCGAAUGUUGAUAUUAACCUUGUUUUUGAAAUCUAUACUAAAUUUCCUUCUAUUUGGUAUAUAGAACUCUCCGUUUGGACCAAUAGUCAUGAAUGUGAGAGACCUCCGAGCGAACUAGAGAGGAGCUGAUGGAGAGAUAUCAAUAGGUGAGAGGAGUUUGUUAUAAUUUAUGGCUUUGAUACCAUAAUUGGGACCUAAUUAUGGAAUGUAUGUAUGUCCCUGUGCAUGCUGGUUUUCAAGAAAAAUAAUGUUUUUCAACUAAUGGGAUGUGAUACAUUUGUUAUUGAUGAAUGACAUUGUCGUUUUAUUAGACUUAUGUUGUCUGAAGCCUGGGGGAGUGUGAAUCUCAGGUAUGAAAUUUAUAUGCAUGUAUAUAUGUAUGUGUGUGUGUGUGUGUGUGUGUGUGUGUGUGUGUGUGUGUGUGUGUGUGUGUGUGUGUGUGUGUGUGUGUGUGUGUGUGGAAUGUGAUUAUUGAUGAUGUUGUUAUUGAUGAUAAAAAUUGAUAUGGGAUGAUGUUGGUGUUUAUGAUAAUAUUGAUAGAAAAUGAGGUUGAUAUUGAUGAUGAUAUUAAUAUGAGAUGAUGUUGUUAUUGAUGAUAAUAUUGAUAUGAGAUGAUGUUGUUAUUGUUGAUAAUUUCAUUGAUGUUAGAUGAUGUCGAUGUUAAUAAUGACAUUAAGAUGAAAUGAUGUUGAUGUUGAUAAUGUCAUUGUGAGGAUGUAUGUUGUGUAUGUACAUGAGGGGUGCAGUGACCAAGUUGAAUAUCCCUAGUGGGGGAAAUAGAGUGGUUAAAGAAUUUUAAGCAUCUCUGGAAUUAAGGAGUCGCUUUUAAUUUUUAAUUAUCCAUGUUAGUGCAUUGAUAAUGCUCAUGCGUCAUAUUUCAUACUGCAUGGAAACAGUAUAAACUUUGUUAGUAAGUACUUGUAAUUUUUCAUGAGAGAAAAUAUUUGUACUUGUGGGCAUGUCACUCGAUUUGGAACUCCCUUGUGACUUAGGUUGAUCACUAUGGGGUAAGUUGCAUGUGCACGAUAGGGUGACCUCAACACUUGCUGCCUAAUUUUUCUAAGGUGAGUGUACCGUGGACACGCUCAAGCUAUUUCUUGACGAAUGGUACCACAUUGUAUUUGAGAGUUGAGGUCAGGUGCAUGCAUCAUAUUGAACAUAAUUGAUUGGAAUUGUGGAAAAGUUGAUGACUAGUUGUUAAGUGUGUUGGACUGAUGGAUAUUUCUGUAUGAUUAUGGUAUUUGUUAUUGUUUUCUUGCUAAUCAUGGUCAUUUGGUGUUUGUUGAUUUCUUUUAUAAUAAACUCACCAUUGCAACUUUGUAUCGUGCGACUGGUACUUGUGAUGAUCGUGAACCUUCAUUCAUGGGAGCAGAUGAACAAUAAUAGAUGACGUGGAGGGAGAUUCUUUUUGUGGGAGCCGCUAAGUCGACGUGAUGAUGUUGAGUCUAUUUUGGGAGAGUUAUGUUUUGUUAAUCAACUCUUAUGUAGUUGAUUUUGUAUUUUUUUUUAUCUGUGGAUGUAAAUCACAUAUUAAGAUAUAUGUAUAAACUAAUUUACGUUCUGUCAUGUGAAUGAUGUAUACUGGAUUAAUAUAUAUAUAUAUAUAUAUAUAUAUAUAUAUAUAUAUAUAUAUAUAUGCACAUUUUCAUUUAAGUAUUUGUGUGUUAUUUGGUAAAAGUAUAUCACAAAAAAUUUACUCUUGUUUUUCAUAAAUAAAUUAAUUGAUGCAAUCCUACCCCGCAAGGGCAUUGGGUAGAAAACUCCAAGUAGAUUGGGCUAGAGAUCCAAGGGAAGGCCCUAGGGUUCUCAUGAGCCUUAGGGUAGAUUUCGAGUCCAUGGGCUAAGUAUGAGCCCGCUUAUCUUUGUAAACAUUAGAAUAGGUAUUUCCUUCGUCUGGGCCUUGUAUUUUGGCCAUUCUAGUAGUAUAGGGUUUUAGCCUUGUAUUUCAGGGCAUUUUGAGUAGUCUUUGUAGUAAGGACUUUUUUUUUUGUAUUUUCAUGUUUUUUGUCAUAGGGGUGAGCUUAGCUAUUAUAGGGGGUGUGUAGCUAAGCUCUAGCUUCUCAUCUCAAGGAGGUGAACUUAGCUAUUAGAGAGGUAUGUGUAGCUAAGCUCAAGCAUCUUUAGGAAUCUUCUUAAGGAAGCUUCACAAGGAGGUGAACUUAGUUAUGAGAGGGGUGUGUGUAGCUAAGCUCUAGCUUCUCAAGGAAGUUUUCUCAAAGAAGCUUCUCAAGGAAGUUUUCUCAAGAAAGCUUCUCAAGGAAGCUACCUAGUCUAUAAAUAAAAGCAUGUGUAACACUUGUUGUAACUUUGAUGAAUGAGAGUCUUGUGAGACACAACUCAAAGUUCAACUUCUCUCCCUUUUUCUUCCUUCAAUUUCGUGCUCCCCCCUCUCUCUUUCUCUCCCUCUUUCUUUUCCUCCAUUGAAGCAUCCUCUCUAAGCUUCUUAUCCAAGGCUCAUCUUGGUGGUGAAGCUCCUUCUUCCAUGGCUUAUUCCCUAGUGGAUGGCGCCUCCUCUCACCUCUUCUCCUUUGUCUUCCGCUGCAUCUCUAUGGUGGAAAAUCACCAUUAAAGGACCUCAUUGAAGCUCAAAGAUCCAGCCUCCAUAGAAGCCCCACAAGCAAGCUUCCAUCAAGUGGUAUCAGAGCACAAGAGCUUCAAGUAGGUGCUCAUUAAACCUCCAGUAAUGAGGCGGAUCAUUACAAGGUUCACAUAAACCAUUGGCCUUGGCUGAUCUAAGUACAUUGUUUAGUCUUCCUAAAGGUAGACUUUGAAGGAGCCAAAGAAUCAGGAAGAUAGGAGGUUGAUGGUGUAGACAUGUGCCUAUGCAAAUAUAAGAAUAAAAACAUUAAUGUCAAUUGCAAAUAUACAAAUUAACUUGAUAUAAAUUGUAAAUAUGCAACAAAAUGAUCUUAAUUAUACAAUAACAUAAAUAUUAAUUAUGUAAAACACAAGGGUCACAAAAAUCAAGUGUUAGAUCCUAGUUUUCAUGACUAACACCACUUAUUCUUUCUUAUAAAACCACUGACAAUUUGGAGCUACAUAGAUCUUGGACAUAAAACACCUAUUUUGAUUGUUCUACCAUGAUGAAAGACUCAUCCAUAUAAGCAACAUUAUUAAACUCUACCAAUGUAAAUCCCAUACCCAUUAACCCUCUUACACUUAAAAAUAGGUGUUCUCCUAGAUUUGUUUCAUUACUCCAAAGUAAGGCAUGGAAGCCAUAAUGGGGUUGUUAUCUGAUGCAUUAGAAUAAUGUCCAGAAUGAACGUCACUACUAAUCCCACUAUUUUGCAUUGUACUAUUCUCAUCAUGUGACUUUGUGUAGAAGGAAUAAUUGUUGAUAUCAUAUACCUUCCAAGUUAGUACAUUUCAUUUUGGUCUAUAUGAUAACAUUUUUAAUGUUUCAAAAGCAUUGUCAUCACCAAAGAUUGUAUCUUUAUACUAGUUUAUGAAAGUGUUAUUAUACUCUUGCAACACUUGUUUUUUUUUUGUCAUUUUUUGGUUGAUUAACCUUCAAAAAUUCUUUGUAAGUAGCUAUGUACGUGGCAACCUCUUCGGUGUUAUUCAAUAUGUACAAAUGUGCUUAAUUCAGUUCCUCAUGACCCAUAGUUACAACCUCAAAACCCUGUGAACCCUUACUUCCCCAUUUGUUGUCAUGACGAGACUCAACAAACCCCACAGAUUUUGGCUUUUCCAUGUAUUCUGAACAAAACUCUAUAGGUUCUUCUACAAUGUACCUUUCAACAAUGGAUGCUUCUGGACAAUAUUGGUUCUUGGUAUGCCCUUUUAAGACCUUCAUGUAUCGCUUGAUUGAGUACAUCCACCUUAAAUAAACAGGCCCACAUAGUCUAAUCUCCCUCACUAAAUGAACAAUUAAAUAAACCAUGAUGUGAAAAAAUGAAAGAGGAAAAUGCAUCUCCAGAUGACAAAGGAUAUUAGCAGCCUCAUUUUUCAAGUCAUCAAACUUUUAAGGGUUAAUGACUUUGCUACAUGUAGCAUUGAAGAAAAAUCACAUACGGGUUAUGGCAACCCCGACUUUAUUAGGCAGGAUACCUUGUAUUGCCAUGACCAACAAUUGUUGUAUUAAGUCGUAGCAAUCACCAGACUUCAAGCCUACUAAUUUAAGAUCCUUCACUCAUACAAGACUCCUAAUAUUUGAAGAGUAUCCUUGUGACAUUUUCACGUUUUGUAAACACUGAUAUAAACUUUUUUUUGACAAUAUAUUACAUGCUAAGGGAAAAUAUGUCCGUUGACUUUUUAUUGUUAUCAGAUGCAACUACUCACAUAUACACAUGUCAACCAAAUCUUGACGAGUAUUCAAAUCAAUUUUUGUCUUGCCUUUAAUAUUAAUAAUCAUGAUGAUUAAACUAUCAUAGAAAAUUUUCUCCACAUGCAUCACAUCAAUACAAUGUCUAAAUCUAGGACGAACUAAUAUGGAAGAUUAAAGAAUAUUGACCUCUUCUUUCAUAUGUUUUUUUUUUUCAUUUGCAUCCUUCUUUUGGGUCAUUCCAAAGAUAGUACAUAUGUCCUCCACCCGCUCAUAAACUUUGUUUCUCGAUAAGGGUAUUAGGGAAAAUCUAGACUCCUAUAUUCCAUUAAAAGCUUUUUUCAAUUGACGACAGGGUGAUAUUCUUUAAGAAAUCUCUGAUGCCUAGUAUAGACUGUCUUUUUUCCAUGCUUCAGUUGCACGAAGCUUAUCUGUUUUUCACAAAUUGGGCAUGCACAAUGCCCUUUAACACUAUAUCCACUCAAAUUCCUAUAUGUUGGAAAGUCAUUAAUGGUACAAAAUAUCAUUACAUGCAACUUGAAGGUCUACUGGCAGUACCCAUCAAACAUGUCAACCUGACCCAUAACUUUCUUAAGUCUUCAAUCAAGAGACUUAGAUAAACAUCGAUGUCAUUUCCUGGUUGUCUUGGACCCGAAAUCAUCAUAGACAACAUAAUGUAUUUUCUCUUCAUGUAUAAUCAAGGAGACAUUGCAAGUCAUUAGCAAAACAGGUCAUGAAUUGUGAUUAGUGCUUAAGUUACAAAAAUGAUUCAUUCCAUUUAAAGCAAGUCCAAGCCUAAGGUUUCUUGCCUCCUUCCCAAAAUUAGAAAACAUGGAAUUUAUUUUCUUCCACUAGGGAGAAUCAUCCAGAUGCCAAAGCAAUCUAUCAUUUUUUUCUCCCAUUUGCAUGCCAUGUAAGGUUUUUUGCAUCAUCUCAGUUAGCAAAUAAUCGCUUAAACCUUGGAAUUAUUGGAAGCUACCAACAUUGGUGGGGCUUUCUUUGUGCUUUAUGUUGGACAAGCGGCCUCAAUUAUCUUAAGAAAGGGUGAAUUAAUUUCCCACUAACAAACUUUUAACCCCCUUCUAAAUGAUAGGCUUAGAAUGCAGAAGAAGCAGCAAUCAAUUUAAUAAUGUUCUUUAAACAUGCAAGACAAAAUUGUUUGCAACAAAAUAAAUGAGAUAAGGGAAGAGAGAAAUGCAAACUCAAUUUAUACUGGUUCGGUCACUUCCCGUGCCUACGUCCAGUACUCAAGCAAAUCACUUGAGAUUUUCCACUAUCUUUGUAAAUCUCCUUUUACAAAGUUUGAACCACACAGGGACAACUCUUCCCUUGUGUUCAGAAUUCCUUACAACUUAAGAGACCCUCGGUCCCUUAAUCAAUCUCUUUGAAUAAGAAGAAAAAAGAGGAAUUCUCUCUUUAAGAGAAGGAUAUUACAAUUGAAGAUCUUGUAAGAAUCCUUAUAGAUUUUUGCAAGUGUUUGGCCAAGGAUUUCUUUUGAGAGAGCAUUUGACAAUAAAGUUCUCUUGGAAUAUCUCUCUCGUACUUUUUGAAGUCAGACACACACAUAUAUAUAGGCCCUUUUCAAAAUGUUUUAAAGAGAUAUGUAUUUGCAAAAAGUUUUUUUUUGAAUUUUUUCACUGGUAAUCAAUUACAGGUUUAUGGUAAUUGAUUUGACAGUUAUAUUUUGAAGGGUCAUGGCUUUUGAACUUGAAUUUCAAAAUUUCCAUUACUGGCAAUCGAUUACAGGUUCAAAAAUCAAAUUCAAAACCCUUUUUUAAUAGUUAUUUUUCAAACUUCCCUUCUUGUAAUCGAUUACAUUGCCUGGUAAUCGAUUACCAGUGCCUUGGAUGACUUUGAAACCCUUUGUUUUGAGGCAAGGCUUGAUCUUGAAGCAAGACUUUGUUUGUUGAAGCAAUCUUGUAUUAAUCUUGAAGCAGUGCUUAUCCUUUGAAGCGGCCUUGUUUGAUUCUUCUUUGGCAUCAUCAAAACCAUGUAUACAUACAUUCACACUUUCCUCAUUACUAUAGUCGUUAUCCUUCACUUUUUAUCGCCCACACUUGGGGCGCUUUUGCAUUUCUGCAAACUCAUUUCUAUACAAUAUGCAAUCAUUAGGGUAUACAUGUAUUUUCAAGUUCUCCAUACCCAAAUGACAGUAUAUUCUUUGCCUCAUAGUUUUUUUUAGCAACAUGUUUUGGUCUGGAAGCAUCUUCUCCAACACAUCAAGCAAUUCAGUGAAGCUUUUAUCACUCCACCCAUAUCUUGCCUUUAAAUUGACCAAAUCUAACACUGUUGAUAACCAUGUGAAGUUUGUGCAUCCCGAAUACAAAGGCUUCUUCGAAUCACUUCAAAAUAUAUCAUACAAAGGUGCAUGUGCUUGCUGAAAAAUACUCUUGUAAAACCUCCCAAAUCAUGUCCUCUAAUCGAUCUCCCAUGUCUACAAAGGCUUCUUUACUUUGUUCUUCAACGUAGUUUUCCUUUUCUUCAACUCUAUCAUUGAUAAGAGCUCUACAUUUAGAAGCAUAAGGACCAAACUUGCCACAAUUGUAAAAUUUCACAUUUGACUUGUCAUACCUUGAUCUUGAUUUGCCUUGGCCAUGACCUCUUGUUGAGAUUUCUCCUCUUUGAAAUUUAUUGAGCUUUGCCCAUCUUGUCCAUGACCUCGUCCUCUUCCUCAAUCUUCACUACAACCUCAUCCUUGUUGGCUUCUAUUAUUUUGACUACUUUCUUCGUUGGUUGAAUAAACUUGUGUCCGAAGUAGUUGUUCCAUGAUCCCUUCCUUUAUUUUAUAAGCUUGUAAUGAGCCCAAAAUUUGCUCAAUGGUUAUAGCCUACAAAUCUUUUGUUUCGUCGAUGAUGGCAACAAUAUGUUCAAACUUUGAAUCUAACGGUCUAAGAAUUUUCUCCAUAAUUUUUAGAUAAUCAAUAUUUUCACCAUUUCUCUUAAGUUGAUUGGUGAUUGUUAAAAUUAUAGAGAAAUAGUCGGAGAUGACUUCAUUUUAUUUCAUAUGAAAUGUUUCAAACUUGGCUCUUAAUGUUUGAAGACAUACCUUCUUGAUUGGAUUCGCUUCCUUGUAUAUGGUUUGAAGCAUAUCUUAUGCUUCUUUUGCCGACUUUCCUUUUGAAACCUUCUCAAAAGAAUUGUCAUCUAAUCCUUGAUAGAUUAGAUAGAAAGCCUUCUUGUCUCUCUUUCUUGAGUCUCUCAAACCAUCCCUUUGAGUUUGAGAGAGACUACCCUUAUUCCCUGGCUCGAUGUGACCUUUCUCUAUUAUCUCCAAAACAUCUUGUGUGCCAAGGAGAGCCUUCAUCUUCAUGCUCCUAUUGUCAUAGUUGCUCUUGUUGAGCAUUGGAACUUGGAAUGGAACCAUGCUGCUACUCGCCAUCUCCUUAUAAAGGACCUUCUAGCUUUGAUGCCUAUUUGUUGAAAUGAAAUUUUAGUAGUAUUGGAAAUAUUUGAGAAUGGGAGAGAUUAUAAAUUUUGGAAGAAGAGACUAUUUGUAUAAAUGAUUCUUGAUUUUUGGCUUGAUUUGAUUUGAUACAAACUCUAAUACAUCAUCCCUAUUUAUAUUAUAGGCUCCUCCUAAACCAAUGGUUAGGAUUUUGUCAACACACACUUAAUCUACUGAUUGCAAACGAUUCUCUAUAGCUUUCUUCGUAGAUACAAUCUUACUCACAAAUUAUAGAUCAUUCUAUAUGCUACUUUAGAAUUAUCAUUUAAAAUAGAUUUCUCUAGAACAUUCUUGUAGAAUUUGGCCUAAGGAUGUUUCUAGAAAUUGGGCUUUUAGACUAAUAAGGCUCAAAAUCAAGUUUAUAUUUCAACAUCUCAUGGGUGAAUAUACAUAUACUAAAUAUUAUCCAUCGGGGGUUUGUCUUUGGUGGAAACUUGAGAAGAAGCAUCAGUGAGCUGGUUUGAUAACAUCACACUCAAUUUCAAAAGAUUUUUGAAAGUGUUAUGGAAGAGUGUGUAUAAAUGUCGAAGGCGGCUAUGCCAAGUGUGGUGAAGAUCAUACANNNNNNNNNNNNNNNNNNNNNNNNNNNNNNNNNNNNNNNNNNNNNNNNNNNNNNNNNNNNNNNNNNNNNNNNNNNNNNNNNNNNNNNNNNNNNNNNNNNNNNNNNNNNNNNNNNNNNNNNNNNNNNNNNNNNNNNNNNNNNNNNNNNNNNNNNNNNNNNNNNNNNNNNNNNNNNNNNNNNNNNNNNNNNNNNNNNNNNNNNNNNNNNNNNNNNNNNNNNNNNNNNNNNNNNNNNNNNNNNNNNNNNNNNNNNNNNNNNNNNNNNNNNNNNNNNNNNNNNNNNNNNNNNNNNNNNNNNNNNNNNNNNNNNNNNNNNNNNNNNNNNNNNNNNNNNNNNNNNNNNNNNNNNNNNNNNNNNNNNNNNNNNNNNNNNNNNNNNNNNNNNNNNNNNNNNNNNNNNNNNNNNNNNNNNNNNNNNNNNNNNNNNNNNNNNNNNNNNNNNNNNNNNNNNNNNNNNNNNNNNNNNNNNNNNNNNNNNNNNNNNNNNNNNNNNNNNNNNNNNNNNNNNNNNNNNNNNNNNNNNNNNNNNNNNNNNNNNNNNNNNNNNNNNNNNNNNNNNNNNNNNNNNNNNNNNNNNNNNNNNNNNNNNNNNNNNNNNNNNNNNNNNNNNNNNNNNNNNNNNNNNNNNNNNNNNNNNNNNNNNNNNNNNNNNNNNNNNNNNNNNNNNNNNNNNNNNNNNNNNNNNNNNNNNNNNNNNNNNNNNNNNNNNNNNNNNNNNNNNNNNNNNNNNNNNNNNNNNNNNNNNNNNNNNNNNNNNNNNNNNNNNNNNNNNNNNNNNNNNNNNNNNNNNNNNNNNNNNNNNNNNNNNNNNNNNNNNNNNNNNNNNNNNNNNNNNNNNNNNNNNNNNNNNNNNNNNNNNNNNNNNNNNNNNNNNNNNNNNNNNNNNNNNNNNNNNNNNNNNNNNNNNNNNNNNNNNNNNNNNNNNNNNNNNNNNNNNNNNNNNNNNNNNNNNNNNNNNNNNNNNNNNNNNNNNNNNNNNNNNNNNNNNNNNNNNNNNNNNNNNNNNNNNNNNNNNNNNNNNNNNNNNNNNNNNNNNNNNNNNNNNNNNNNNNNNNNNNNNNNNNNNNNNNNNNNNNNNNNNNNNNNNNNNNNNNNNNNNNNNNNNNNNNNNNNNNNNNNNNNNNNNNNNNNNNNNNNNNNNNNNNNNNNNNNNNNNNNNNNNNNNNNNNNNNNNNNNNNNNNNNNNNNNNNNNNNNNNNNNNNNNNNNNNNNNNNNNNNNNNNNNNNNNNNNNNNNNNNNNNNNNNNNNNNNNNNNNNNNNNNNNNNNNNNNNNNNNNNNNNNNNNNNNNNNNNNNNNNNNNNNNNNNNNNNNNNNNNNNNNNNNNNNNNNNNNNNNNNNNNNNNNNNNNNNNNNNNNNNNNNNNNNNNNNNNNNNNNNNNNNNNNNNNNNNNNNNNNNNNNNNNNNNNNNNNNNNNNNNNNNNNNNNNNNNNNNNNNNNNNNNNNNNNNNNNNNNNNNNNNNNNNNNNNNNNNNNNNNNNNNNNNNNNNNNNNNNNNNNNNNNNNNNNNNNNNNNNNNNNNNNNNNNNNNNNNNNNNNNNNNNNNNNNNNNNNNNNNNNNNNNNNNNNNNNNNNNNNNNNNNNNNNNNNNNNNNNNNNNNNNNNNNNNNNNNNNNNNNNNNNNNNNNNNNNNNNNNNNNNNNNNNNNNNNNNNNNNNNNNNNNNNNNNNNNNNNNNNNNNNNNNNNNNNNNNNNNNNNNNNNNNNNNNNNNNNNNNNNNNNNNNNNNNNNNNNNNNNNNNNNNNNNNNNNNNNNNNNNNNNNNNNNNNNNNNNNNNNNNNNNNNNNNNNNNNNNNNNNNNNNNNNNNNNNNNNNNNNNNNNNNNNNNNNNNNNNNNNNNNNNNNNNNNNNNNNNNNNNNNNNNNNNNNNNNNNNNNNNNNNNNNNNNNNNNNNNNNNNNNNNNNNNNNNNNNNNNNNNNNNNNNNNNNNNNNNNNNNNNNNNNNNNNNNNNNNNNNNNNNNNNNNNNNNNNNNNNNNNNNNNNNNNNNNNNNNNNNNNNNNNNNNNNNNNNNNNNNNNNNNNNNNNNNNNNNNNNNNNNNNNNNNNNNNNNNNNNNNNNNNNNNNNNNNNNNNNNNNNNNNNNNNNNNNNNNNNNNNNNNNNNNNNNNNNNNNNNNNNNNNNNNNNNNNNNNNNNNNNNNNNNNNNNNNNNNNNNNNNNNNNNNNNNNNNNNNNNNNNNNNNNNNNNNNNNNNNNNNNNNNNNNNNNNNNNNNNNNNNNNNNNNNNNNNNNNNNNNNNNNNNNNNNNNNNNNNNNNNNNNNNNNNNNNNNNNNNNNNNNNNNNNNNNNNNNNNNNNNNNNNNNNNNNNNNNNNNNNNNNNNNNNNNNNNNNNNNNNNNNNNNNNNNNNNNNNNNNNNNNNNNNNNNNNNNNNNNNNNNNNNNNNNNNNNNNNNNNNNNNNNNNNNNNNNNNNNNNNNNNNNNNNNNNNNNNNNNNNNNNNNNNNNNNNNNNNNNNNNNNNNNNNNNNNNNNNNNNNNNNNNNNNNNNNNNNNNNNNNNNNNNNNNNNNNNNNNNNNNNNNNNNNNNNNNNNNNNNNNNNNNNNNNNNNNNNNNNNNNNNNNNNNNNNNNNNNNNNNNNNNNNNNNNNNNNNNNNNNNNNNNNNNNNNNNNNNNNNNNNNNNNNNNNNNNNNNNNNNNNNNNNNNNNNNNNNNNNNNNNNNNNNNNNNNNNNNNNNNNNNNNNNNNNNNNNNNNNNNNNNNNNNNNNNNNNNNNNNNNNNNNNNNNNNNNNNNNNNNNNNNNNNNNNNNNNNNNNNNNNNNNNNNNNNNNNNNNNNNNNNNNNNNNNNNNNNNNNNNNNNNNNNNNNNNNNNNNNNNNNNNNNNNNNNNNNNNNNNNNNNNNNNNNNNNNNNNNNNNNNNNNNNNNNNNNNNNNNNNNNNNNNNNNNNNNNNNNNNNNNNNNNNNNNNNNNNNNNNNNNNNNNNNNNNNNNNNNNNNNNNNNNNNNNNNNNNNNNNNNNNNNNNNNNNNNNNNNNNNNNNNNNNNNNNNNNNNNNNNNNNNNNNNNNNNNNNNNNNNNNNNNNNNNNNNNNNNNNNNNNNNNNNNNNNNNNNNNNNNNNNNNNNNNNNNNNNNNNNNNNNNNNNNNNNNNNNNNNNNNNNNNNNNNNNNNNNNNNNNNNNNNNNNNNNNNNNNNNNNNNNNNNNNNNNNNNNNNNNNNNNNNNNNNNNNNNNNNNNNNNNNNNNNNNNNNNNNNNNNNNNNNNNNNNNNNNNNNNNNNNNNNNNNNNNNNNNNNNNNNNNNNNNNNNNNNNNNNNNNNNNNNNNNNNNNNNNNNNNNNNNNNNNNNNNNNNNNNNNNNNNNNNNNNNNNNNNNNNNNNNNNNNNNNNNNNNNNNNNNNNNNNNNNNNNNNNNNNNNNNNNNNNNNNNNNNNNNNNNNNNNNNNNNNNNNNNNNNNNNNNNNNNNNNNNNNNNNNNNNNNNNNNNNNNNNNNNNNNNNNNNNNNNNNNNNNNNNNNNNNNNNNNNNNNNNNNNNNNNNNNNNNNNNNNNNNNNNNNNNNNNNNNNNNNNNNNNNNNNNNNNNNNNNNNNNNNNNNNNNNNNNNNNNNNNNNNNNNNNNNNNNNNNNNNNNNNNNNNNNNNNNNNNNNNNNNNNNNNNNNNGGGGGGGGGGGGGCUUAUUGUGUUGAUUCUUGUACUUUUUUUUAAAUUUAUGACAAUUUUUAACCCCCAUAAAUUGCAUUUUAAAAUUUAAAUUAAAAAAUUUCACGUAGGUUCAGAUUUAUUCAAACCUAAUUCCAAGCCAAAGAGUAGUACAUUAAAGUUUUAGAGGAAAAAAAAAAACAAAAUUUUGCAAGGACUAAUCCGAACUAUGAUAACUUUUUAGGGACAAAAAAUAUAUUUUAACCUUAUAUUUUCCUAUCAAGUAGUGCUCAUGAAGUAUCAUCUUAUUUUACUUUCUUCUUUAUAUAAAGUCACACCUUGUGCGUAAUAUGCGAAAAUCAUGAAAUUGUUGCGGGAAGAUAAAAUUGGAGCCAUAAGAGAGUUGGAUGUUAGUUAUUUCAUACGUAUAUUACAUGAUGAUGAUGAUUGAUUCACUCAUAAUGAUUAUGGUGUUUAAUGAUUUAAUCUUGAUAUGAUAUUGAUGAGGUGGUGAUUGUUAUGAUUUUCUUUGUUAUGUGAAUUAUGAGACUUAUGCUUUGUGUAUGAUUUUAACAUAUUAUGUUAUAUGUGUGAUGAUGGUAGAUUAUGCAUACUUUAAUUGAGAAGUUUUAUCUUAUUUUAAUAUACUCAUUUAGCCUUUAAACACAAGAGCUAUGACAUUUAUUUAAAGUUUAACAAUUAAAUUAAACAAAUAAUAUAAAAUAAUCAUAUUAAAUAUUAAUUACAUGAACCAAAUAAAAAUCAUUUGUACUCUCUUGAAGUAUGUCAACAAACGAUACAAAAUCAAAGGAAAUCUUCUAUAUAUAUGAGUCUCAAACAGCGAGUUUUUGUGUCCAUGAUAAAAGUUAAUCUUUAUUUAUACUUUUUCGACUUAAAUAUUCAGUCUAGGAAAGUUAAUAUGAAAUUUUCCAUCAAAUCAGCAUUGUCUUUUUCAAUAUAUACUUUCAAAAAUCAUCAAAAAGACUAGGCUUGGUAGCAACUUAAAUAUGACAAUUCUUAUUUAAAAACAUGUAAAGUGAAAGAGGGGGGGGAUAGAUACAGUAGAGUGAAAGACUUAUUUUUUUAAUUCUUAAAUUAAAUUGCUUAUUUAUUUUAAGUAAGAUUUUUAAGAAAAUAAUUAUUAAUACAUUAGUGAUCGAUUAUUUUUACCCCAAUUUUCUUUUUGGGGGGCGGGGUGGGUGGGGGUUGGGAAACUUCGCUUUUCUUUAAAGAAAAAUUUAAUUAGAUACAUUUUCGAAAACACUCUUAAAAAAUUGAGCAAAUUAUUAUUUUUUUAUACAAGAUCCAAAGGGAAAAAACUAAGUUUUUAAACAAAGUUAGUAAAUAAACUUUUAGAAAAAAUUAAUCGAUCACGGAUAAAUUACACGUCAAUGUUUUAAACAUGAUUCAAAAUAUUAAUAUAACAUUGAUUAAUAUUAAAAAUGAAUUAAAUUUCAUUUUUCUAUAAAAUUAAAUUUUUUGUUGUUGUUACAUAUGAAAAAUUUAUUUAAAGACAAAUAUUUUAUUUAUAAAUUUUUUAAUUGACUGGGUAUUGAUUUUGAUAAUUCAUAUUUUUAUUCUUCCUGCAUGAAUAAUCAAAUUAGGACAAAUUUAUUUGAGUGAUGUUUUUAUAAUCAUCGAAAUUUUAAUGUAAAGAGACUCUUAGAUAUUUAUAAUUAAAUUAAUGAAUAAUUUUUUUAUAAGAAUGAUGUUUUUAUUUCUUUUUAUAUCAAAACAUCCUUCAUAUUUUUAAUGAUUCUAUAAAAAAUUAUACUUUUUAAUUAAUAAUAUAUUCUUUUAUGUUACAUUAGUUCAUCUUUAUAUUCAUUUAUGUCACCCGGGUAAUUAUAUUAGGACAAAUUCAUUUGGAUGAUUAAUUUUUUUAAUAGUCAUUGGAGUUUUUUUUAUAUUUAGAGACUCUUAAAUACUUAUAUUUAAAUUUAAUUCAUACAACUCUUAUACGAAUGAUAUCUAAAUUUCUUUUUAUAUCAAAAUAUCAUUCUUUUUUUUAAUUUGAAAUUAUAAAAAUUAUAUUUUAUAAACUAUUAUAUAUUAUAUUUAUAUUACCCUAGUCCAUAUCUAUAUUUAUCAUGGGUAUCCAUUCAAAUAAAAUUUAUUUGGAUGAUUAUAUAUAUAUAUAUAUAUAUAUAUAUAUAUAUAUAUAUAUAAAAUCAUUUGGGUUUUUUAUUGCAAGAGUCUUACAUAUUUCAUAUUUUAAUUUAUGUUUCUUUUUAUAUUAAAACACCUUUCAUUUUUUCAAUUUAAAUUAUAAAAAAUUAUAUUUUUUAAUUAUUAUAUAAUCUAUUUAUGUUACAUUAAUCCAUAUUUAUAUCCAUCUAUUUAGAUAGCCAUAUACUAAGACAAAUCCCUUGGGCCUCUUUUGUAUUUUUUAAUUUGAUGAUAUAAAAAAUUAUAUUUUAAAACUAUUAUAUAUUUUAUUUAUGCCAAAUUAAUCCAUGUUUAUAUUUUUGUAUUACAUGGAUGAUCAUAUUAGAAUUUAUCGAUUUGACUAAAUAUUUUUUUUUUAUAAUCAAAGAUCCCUGGAAGUUAAUACAAUAUUUCAUUAUUCCAUUACAUCCAUGGAUGAAAAAAAAAAGUAUCUUAAAGAUGUUAUUAGUUCAAAUUCACAAGCCAAAUAAGUAAUUUUUUUAAUUACAAAAGUAGUAGUUGUAAUAGUAAUUAUAAGAUAAGUAUAUUUAAAUAUACUUAUUUUAUUGACCCAAAAUUUUAGAUGGCUCAUUGGUGAAUAUUUCAAAACUAAUAAAGAUUGAAACUAUUUACAACUAAACACAUGUAUAAAUGCUUUUUUGAUUUCAAUAUUAAGCUAAAUUGCAUCAUUGGUGAAAAAAAUAUAUUUCUUGAGUAUAGAAUUCCAUGUUGUAUCAAGUAAAUUUCAUAUUACCCAAGUAAAACUUAAGAGAUAACAUACUUUUAACUAUAGCAAACUUUUAUGAUAUAAGAAAAAUAAUUAUCUCGUUAUAAGUAAACUUUUGGAUCGUUAAACAAUAUAUUUUGUUGGGGGUGGUUGGAAAGCUUAUCUUUUCUUUAAAGAAUAAUUUAAUUAGAUACAUUUUCGGAAAAGCUCUUAAAAAAUAAAGCAAAUUGUUAAUUUUUUAAUAGAACAUUGAAAGAGAAAAAAAUUAAGUUUUUAAAGAAAGUUAGUAACUAAACUUUUAGGGAAAAUUAUUGGAUGACUUAGAAAUUACACAUCAAUUGUUAAAACAUGAUUAAAAAAAUCGAUAUACCACUGGUUGUUAUUAAAAAUGAAUUAAAUUCCAUUUGUCUAUAAAUUUAAAGUUUUUUAUUUCUAUUGUUAAAUAUGAAAAAUUUAUUUAAAGACAAAUAUUUAUUUAUUAUUUUUUGUUAUAAUUUUUUUUAAUUAACAAGAUAUUGAUCUCGAUAAUUCAUAUUUUUAUCCAUCCGUUGCCUAGGUAAUCAUUUUAGGACAAAUUCAUUUGGGUGAUUUUUUUUAAUAUCAAGAGACUCUUAGAUAUUUAUACUUAAAUUAAUGUAUAAAUUGUUUAUAAGAAUGAUGUUUAUAUUUCUUUUUAUAUUAAAACAUCCUUCAUAUUUUUAAUAUGAAUCUAUAUAAAGUUAUACAUUUUAAAAAAUUAUAUAUUCUUCUUUUGUUGUAUUAAUUAAUCUUUAUAUUCUUUAUGCACCUGGGUAACCAUACUAGAACAAACUCAUUUUGAUGAUUAAUUUUUUUAAUAAUCAUUGUGUUUUUUUAUAUUAAGAAACUAUAAAAUAUUUAUAUUUAAAUUAAUUCAUACAACUUUUAUAUGAAUAUUGUCUAAUUUUUUUAUAUCAAAGCAUCAUUCUUUUUUUUUUUAAUUUGAAAUUAUAAAAAUUAUAUUUGAUAAAUUAUUAUAUAUUAUAUUUAUGUUACCCUAAUUCAUAUUUAUAUUUAUCUAUCAACAUGAGUAUCAUACACAAUUAUUUGGACUUUUUAUUACAAGAGUCUUAAAUAUUUAUCAUAUUUUAGUUUAUGUUUAUUUUUAUAUUAAAACACCUUUCAUUUUAGGAGAAAUUAAGGAUUGGAUUGCCAAAUAAAUGGAGAAUAAAUAGGAGAAAGUAAGCGAGAGUAAAUUCUGUCAAGGAGACAAAUUAGGGAUUGGAUUGACUGAGAGAAUUCUGUUAGUACUCUGCAGCUAUAUAUAGGAGAAAUAAGAGAAGGUUUUGUCAAUCAUUCACUUACAUAAUAAUUCCUUGUACUCCACUUCUGAAUAAUAGAAUUUCGGAAUCCUUCCUUCAUCUCAUGAUUCCCUAUUUCUCUUUAAUUCAUCAAAUUCCUUGAAUUACCAUAUCAAUUGGUAUCAACUUGGACCUUCCCAGCAAUCGACAUCCAUGGCAACCUGCACACGAAGUCACACAGAGACGGAGGAGCGCUUGGAGAAUAAGAUCAUUGAACGCAUGGAAGCAAAGUUGAUGGAGAUCGCAGGAUCCAUGCAGAAGACCCUGGAAGAUUUGUUACAACAGAACAUCCACAACUCCUUCAAGAAAUUACCGGAGAACGAAGCCAAUUCUGAUAACAAUAGUACCGCGGGUAGAAUGGCGAAAGGAAAUCAGCCGCACUACUCGUGUGGCACCCGCUUGGCAAGGAUCGACUUUCCGAGAUUUAACGGUGAGAACGUCAACCAAAGGAUCUAUCAAUGCGAAACCUACUUUACCAUUGAUAAUACACCAGAGGAUGUAAAGGUACGCUUAGCCAUCAUUCACCUUGAGGGCAAAACACUCCAUUGGCACACAACUUUAGCAAAGACUAUGGCUGCGGAUUCCCUGCUAUCUUGGACAGAAUACACACAACGUUUGAUUGACAGAUUUGGAGCCAUCUGUGAGGACCCUAUGGCAGACCUGAUCAAAUUGCGAUAGCAUCGCAGCGUAGCGGAAUACCAUGAAGAGUUUGAUGCCAUCGUAUCACGACUAAACCUGUCCGAGGAAUAUACCCUGAGUUGCUUCUUGGAAGGGUUGAAACAUGAAGUUCAAAUGCUGGUACGUAUGUUCCAGCCCCAAUCUGUUCGAAAAGCCUUUUCCCUAGCGAAAAUGUAUGAUGCUGCCUACCAUGACAACACUCCAGCAAACUCUAUCAAUAGGAAAACAAAAGAUUUUGGGAGCCCAAAAGCCUUUGCUAGCCAACAAACCAUCCUUAAAUGCUGACGAACCAUCCGAGGCAGAUAAGACCAAAUUCUGACCAUCACGACUGCUCACACCUACUUACAUGAACGAACGGCGGGCCCAAGGACUCUGCUACUUUUGCGAUGAACCAUACACCCCUGAACAUGGCCUUUCACACAAAAAGCUCCACAUUCACGUGAUGGAGAUAGAUGAUCAAGACACACCAAUAGGCAAUGCUCUUGACGAGGACAAUUCAUCUCAAUUGCAAAGUGAUCCACAGAUUUCUGUCCAUGCGCUUACUGGCGUGGCCAAUUUUAAGACAAUGAGGGUCACUGGCUAUCAAAGGAAACGACCUUUACAUAUCCUGAUUGAUAGUGACAGUACCCAUAAUUUCUUAGAUAUUCAGGUUGCUAAGAAAUUUGGGUGUAAGAUUGAGGAGAUAGAACCACUACAUGUGGUGGUAGCGGAUGGCAAUAAGUUGCAUAUUUCUGCUAUGGUCAGGAAUUUCACUUGGACCAUUCAACAUACUACCUUCCAAUCUAAUAUUAUGUUCAUUCCACUGGGUUGCUGUGACUUAGUGUUGGGAAUUGAGUGGCUGGUAACACUUGGUGACAUUACCUGGAAUUUUGACAAAUUGAGCAUGGAAUUUAAAGUGCAGGGACGACGACAUGCAUUAAGAGGGGUUUCUUCUAAUGUUGUCAAGACUAUCCGAAGACAACAAAUGGGCCAAACUUUAGCUAAUGGAGUUCAUUUAUCUAUGAUACAGCUUUGUGACACUGAGGGUGGAUUACUUCAUUCCUUAACUACUCAUGCUCAACAACCUACAGUCCCAGCUGCCAUAGAGCAACUUUUGAAGGCUUAUUCAGACAUUUUUAUCGAGCCAACUGCACUUCCACCACCCCGGGUAGAACAUGAUCACAGAAUACCCCUAGUGCAGGGUGCAAAUCCAGUGAACAAGAGGCCCUACAGGUAUGCUAAACAUCAAAAAGAUGUCAUUGAUCGACUUGUACAGGAAUAUUUGACUUCUGGAAUUAUUAAAAAAAGUAGCAGCCCUUAUGCUUGUCCGGUAGUCUUAGUCGGUAAAAAAGAUAGCUCUUGGAGACUUUGAGUGAAUUAUCAAGAGUUGAAUAAAAACACUGUCAAAGAUAAGUUUCCUAUUCCGCUGGUUGAUGACCUUUUGGAUGAAUUACAUGGCUCCACUAUUUUCUCCAAAAUUGACCUUCGGUCGGGGUACAACCAAGUGCGAAUGGAUCCUUUGGAUGUUCAUAAAACUGCCUUCAAGACUCAUGGGGUCAUUGUACUUGGUAAUGCCAUUUGGCCUUACCAAUGCCCCUGCUACAUUUCAAGGGCUGAUGAAUUCUGUUUUCCAGCAGUUUUUAAGAAGGUUUCUUCUGGUUUUCUUCGAUGACAUUCUCAUCUACAGUCGCAACUUGAUAGAUCAUGUGGAUAAUUUACAAAAAGUGUUAUCUACUAUGAGGAAUCACUCGCUUUUUGCCAGGAAGUCUAAGUGUUAUUUUGCAGUCCCCAAGGUGGAAUAUUUGGGUCAUUACAUCAGCAGCGAUAGCGUUUCUAUCGACCCCACUAAAAUUACAGCAGUUAGGAAUUGGCCAUUUCUUCAAUCAUUGAAACAACUUCGUGGAUUCAUUGGCCUUGCAGGUUACUACCGAAGGUUUGUCAAGGGAUUUGGUGCAAUUGCUCGGCCAUUAACUAAUAUGCUUAAAGGAGAUAAUUUUUGUUGGACCGAUGAUGCAAAACUUGCAUUUCAGCAACUCAAAGACUUGCUACUCCAAGCACCUGUGUUGCGACUCCCUGAUUUCAACAAGACUUUUGUGGUAGAGGUUGAUGCUUUCGGUGUGGAACUUGGAGCCGUCUUAAUGCAGGAACAUCACCCGAUUGCCUUUAUUAGUCGGGCCUUAAACCAACAACAACAAUGUUUAUCCACCUAUGAAAAGGAAUUACUAGCAGUAGUUUUUGCUGUUCAAAAAUGGCGCCAUUACCUUCUCAACAGGCAGUUUGUGAUUAAAACGGAUCAUCGAAGUUUGAAGUAUAUCCUUGAUCAGCAGUUGACCACUGCUUUUCAACAAAAAUGGUUAGUGAAGUUAAUGGAGUUUGAUUUCUCCAUUGAAUACAAGCAAGGUCAUGAGAAUGUAGCGGCCGAUGCUUUGUCAUGAAUGGGAGAGGUUGAAUGUCAGGCUCUCACUGUUCAUUCUUUGGAAUCUGAUUUGGUGGCACGAAUCAAACAAUCUUGGGUCACGGAUGCCGGACUGCAAAAGUUGAUCCUGGAACUACAGACCAAUGCAAGGUCCCAUAGACAUCAUACUUGGCAGAAUGAUGAAUUGCAUAGGAAGGGAAGGUUGGUGAUUGGCCAAGAUGUUCAGCUCCGGGAGGAUAUUUUAAAAUGGUUGCACUCUUCAGCUGCUGGUGGCCAUUCGGGCAGAAAUGCUACUAUCCAACGGAUGAAGGCAGUGGUUUAUUGGCGAGGAAUGACUAGAGAUGUGAAAGCAUUCAUCCAACGCUGCUCAAUUUGCCAACAAUGUAAAUAUGACACUGUUGCUUCCCCUGGUUUACUUCAGCCUUUGCCUAUUCCAAAUCAUAUUUGGCAGCAUAUAACCAUGGACUUCAUUGAUGGGUUACCUCCUUCUUACAGUAAAAAUGUUAUCGUUGUUGUUGUGGAUCGAUUAAGCAAAGCUGCUCAUUUCAUGGCGUUGUCUCAUCCCUACACAGCAAGCGACGUGGCUCAAUCCUUCCUAGACCAUGUCUUCAAACUUCAUGGUUUUCCUGACACUAUCACUAGCGAUAGAGAUCCUGUCUUUGUUAGCAACUUCUGGCAAGAUCUUAUGGCUUUUCAGGGUGUUCAAGUGCAACUUUUCUCGACUUAUCACCCACAAACCGAUGGUCAGUCGGAGGUAGUGAAUCGUUGCUUAGAAACUUACUUGUGAUGCAUGACGACCGAUGCCCCACAAAAAUGGUCUAAGUGGUUGCCAUUGGCAGAAUGGUGGUACAAUACUACCUACCAUACUUCUAUCCGCGCCACCCCUUAUGAAAUAGUCUAUGGGCAGCCUCCACCAGCCUAGUUACCUUAUCUUCCUGGUGAUUCGAAGAUUGAGCUAGUUGACAGAAGUUUACUCAAGCGCGAGGAGAUGUUAAAGCUGUUGAAGUUUCACCUCCGAAGAGCUCAAGACCGAAUGAAGCUGUUGGCGGAUAAACAUCGCAGUGAUCGCCAAUUUCAGAUAGGGGAUUUUGUUUAUGUUAAGCUUCAUCCCUAUCGUCAAGUCUCUGUUUCUCAUCGGGUUAAUGCUAAAUUAGCACCUAAGUUUUAUGGCCCCUUCAAGGUGCUGGAUCACAUAGGCGCUAUGGCUUAUCGACUUGACCUUCCUGCUGGAUCUCGCAUUCAUAAUGUUUUUCAUCUUUCUCAACUCUAGAAGCAUGUCGGCACUGUAGUUACUACUACAAAUAUUCCUGUCAGCACUGACGCAAGCUUUGUUUCACGUGAACCAGAGUCUAUUUUGGAUAGAAUGACUGUCAAACGGGGCAACCGAGCUGUUACUAAAGUUCUAGUAAAGUGGAAACAUCAACUUCCGGAGGAUGCCACAUGGGAGUUUUACUAUGAUCUUUUGCAGCGCUAUCCUUCCUUCAAUCCUUGAGGUCAAGGAUGAUUUUGAGGGGCGGGUAAUGAUAGGAGAGAAUAAAUAGCAAUUAUGAGAAACUAAAUAGAGAUUCAAGGAGACAAAUUAGGGAUUGGGUUGACAAAUAAAUAGAGAAUAAAUAGGAGAAAUUAAGCGAGAGUAAAUUCUGUCAAGGAGACAAAUUAGGGAUUGGAUUGGCUGAGAGUAAAUUCUAUUAGUACUCUACAGCUAUAUAUAGGAGAAAUAAGAGAAGGUUUUGUCAAUCAUUCACUUACAUAAUAAUUCCUUGUACUCCAGUUCUGAAUAAUAGAAUUUCGGAAUUCUUUCUUCAUCUCAGGAUUCCCUAUUUCUCUUUAAUUCAUCGAAUUCCUCAUAAUUCCUUGAAUUACCAUAUCAUUGAGGGCACUUUCUGAUUGUCAGAAAUUCAAGAUGAUUAUGGGUGUGAUCCUGUGUAAUCAUCUGUAGAUUACAAAAGCCAUUGAGAUGAAGGGUCCUGAGUGUUGGGAAGAAAUCUAGCGGAAAAGUCUUUAGAGAGUCACAGCCAUCAUCCCUCAAUCCACAAUUGCAAAACAUUCCAUACAGUAUCGGGCAACAAUAAAUUUCCAGUUCAUCCAAAGUAUCAGACUUUUCCAGCAACAAUGCUUCCAUGCUGUGUCCGCCCAUGCUGAGCUUUUUCAAAGUAUUCCAAAGUCUUGUAGGUCUAGUUCUAGAGCCCUGGGAGCUGAAGCCUCAAGUUGUUUGCACUCUCUAAUUGCUAGCUGCUUUAAAUGAAGAAGUUGCUCUGGGAGGUCACCUUUCAGGUUUGGACAUUUUCUUAUAGAAAGAUAUUGAAGACAUGGAAAAGCACCUGUCACAGCUUCACAUUCCCAUUUUUUCCAUGCUUUCAUAGAGGAGAACUUCAAUCUUUCCAACGAUGGAAAUGAAGAAGUGCUAUUACCAUGAAAAUCAGCACCAAUGCUCACUAUUCCAUCAAGACUUGAAAUCUAAAGGUUCUUGAGAAAUGGCAAAAGUCCAAGGGAAGGCAAAUGUUGGCAAGAUUGACAGUUGUUCAACUCUAAGGACAUCACAUUUGAUAAAGAAUUAUCGGAUAACCAAUUUGGGAAUUGUUUACCACCAUAGUUGAUGAUUGAUAACUUCUCCAGGUGUUUGGAAGGUUGUAGAUUCUCAAUUACAAUUACAUCCCUUUCUUUGGCAGAAUCAUCAGGGUUCUGGUGCGAAUUCCAUUCAAAUUCUAGUUCCACAAGGUGUGUUUUAUUUUUCAAAUCUGCAGCUAAUGCAUCUGAGGGAUUCUCAAUAUUCUGCAGCUCCCUAAAUGAUAAUCUUUCGUGAAGAAAAUUGAGCUCUCCGAAUUUCUGAAUGGUGAACUCACUACAUUUGCCAACAUCAAAAGAACUCAUGGCUACUUGAAGAUUCUUCAACUUUCCCAGAUGCGGUGGCACCUUUAUAAUUUUAGUAUUUACAAAUUCAAGGCCAUGCAAAUUGGUGAGUUCAUGCAAAUUUGAGGGCAGCUCCUUCAAACAUCUACAAUAAUUCAGCUUCAGUAUUUGCAAGUUGUAGAGUGAACAUGUGGAUUCAGGUAGUUUUUCAAUGCCAGUAUAGGAAAGGUCUAACGAACGAAGAUGUUUAAAAUUGCAAACAGAGUCAGGCAGCUUUUCAAUGCCUAAACAGUGAAACAGAGAUAAGACGCUUAAGAACUUAAACUAGGAGAACAAUUCAUGUAUCGACAUCUUGCACUGCCAAUCAUGGUAAUCUCCAUUCAUUUUCCUACUUGUUGGCAUAAAUGUACGUAACCUUUUAUCAUCACAUGAAGUUGCAAACCCAUCAAAACGUUGUUUGGUAAUGAUUGAAACUGAAAAAUGACGGGUUAUUUUCUGUGUACUUUUUCCUUCAUCAUCAACUCCAAACCUAAAAUAGAUGUCUCCACAAACAUAUUUUGCCAAAUCAUUUAGAAGGUCAUGCAUGACAAAUCCAUCUUCAUAUUUGCUUGAUUGUUGAAAGAAGGACCUUGAUAUUAGAUCAUUGAAGUACUGUUGGCCAACUUCUUCUGGACUCUUAUUGCCUUGAUGGCAGUUUAGGAAUUUUUCAGCCAUCCACAACUGAAUUAAACACUCCCUGUGAAACACAUAAUCCUUGGGGAAUAAAGCACAGUAAGCAAAGCAUGUCUUGAGAUGGGGAGGAAGGUGGUGAUAGCUCAGUGCUAAAGCAGGAACAAUAUCACUAUCCUCUAUUUCCCAUAUCUCACUUUUCAAUAUGUUUUCCCAAUCUGAAACAAAUGAUUUGUUGUGUAAUAGACUUCCCAUUGACUUCAAGACCAGAGGAAGUCCUUGACAUUUUUUAACAAUCUUCAUACCAAUCUCUGGGCAUCCUGGAUCUCUUGGAAGAUUAUCAUCUCUGAAUGCAUGUUUAGCGAACAAUUUCCAGCAAUAAUCUUCUUGUAAUUGCUCCAGCUCGUGUUCUUUUGACCGCAUGGUAGAAGCAAAUUUCUCACUGCUUGUUGUGACAAGGAUCCUACUUCCCUGAGCUCCACAAACAAGAGCAUUCUGCACAGCUUCCCAUUUAGGCCUGCUUUCGAUCCAAACGUCAUCCAAAACGAGAAGAAAUCUGUUUCCUCUCAAUUUAUCUUUCAGUUUUGUAUGAACAAUUUCUAGCCGAUCACUAUUUUCAAUUGAUUUAGUAAAUGUGUCAAGAAUUGCUCUUGAUACGUUCAAAACAUCAAAUUCCUGUGAGACACAGACCCAAGCUUUAAAUUUAAAUUUGCCCUCUAUCCUUGGGUCGUUGUAUACAAGUUUUGAGCAAGCGUGGUCUUACCCAGCCCACCCAUGCCCCAAAUAGAAAGUAUUGAUAGCAUGUUAUCAGUGUCAGAAGUGAGCCAGUUAAUGAUCAUUUCUUUAUCAGCAUCUCUGCAACAAAUAUCACUUUCAACCACUGAAGAUUUUGAUUGUGGCACUUUACCACCAGAUCCUGAUCCAACUACAA